GACCAAAAUCGCACAAACAAAGAACCAUGGAUUUUCCGAGUCAGUAAAAAAGCUAACUGCUCUUCAAUCCUUGCGUUUGUAUACUUUAGGAGAGGAAAUGUUAACCUUGCCGCACCUCAUGCCUUUCUCAGACCACACCUACCUUUACCAUCUAAGUUUAAGUGGAAGGCUCGAAAGGUUCCCUGAUGAAAUUGAAUUCUACCCUCCAAACCUCAUCUCCUUGGAAUUGGAAUGUUUGAAUAUAGAGCAAGACCCAAUGGUGACCCUAGAGAAGCUGCCAAACUUGAGAUUUCUCAUGUUAUCCCUUUGUUCCUCUAUGGUAAAGAAGAUGGUCUGUACUUCUGGAGGAUUCCUGCAACUCGAAACCCUUAUGCUCUGGGGUUUGAAAGAAUUAGAAGAAUUGAUUGUGGAGGAAGGGGAAAUGCCUGAUCUGAAGGAUUUAGUAAUUGAUACAUGCCCUAAAAUGAAAAGGCUUUCCCAUGGAUUGCUGCAACGAAAAAAAUUGCAGUAGCUAAGGUUGUAUGAUUUGUCUCCUGAGUUAAUGGAUGAGCUUUCUCGGAUAGAAAGAGGAGAUCCGGAGAAGAUCUGCCUCGCCACCUCAAUAUCCGAUCCGGAGAAGAUCGGAUAGAAGGUGGAGGCAUACGGCAUCAUGAAGGCUCAGGAGAAGUUUCAUAAAGCGCUACCAGGAAACGCUUGGACUGUAUUGAAGAGCAUUUCCAAUGCAACAAAUCUUUCUCUACUUGUCUAAGCUCGUCUUUUUCCUUGUUUUUUCUGCUUUUGUGAAACAUACGUGUUUGUGUAAGAUGCUUCCACGUUUUCAAAUAAAGUGAUCAGUCAGUUUAUAAUUGAACAUCACUGGAGUUUUAAUAAGAGAAAACCAACAGAAUACAUGCAAGAGGAGAAGCCCAUACCCUUCUAAAAGGUUGGGAAGUGUUUUUGAAAUCAGUUUUUAAGAAUAAUUUUUUGAUGUUCUUAUAAACAAAAUUAUGUUUGAAAAUUGAUUACUACUCAAAAAGUGCUAUUUGAUAGCCUGUAAUUAACUUUUUUAAACACUUUUGAGUAGUAGUUAUCACCUUUUAACCCAAUUAACAUAUUAAGGACCCUUGCAAUCAAUUCUAAUCAAAUUGUGUUAAGUUUUGGUGUUUUGAUAGCUUUUUGAUCACCAAAGCAAUCAGAGAUUGAGGAGAGUUCUUUGGAAUCCAUGGCAAAGACGUCCGGACAAGGUGUCCGGACACACCAUUGGAGAGUGGCGGAACGUGGGCUGUAGCAAGGCUUGCUCGCUUUAGUCAAUGUUUUCCAUCCGGACAACAUAUCUGGAUAGGAUAUGCUAUCGUCCGGGUGUGAUGUUCACGAGUGCCGUGUGCUUCUCCCUGAGAGAAUCCGGAUAGCAUUGCGCCGCCUUUCCGCUUGGGGAAUCCGGAUGGAAUUGAUCCGGAUAGCCUGGCGGCGCGGGACAUUUCAUAUCCGGAAUUCCGUGCGUCGACAUUUUUACAUCCGGAUGUGAGCCGUGCGCCGACGUUUUACAUCCGGAUAUCUCACAUCCGGAUGGGAGAGGAGGACGUUUCAACUUUUCCGGAUAGACAUAUCCAGACCUUCUGAUAGCGCUUACCUACAGAGUUUUUCUCUCAGUAUACAGUGCAGUGGUGUUCUCCUGAAGCUUCCUGAUAUUUUCGACCGACAUUUUGAGAUAUUUUGGGAUAUUUUGCUUUAGAUAUUUGAUGUUUAAAUCCCCAAACUCUCCUUGUAAUCCACCUAUCAUAGGAUUUCUUAGUCUUUAAGUAAGUACAAAGGGUGAAUAACCUCAUAUAUAUAGUUUGUAAUUUUCUUUACAAUGAUAUCUAUUAUGUAAUCGACGGAAGAAAGAAAUAUAUUUCACAGAGCACUUGCUUUGUUUUUCCUUCAUAUAAUUGUUUUCUCGUUAGUUUUCUUACUAGCCAAACAAGCUCUGAGGAAGUUUCCUCAGAGAAUGAGUGGCUAGACUUUUAGUUCCUUGGAGUUAAGGUUGCCGGGAAAGGUUCCAAGUGCAAGAAUUAGUAGCUUUGUGGUUUCAGUCAUUAAUGAAGAGAAAGUGUGAUCCUUUAAUGAUUUAUAUGUUUUUAGUUAACUUAAAACACCUUCAAGUCACUUGAGCCAACACUUGGUAAGGCACGUGAUCUCCGUCCAUGGAGAUGCACUUGUUUAUCUCUUGCGAGCUUUUGGGAAGUGACUUGGAGGUAGGAUUUUCUAGAAUUGCCAACACUUAGUAAGCUUUUGGACUUCAAGGAGACAUCCAUUAGUUAUCUCUUGCGAGCUUGAGAAGGGAAGUCCAAAGUUAAAGAUCACCUUGAAUGGCAACUACUAGGUGAGAGGCACGAGCCAUUGCAAGUUGCAUCAGUGAGAGGGAAUUAGAGCUGAAAUCCAUUUAAAGGAUACAUCUGUACAACACCGAUUAGAGAAUUGACUAUAUGUUAAUUCUCUAAUGCGAGGAAAUGAACCAAAUGACCAAAGCUCUGUUUUUGCAUAAGGAACCUCCCCUGUGAACCUAAACCUCCGAGGAAUGUUUUUCUUCAUAAGUAAUUUCCAUUACUUUUUUUUUGGUUAGUUUAAGACCAAACCCUUUUCACUCAAACAUCUUUAUGUUUUCUUUUAAAGCUAACCUUGAAAUGAAAAAGCACCAACUCAGCUUUGAAUUGGUAUCAGUUGUGAGUUGAAAACCUUUCCCAAUGAACGAUCCUAGAGCCACUAUGCUAUAGUAGCUUUGUCUUUGCUACCCUAGUUCAUGGUGUAAUAGGUUAUAAAUUUUGUUGAUUACUACCUCAAUCAAGGAGCACCAGCUGGACAUGAAUCAGCUGAUACACCAAGUGGACACGAAUCAAAAAUUGAAUUCUAAAAAAUAAUUUUUAUUCUUAAAAAAAAAAAAAAAAAACAUGUUUGAUUGAGUUAAUAAAAAUAACUUUUAACAACAAAUAAAACAAAAAAACUUGUUUGGAAGUUGUUAUUGUUGAAUUUUUUUUAAGUUGGGUAUUUUCUUUAAUUAACUUGAUGUUAUAAAUCUAUAAAUAAUUUUUACAUUCACAUUUCAUUAAAAAUAAAAAAGUUCCAUUUUGAAAUUUUUUUUGCAUCAGUUUUAAUUUUUUUAAACAAAAUAUUACUUUAUAAUAUGUUUGAUUUCAAUAAUUAGUAAAUUAUCCAAUUAAAAUAUCAUAAAUUGGUAAAUAUCAAUGAUUGGAUUUUAUGAAGAUAAAAUUUAUGAUAUCAAACAAUAAUGCAUUAUACUUGGAAACUUAUGAUCUAUUUUUUCUAUUUUAAAUAUAAUUAAUAAUAUAAAAAGUUAACUGAAAAUGAUAUAUUUAUGAUAAUUUUUUAAAUAUUUAUAAUUUUAUUUAAAAUUAAAUUUUAUAUUUUAUAUUUAAUUAUUAUAUAAAAGAUAAAAAAUUCUUAAAGUAAAUCAAAUUAAUUUAUUUAUAAAAAUUUAUUAAUCUUUACUAUAUAUAUAACAUAUUGGGACGAAAACCAAGAUCAAUACCUUUUCAUUUCUUUCCCUCCUCUAUAUCUCCCUGUUCUCUUUUCAGUUCUUUGUCUCCUCUUGUUUCUCUUUCAAGAUCCAAACUUUUAUUCAGGUGAACUAUUUUUCUUUUCUAAAAUCAAAACAUUAUUCAUUAAGGCCAAAAUUCAGAUUUGUGGUUGUUGCAGAGAUUCCUGGUAAAGUUUCAUGUUUUUUUUUUUAAUUAUUCUUUUUUAUUUUUUGCAUUCUUAGUCUUUUUUGUGUUCUUGUUUAUGUUUUGUUUGGUUUUUGGGAAAUCCUAAAAUUUAUGGAGGUUUUGGCUUUGAGAUAUGAUAAAAUCCUAAAAUAUAAAAAAAGAAAAAAAAGAAAAAAGAAAAACCGAAUAAUGUUGAAUUUUUGUGAGACCGAUUUUCCCAUUUUCAUACCCAUUUUUUUUUUUUAAAUUUUCCCUCAUAGUGCAAAGAAUUUUGCCUUAGUGCAAAGAAGAGGCGAGAACGCACAAAGAACACACUAGAACACUCAUUGAAAACUUGAAAAGCAUUCUAAUUUUUUUAUUUUUUUGUUCUUAGAACAGUGGCAAAAACACAUAGAAUACCAAUAUUAAUAAUUUUGAUCUAAUAUUAAUAAUUAUAAUAAAUAAUAAGGGAAGUUAUGGUAUGAAAGAGUUUGCUUAUAGGAUAAUUGUUGGAUUUGUUAAAAAAUGGAAAUUUAAUAUUAUUUUCGCAAGCAAACUGGUUAAUGGAUUUUUACUUAUUUAUAAAUUUAUAAAUAUAAAAAUUGACGAUAGAAUAAUGACCAUUAUGGUGGAAAACAAACAAAUUAAAGAAAUAAAAAAGACAUAUAACUUAUUUUAUAUAAAAGGUAAUUCAUUUUUUUAUAAGGGUUUUCUACGUAGAAGAGUUUUAUUUAUAGGGAUAAUUUGGGUAGAAAAAGUUAAAUUUUAUAUGAAGAGUUUUAUUCAUUUUUUAAAUAGUCAUCAUGUUUCAUGAAAAGGCAUAGUUAAAUUUUUCACAUUUAUUAAUUUAUUUAAAUAUUUUUAGUUUUCUAUUUAGUUUGUCAUUGUAGGUAAUUUCUAUGUCAUUAAAGUAUGAUAGCCCUUUGGUUCUUUAGAAUAAUAUAAAAGAAAGUAUACCCACUAAAAGACUACGAUCCUCUUUUAAGUUCUCUAUAACUAGAUGUAAUUGAGAAUAGUGAGUUUUUCAUUAAUAACCACCAGUAUUUUCUAAUCGGAUUGGAAUUGUUCCCCCAAAGUGAAUGCAACCGAUUAGGAAUACGAUCAUAGAAUAGGAUACAAUAAUUUCUUAAUCCAUGAGGGUCAUUGUUUUCCCAAGAAGAAAUUUAGACCAUACCACCAGAAGUGGUGAAAUGAAAUGAAAAAAAAAGGGUUAGGUUUGUAGUAUAAGCCUACCAAAGUUGAACAAAAAAUCAUUGUUGAUGCAUGCUAGUCAUACGAUCAAGCAUUUCAUUGACUUUUACCAAAAUUAAAAGAAAAAAAAUUAGUAAAUAGAAGGUUAACAUAUCUAGAUUAUUAUAACUUUCUUUAGAAAUCCUAAUGAUAAAAUUUACUAAUUGAUUGGUGAUGGAAAAAAUGUUUAUUCUCAUGUAGGAUCUUUACUUUCUUAUGUUGUGUCUUUUUAUCUAAUAUAGUACACAUCAUAUUUGCUAAUAAAUGUUUAUGUUUUAUUUACAUAUAGUAUUGAUUGCUUAAUAAGUAUAUUCUAAGUUGUCUAUCUCAUUAAUUGUACAACAUGUAAUAAUUGAUGUCAUUACCAUAUCAAUUUAUGGAAACUUGAUUGAAAGCUCUUGAAGAGCUUAUAUUAUGUCACUAGUUGAUCAAUGUCAUUACUACAUAUAUGAAUUUAUAAAAAUCCGAUUAAAGGCUCUAGAUGAGCUCAUACUAUGUUACUAAUGGCACACGAAUCCAUAUGAAUGAUACUUGACAUUCUAUCAAAUCUAGAAGAAUUUGAGAUGACCAACUUGGUCCCCCAGGGUGAACAAUGAUGCAUCAACUCCUUGAAAUAUGAAAUGGGGAUUCAUUAAAGAACUAGAAGUUUCUUCAACUAGUGACUAGUAUAUUUGAACCUUUGAAGGAUAUUAUUACGUGUUAUGUAAAUUUCUAGUUUAAAGAGACAAUUUCCCACCAUUAGGGGGAGGCAAGUCAAUUCUAGAAGAAUGGCGAGACAUUACAUGGUCUGUACCCUCUUUGUCUCAUCUACAUCCCCAACAAGGUAGUUUGAACUAGAAGUUCAAAGGAUUAUUCAUUUGUAAGGACUUGCAAAUUAGUUACCUAAUGUUUUCACAAAUAUAAAAAAGUAACAAAGUCACACGUGUCGGCUGUGAAUACCCUGACACAUAUUGAUGUCCCAGAAGGACGAUUGAAAAAUGCCAUAGCAAGUGAAUCUAAUACACACUUAAAGCAUGGUAGACCUGUUGGAUCAAAUGAUUCAGUUCCUAAAAAAAAAAAAAAAAAAGGAACAACAUAUUAAAAGUUUGGUACUCUUGAAGAGCUUACAAAUAUGAAAGGGUCAAAUGAUGAAAACCAACUUGUUAAACAGUUAGCCCCUGAAGAGACACAAAUUGAUCAAAUACCGGUAUCUAGAAUUGAAGAGAUCUCAAUGAGUCACACGAGAGAAACAAGGAACCACAAUGACAUCAUCAUAGACAAUAUAUUUGCAUUCCGAGUAGCUAUAGAUCUCAUGAGAAAUGAUGAAGAUCAAAAACCACAAAUUGUGGGUGAAUGUCAAAAAAGGAAUGAAUGACCAAAAUGGAAAGAAACAAUCAAAAUAGAGCUAAACUCGUUAGCAAAACGAGAGGAAUUUGGACCUGUAGUUCAAACACCUAGAAACAUAAAGCUGAGAUCAAGUACUAGAUCUCAGCGCAAUCGGUGUAAAAUGUACCUUGUAAAUUGUACUAGACUAGGCAUAGCAUUUUCUGUUAACUUGCUUGCAAGAUACAGUUUUGCCCUAACUAGAAGGCAUUGGAACGAGAUUAAACAUAUAUUGCGAUACCUUUGUGGAACAAGUGAUCAUGGCUUAUAUUAUUCAAAAGAAUUAAAAUUGCAAUUGAUUGAGUAUGCUAAUGUAGGAUAUAUUUCAGAUCCCCAUAAAGCUCAAUCCCAAAUGGGAUAUGUCUUUACUUAUGGUAGUACAAAAAUAUAUUGAAGAUCAAUCAAGCAAACAAUGGUAGUCAUCUCUUCAAAUCAUUCAGAAAUUCUUGCAAUUCAUGAAGCAAGUCAUGAAUGUAUAUGACUAAGGUCAAUGAUUCAACAUAUUCAAGAAACAUGUGGACUACCUUCCAUAAGAGGCAAUACAACCAAAUUACAUGAAGAUAUUGUUGCUUGUAUUGUGCAAAUUAAAUGAGGAUUCAUAAAAGGUGACAAAACUAAGCAUAUCUCCCCUAAAUUCUUCUACACCCAAGAGCUCUAGGAGAAAGGUGAGAUUGAUGGUCAGGAGAUUCUGUCAUGUAAUAAUCUAGUAGAUCUAUUCACAAAGGCGUUACCUUCGACCAUUAUGAAAAGGUUAAGGUAUGAUAUUGAAUUGAAAAGAUUAAGAGAUCUACUAAUUGAAGAGUUGAAGAAAUCAUAAUCAUAUGUACAAAAGGGGUAGAAAGUUAAGAUGUAUAUAUUGCACUCUUUUUUCCUUUGUCCACGUUUUGUCCCACAGGGUUUUACUAGCAAGGUUUUUGAUGAGGUAGUUACCAUAUCCUUAUGAUCAUCCAAGGAGGAGUGUUUUAAAAUAUGAGAUUUUGUACCACUAUGGUAACUUGUGGAUGAUCAUCCAUAAAUAUUUUUUGUAACUCCCUAUAAAAUGGAGGAACCCUUAAUGAAAUUCUAUUGAGUUUUCCUGUGCAUUUUAUCAUCUUUUUCUGUUUUCUUCUUCCUCCACUUUUACAACAUUAUCUUAUACAUUAAUUUUAAUUAUUUUAUAUUUUUUAUACAUUUUCUUAUAAAUGAGAUUUAUUUUAUAAUUCAUAUAUUUGUUUUUUUAAUUUAAUUUAGGACUUUUAUUUAUUACUUCAAAUAAAUUUAUAAAAAUUAUGGUAAUUCUAAUCAUAAUAAUUUAAUGUUUGAAAAUUAAUAUAAGGAAUUCUCAAAAAUUAUUUUUAGUUUUUAAUAAUUAAUAAUGAUUAUCAAGAUUUAUGAAUUAUGUUUAUCGUAUUUGAUGAGACAUUUAAAUGAAAAUUCAAGAGUUAUAUAUAUAUAUAUAUAUAUAUAUAUGUUUAUUUCAUAAUCAAUUUUAGAUAUUUUUAAAAUUAAUUAAAAUAAUAUAUAAAGAUGUCAUAUGCAAUUUAUCUUUCCAAGUUCUUCUUCUUUCAUAUUGUUGUUUUUGAAAUCACUCUUUUAAUCUAAAAUAAAAAAUAUUAAAAUAUUAAAAUAAAUCAUCCAAAAAAAUCAUGUCAUUAAUUUGAUUUUUAAUUUAUUCUUACUCUUGUCAAUAAUAAAAAAAUUAAAUAAGAAUAAAAAUAAGUACUAAUAAAUAUUUUAAAAUAAAUUUAAAAUUUAUUUAUUUACAAAAUAAUAUGAAUUAUAGACAAAAUUAAUAUAAUGGAUAUACUACAAUUUUGAAUCCCUAAAAAAAAUCAAUCCUACAAAAUAAUGUUCAUUUGUUUAAUCGAAAUUGAAUGCUUCAUAAGAAUGAUGAAAGAAACGAGAGACACAAUGCUGGAGAAUGUUGAAGAAGGACAUGAAACACAAAUCUGUUAGAGUGAGGCACAACACUGAUGAAUGUUAAAGAAAGACACGAAACACAAAUGAUAAUGGAGCAAGUGUCAAGAUUACUCUUAGGGUUGUAGUAUCUACAAAAAUAAAAUAGCACCAAACAUCAAACUCUUUACUAACUUAUGUCAUUUUGUGAGUAAAUAGUAUCGUAGAAAGACAAAGAGAGAAAAAAAAUAAAAAUAAAAACUCAUAAUGGAAUCAAAUAAUAAGAAAGCAAGAGAAAGAAAAAUAAAUUUCACACCCUAUAGGUUGAGAACAUGGGUUCCAUGACCUUCGGGUUGAAAACAUGAGUCUUAUAAAUAAGAGAUAAAAUUAGAAGACAUUAAACAUGAAGUUGAAAGGAAAUUGAAUUCUUAGGGUUGACAUUGAAAAGACAUCAAAUAUAAAGGGAAAUAUGAAUUGAAAAGAUACCCACAUUUAUUGUCUUUUAACAUUUAUUGAUUUAGUGAGAGAAAAGAUUGAUUUUUUAAAUCUCAUACUUUCAUGGAGGUGUUUUUUUUUUCCACAACUAGUUGUAUUUUUUAAUAAAAUUUUAUAAAAGAAAUAGUUAUCUAUUUAAAGAAAUAAAAUAAUAUUCAAAAUCAUAAUUUAAAAAUACAAUUUUAUUAUAAAUUUAUAAAUUAUAGUGUCUACCCUCCAUUUUGUCCCCUAACACAUAUUUUCUCAUUUUAUUUUCUUUCACACCAUGCUUAUUUUUAGUAUGUGUUUAAGAUCCUUCUUCCUUGAUCAUUCAUUGUCCCUUAUUGGUUUACAUUUAUUUGAUUCAUUGUUUAUUUUUUAGCCACAUUUUGGAGGCCAUUUAGGGGGUAAUUUCGGGUCCUUCCAACUUGAGUUUUAGAGACCCCUUAAGCUUAGAUUUUUUUUUUUGUUUUGUUUAAUCUCAGUCUUAGGAGAGUUUCUAAGGUUUUUUUAGUUUUUAGAGAGGCCUAGUAGCUGGCUUAGGAUGAGGACAUGUGUUCUCAUCUUGACUGCUUCACUUUUAAAACACCCAUUUUUUUUUCCUUCUCUUUUUGCCAUAUUUGGGGGAGACCGUCUAGAAACCUCUCAGGAGAGGAGCUUUUCAACAUGUUUUCUUUUCUUUUUUUUCUUUUAUUUUAGGCGAGUUGCCAAGAUGAAGGAGGAGAGUGAGUUGUUAGUAGUGCUUUUCUGCAGGGGGGAAUAUUCUCUGCAUAAGGGUGGUUAUAAGAGAGAAAAAGACACUUUUUUUUUUUUUGUGAGCUUCAAGAGACGUUUUGAGCAUCAGAGGAUAUUGGGAUUAUCAUGAGGAUUUAGGGAGGUGGGAGUGAGAGUUUGAGGAGAAAGAAAACAAGAGGAAGGGAAUGAAACAAAAAAAAUGAGCUAAUGAAUUUUGUUUGUUUUUUUUUUUUUUUUUCUGGUUUUUAGGAGAGAACGCAACUAGCUUGAAGCCAAAUAGAUUUCUAUUUGAGAAAAUGAUCAUAACAUAAGGUUAAUAUGAGUUUCAGUUCUCUAUUUUCUCCAUUGUUUUAUUCUCCACUUUGUUGGUUCCUUUGCAUUGCCCGGUUUGAGUGUGGAUAUUAGGCUACACAUUUAGUUUCUUUUACUAAUCUUUAAAAUGAUUAUAGAUUUGUUGUUAUAUUGUUUAUCUACUAUUCCUCUUGGUAUUGCUAGAAGGUAAUCUCACUCUGUUUUAAUUCUACUAUGAAAGGUUUGAGAAUCAUGUCCACAUUCAUAUUUGACAUGGUCUCUCCUACCUACUUUGCAAGCUUACUGAUAAUGAAGUGAAACUUUAUUUAAGGGUCUAGUGGCUUGGUUUUUUUUAAUUUUUUUUUAAUUCUUUGUUUUUAUGGUUGUUUUCUUCUUGUUGUUUUCCUCUGUUCUUGUUGUUCAUCUUUGUCCUCUACUAGUGGUUUGUCUAGAGUUUUGUCCAGAGGUUUAGUUAUCAGUAGUCAUGAUUGAUAGAAGAAACAAAUAAGUUGUGUGAAGAAUGCAAUCACGAUUGAUAGGAGAAACAAAUAAGCUAUGUGAAGCAUGGGUUCCAUAAUCCCUUAUUUCUCCUCUUACAAAAGAAAUGCAUUGUCAACCUUCAGUAUUGGAAAGUGUCUUAGGGCCACAUACAAUAAUCAAUGGCAAACAUGAAAACCAAUUUCAUGGCUUUACGGGAUGGUUUUACCAUUAACUAAAAUGCUAGGGUGAUGGUCCUUGUGUUAGACAAGAUAUUUUAGAAGAACAAAAUUAGUUUUAGGUUAGUUUUAGAGUUAGCUGAAAAAUAGAAUUAAUUAGUCUUCAAAAAUUGCUUUGUAAACUCUCCUACAUCUCCUUUGUUCUACUCUGUUUUUGCUUUCACCACAUUUUAUCUCUCAUCCAAACUCCUUAACAUGGUAUCAAAGCCAUAAUAUCCAACUCAGUCACCCAUUAACAACUGAUGAAUCCUUCUUCACCAUUCUCCAACUCUUUUAACUAUACUUUGUCAAUAAAACUAGAUCAAGAAAGUACUUGAUCUAGAAAUCUCAAAUUACACGAAUAAUUCAAGUACAUGAUAUGCUUGGUUCAUUGAUGGAAUGAGUAAAUGUCCUCUAGAAUUCAUUAACGAAGAUCCAAGAGCCUUUGAUUCUUGCAUAGUCACUAACCAAGAUUAUGUGUUAUGUCAUUGACAAGAUCAAAUUUUGUUAAGUUGGUUAUUAUCAUCUAUUUCUGAAGAGGUGGUGGCCCAGGGGAUUAGUUGUUCCAUGUCUUUUGAAAUAUGGUUUAUGCUGGAAAAUUUUUUUGCUUCUUAGUUGAAGGCAAAAGUAUUACAAUUGUGUAUCCAACUCCAAUCAAUCAAGAAAAAUUCAUUGACAACGGUUGAAUAGUUUGCAAAGAUAAAAAGAGUUACUAAGAAUCUUGCAGUUGUUGGGCAACCAGUCUCCAAUGAUGAUAUGAUAAUGUACCUUCUUCCUGGGCUUGUACUAACUAUGAUCCAAUUUUAGUAAGUGUUACCUCCAAACUUGAUUCAUUUUCUCUUCAAAGAAUAUAGGUUAUACUACUCAAUCAAAAAACACGCUUAGAACAACUACAUUUAGAAAACUCACUUGAGUUUCAACAAACUGUUGUCAACAUUGCUUCACAUACUUCUUUCAAAGGUAAUGAUCCAAAAGUUUCAAUAGGUGGUCAUACCACCAUUCCUCAAAAUAUGAGAGGGUUUCAAAGGUGGUCAAAUCGAGGAGAUCGAGGCAAUAGAUACAACUUCUCACAACUAAUUUGUCAAGUUUGUGGCAAACUAAGUUGUAUCGCCCUCACAUGCUACUAUUGAUUUGAUCACAAUUACCAAUCUCAAAACUCUCAGAUUUUUAUCUUAAUUACUUCACUAGAAAUACUGGUUGAUCUUGCCUGGUACAUUGAUAAUGAGGCAAAAAAUCAUGUAACAGAUGAGCUAGGAUGUGUGCAAGCUUCUACUAAAUAUCUUGGAAAUAAGAAGUUGACUAUAGACAAUGGCCAAGGUUUGCCCAUUCAACAUAUUGGUCAUUUCUUUUUAUCUACUUCAGAUAAAACUAUUCUUCUUAAAAAUAUAUUGCAUGUUCCAAGCAUUAUUAAAAAUCUUUUAAGUAUCUCAAAAAUUGUUUGCAAUAAUGAUGUUGUUGGGAUUGAGCCCCUAAAAACAAAAAUAAUGUUAGAAAGCUACACCUAACUAUCUCCUUGUUAUCAUUUUGGUGUAUUGACAUUAAUUUGAGCAUUCAGCCCAUGUCUCUUACAUUGUACAUGACUUGGGUGCACUAGGAGUUGCAUAGAAGAUACAAGUCAUGGGUUCCUUAUAAGUAGAUAAGUUGUCCACAGUUAGUUCAUGGAUUUGGGCAAUCCAGUAGAAACUGUAGUGCACCACCUCCUGAUUGGAGGGAUGACUUUCCUAUGGUGAGUGCACUAGUGUAUGUGAUGCACAUUAGAUAAGACCUAAGAUGAAUCAUGAUGCAAGGUUAUCAAUUGUCAUGAUUCACAUAGCUAUUAUAAUAAAUGAACUUUCAACUUUGAGAGGAUAUUGAGUCUAUGUCAAAAUCAACAGGAGGCUUUGACCUAUGGGUGAGACCCUAAAAUGGUCAUAUAUCUCUAUGGAUUGGGUCACUAUUAAUGGAGGCUGGUGGCAACAAGUAUUCUUAAUAUAGGCACCAUCACAUCUCUUGGGAUUGAGACCGUGUAUCCUCUUGGGUGAUCCAAAGGACAUGUGAUCAUGAAAUUUGUGGUCAUAGUAAUUCCUUUAGCAGAAUUUGACAUAUGGUCCUUAGAGUUAGAGUUUGUUAGUUGAUUACUUAAUAAGUGGGAUUCGUAACUCAAGGAUUUGAGAGGUAAUCUUGAUAGGUGAUAUCACUACCUUGUUAGAUUAUGAACACCAGUUCAUGGGGAGUCUGGAUGUAUUAGAUAGUAAGUGACAAGCCUGAGCACUUAGUGUCUUAUUUUUAUUUACCUAGGAUACUAGAGUUUAGUUAAUUCUUUAUAGUGGGAUGUUGAAUCAACUUCAAAAUUGGAUUCUGAGGGAUCCAAUACUCUUAUGGGUCCCAUUGGUCCUCGCUCUAAGCUCAUAUAUCUUGUUGUCAUAGAUUAUGAGGGUCGGAUUGACUUUACAUUCACUUUUGUGCACAAGGGCUUUUUGAUAAUUAUAUAAGGUUGCACAAAGGUAAGUGAACAAGAUCUUGAGAUUGGGCUAAUUGAUUAAUUAGUAGGCCCUAUUGGGUUAAUUAAUCAAUUAUGACCCAUUUUGGGCUAGAUUAAGUGACCUAAACCCAUAUGAGCUCAAGUCACUUAAGCCCAAUUAGGAUCCCUAUAAUUACCCCUUAGGGAUUAGGGUUUUUAUAACUUUGGUCUUCCACUAUCUAAAGAGAAAGAGAGUCAUAGCCUCCACCCUCCUUUCCUCCUCCACCGGAAGUGUGCCAAGAACAAGGUUGAGUCAUCAAACGGAAGAUCAUGGGUUUACGAGACUUCCAACAACUUUAAGGUUGUCUUCAAUAUUUUAAAUUUAAGGCUUGGGAACAUCCAAACCUAAAGGUUAGUACUUUAAACCUAAAAGAUCAUUUUUUAAAAGAUUGGUAUUGCUUUGAUUCCUUACAUCUAAGAUGCCAAUGGAUGUGUUUUUUGAAUUUCAUGCCAUUCGGUGCUUACUCAAGGACAAAAUCAUGAGGAAAAUUCUACUUCAAGGGAGAAUCAAGAAUGGACUAUAUCAUCUUCAAGGACCUAACUUUAUUACUUCAAAAGAAGUUGAAAAAAAAAUUCAUAUGGAAUAAAUGGUACUACUCAAAUAAAGAGGAAAACAAACUCCCCUCUAGAUCAAUUGAAUUCAUCUUUCAACAAUCUAUUACAUAAUGACCCAAAUUGGUUUUCAAAUGUCAAUGUUCCUCAUAUAACUAUAUUGCAUUGAAUGUUCAAUAUGAAGACUUAAGUACUUGGCAUAAUAGAUUUGGGCAUCCUUCUCAUUGUGUUCUUCAUCAAAUACUCAAGAGAUGUAAUAAAUCACAUAUUAGUGAGAAAGCCGCUAGUAAAUUUUGCUUUGCUUGCCAAUAUAGAAAAUGUCAUGAAUUGAAUUUUCAUUCAUCACCUACAAAGACUAGUGAACCUUUAGAACUUAUUCACUCAAAUGUUUAGGGACCAUCACCUCUUCUCUUUACCGAAGGAUAUAAAUAUUAUGUUAGUUUCAUUGAUGAUUUCACCUAAUAUACGUGGAUUUUCCUCCUUAAAAACAGAUCUGCAAUACCUACUACAUUUCUACAGUCCAAGAAGUUUGUUGAGAAUCUACUUGAAGAAAAUAUCAAAGCUUGUAAAUAGAUAUGGGUGGUGAAUACAAACCAUUGACACAUUUCUCAAUGACAAUGGUAUAAUGUUGCAACAAUUGUGUCCUUCUAUGCAUCAACAAAAUGGUUGUGCGGAAUGAACACACAGGAAUAUUGUUGAACUCGACUUAACAUUGUUGUCCCAAGCCUUCAUGCCACUUAGUUUUUGGUGGGAUGCUUUCAACAUUGUAGUUUACUUAAUCAAUAGGUUACCUACAUUGAUAUUGAAUAAUCAAUCUCCCAUGAGAAAAUUAUUCCAUCAAGAACCUAAUUACUUUUUUCUCUACUACUUUAGAUGUGCCUGUUUUCCACACAUCAGACCAUAUAAUAAAAACAAGUUUGAUUUUCAUAUACUCAAAUGCUUGUUUGUGGGUUAUAGUAAUCUACACAAAGGAUACAAGUGCUAAGUCCCUCCAAGAAAAUUUAUAUAACACACAAUGUGGUAUUUGAUGAACAAACAUUUCAUUUUUUCAUGGGAUUUUCAAUUAUCCUGACUUUUGGAUCUUAUAAAAAAUCUAUGAGUACAACCCAAACGCCAAAUCUUACUGUGAUAUUACCUCAGCUCAACAAACCAAGACCAUCUAUUGUUCAAAAAAGCAGCCUAAAUAUUGAAAAAAAUUCUACAACUACUACUUGCAAAAAUCAGUUUACAUCUUGCACUACCAAUGGAAACUCAAGUGAACCAACUCAGACUCUUACAUUUGACGCUUAAAAAAAUUAGUCUACAUUUCAUCCAAUUCCUCAUUGUGACUUGUAUACAGAUUUGUCUAUUCCUACCUUGAAUACACAUCCAGUGACUACAAAAUCAAAGGUAGGAAUAUUCAAACCAAAGCUAUUCACAGUUGAAAGCACAACAAAACAACUUGAAAGUGAACCCAAUAGUGUUACAAAAGCAUUGCAAUCUAACAAGUGGAAAAAAGUUAUGGAACCAAAGAUUCAGGCAUUAAAUCAAAAUCAAACAUGCUACCUAAUAUCUUGUCUUCCACACUAUAAUGUCUUUGGCUACAAAUGGGUGUAUAAAUUAAAAUAUAACCCAAAUAGAUCAAUUCAACAACUCAAGGCAUGACUUGUGCCAAAGGGAUUUCAUCAAACACUAGGAGUUGAUUUUUCAAAAACAUUCACCCUUGUCAUAAAGCCAAUUACUGUAUGCAUCAUCUUAGCUAUAGUAGUUACAAUGGAUUGGAAGAUUCAACUUUAUGUUAAUAAUGUGUUUUUAAACGGAAGCUGCAAGAAAUUGUUUUCAUGUCUCAACUUGAAGGUUUUAUAAUUCCUAAGAAGCCCGAAUAUGUAUGCAAACUACAUAAAGCAUUGUACGAACUUAAACAAGCACCACAUGCUUGGUUUGAAAAAUUACGAAGUACUCUCUUCAAUUGGGGUUUUAAAGAGUUAGAGGCUGACACAUCAUUGUUUAUAUAUCGUGAAGUUUGCAACUCUAUUUUUUUUUUACUUGUGUAUGUGGAUGAUAUUCUCAUUAUUGGGAAUAACUCCCAACUUAGUCGUAAGACUUAUUCAUGACCUCAACUUCUAAUUUUCACUCGAGGACUUAGGGGAUUUUACAUGGGAUUCUAUAGGACCUUAUCUAACUCAAUCCAAAUAUAUCCUUGACUUGUUAAAAUGAACUAACAUGAAAUAAGUUAAAAGUUGCCCUACACCAACAAGUAUGGGACUACAACUAUCCAAUUCGAAAGAACAUAAAUUGAAUAAUGAGAAGUUGUAUCGCAACACUAUUGAAGCAUCACAAUAUCUCACUAUCACUAAGUGAUAAAUAUCUUACAUUGUAAACAAUUUGAGUAAGAUUUUACAUUGUCUUAUUGGUAUGCAUUGGAAAGCUUGUAAACAGGUUUAGAGAUACUUGCGUGGGAGUAUUAAUCAUGAUUUGCAUAUUCAAACUAUUAAGAUUGAGUACCUAAAAGCAAGACAUGAUGUAAAAAAGUUAAGCUUGACUAUUCCCUUGCUAUCCUUAUGGUGUAUUGACAUUGAUUUGAACAUUUAGUUUAUAACUCUUACAUUGUACAUGACUUGGGUGCAGAAGGAGUUGCAUAAAAGAUACAAGUCAUGGGUUCCUUAUAAGUAGAUAAUUUGUUUAUAAUUGGUUCAUGGAUUUGGGUAAUCCAGUAGAGACUAUAGUGCAUCACAUCCUAAGUAGCUAGUGGCUUUGAAAAGCCACUACUUUUAGGUUAUUAUGAUGGUGGUUGCGGACUUGCAGAUUUAGGCCUUGUGUUAUUGGAGGAUGCCCAUUGCAAGAAAGGCAAGUCACAUUGUUUUGGGACUUUAGUGGCCCAAUGAAGAUGGUUAAAGACUCCAACCCCUUGAUCCAUGACUUUUAUGGAUUGGGCCAGACUCAUUUCACUAAUCCAAGGGGUUUAAAUUGCAGAUUAAGGGAUGUGGGUUGAGCCUAACUGGUAGUGAGGGCUUUGUUAGCCUUGUACCCUUGGAGAGAGAUCAAUCUGAAGGUUGUGAGAAGGGAUUUUGGUUAAACAUUCUGGCAUCCCAAGAGAGGAGAGUCUGUCACAACAUUGCAUAGGCAGGAACCUCUAGAUGCUAUGGAUCAAGAGCUAGCUGUCUUUAGUUGAUCUUGAUGGCCUGAGGAUGGUUUGUGACGAACUAGCUCUCUCUGUGCUUGUUCGCUCCUCUUAGAGCCUAGAGGAGGGAGCACCAUUUGUAGAUGCCACCCUCUUGUUUGGAGUAGAAGGUUUUGCAGGUAAGUUAUCAUCUCCAGUUUGUUGGAUGGGGGAUGGGUCUUCUUCUGCAUCUUCUAUUUCCAAAGAUGAGGGUCCAGCCAAAAGCUUGGUUUUGUGGAGGGAGCAGGACAAGGGGCGGCUUGUAGUAGAAUGCAAGGGUGAUGGUUAUGGGAUGUUAUGUAUGACUUCCAGCAAGGGUUUGGUUGUGGACUUUCCAAAGAAUCACCUUAGAGAUGCCUAGAGUGUGAACCUAGAUUUGGGGAGUGAGGAGGUGGUGGCUUUGGAGAAUGGGGGCUCUAGGAGGGACUCGAUGGGAGAUGAGAGCCUCUACGAUUUGUCUUUUGGGAAAUUCGUCUCCUUUAGCAAGUUUUUUGAUUUGCUAGUGGAAGGUUAUGAGAAGGAAAUUGUGUCCUUAUUGAGAAAGUCGGAAGCUAAAAAGGGUUAUAGAGUAGUGGCUUUGAGUAUAAAAAGGAGGCCUUCCUCUAUGUCCGACUUUGAUAGGGAACUUUGCAAAUUGGAGUGCUUGGUCAAUUACAACAAAUCAAGUGGAAAAGGGGGGAGCCAGAAGUGGGGGUGGGAUAUGGUUUGUGAGUGAUCAUGAAGUUCGAGAUUUUUCUUAAUUCCUAAUUCAAUAUAUUACAUUGUUGUUUCUUAAAAAAAGAAAAAAAGAAAGAAAAGUUUUGAGAUUUUUUGAUCGUCAUUAGUAGGUUUAGAGGCUGGGUGUUUGGCUCUCCUUAGAAAUUGGAAGGAUAUGAGAAAAGGAGAGGGGCCAGAAUUGUAUCACUCAAUCUCAAGGUAAGGGAUUUAGAAAGGUGGGCUGGAAUUGUAAUUUCUAAGGGAGCAGAGGGUAGUCAUUUCAGGCAGUGGCAAGGGAGAGUGGAAUUAUUAACAAUGGGUAGAUGAAGUUUGAAUUUAUCCAAGGAUUCAGUAGGAUUGCAGAAAGUGGAUUUGGUUUGCAAACAUGAAAGGUCGUAUAGGUCUUUAUGUCUUUCUAGGCCUUUAGGGUGAUGUUUUUGUAUCAGGUUACGGUUUGUUGUUUCUAUUUUCCUUUUGCUUGCCUUCUGGCACUGUUUGUAUUCUCUGUGUAGUUUGUGCAACUUUACAAAGUGUUUUUAAUAUCUUAUCAGUUUACCUAAAAAAGAAAAGAAAGAGAGAGAGAGAGAAAGAGAGAGAGAUAUGGAUGGGAGGAAAGAAAAUAUAUCAAUCAGGAAGGCCAAAUUAUACUACUAUGCACCUCUUAUGACUGAUUGAUGGGUUUGUGCAAAUUAUAGGAACAAUACCAACAGUAUUGUCCUUUUGACUUGAGCCUCCAAAUUGCUUGGUUAUCUGAAGAUAGUUUUCAUUGAUGAAUACCUCUUGACCUUAUGAUCCAGAUUUUGGCAUAUGAAGUUAAGCAAGCUAUAACUAAAUUGACUUAUACUGUGAAUUUCUUGGAUUUUGAUAAAAGAGUGAAACCUAAAACUGUUAAUUCAGAUCAGUUUUGAAUGAACAUAAAAUGGUGCCUCUACUGUAAUGCCUGAAAUAUUUGAAAUCCAUUCAAUAGCUUCCCAAUGCUCUUCUUUUCAUAAAGUUAUUGAUGGCUCCCAUUGCUUGAGCUUUUUACCCAAUCUUGUAUGCACCAUGACAUACAUGAAAUUAGAAUUGCAAUUUGAGCCGGUUGAACCCAAUCCAACCUGAAAAUGCAAUUUCUGAUUAAGAAAUCUCUAUCAGACUUGAACCCUAUCCGUAUUUAACUAAUUCUAAGUUGAACAUUUGUCUAAUAAGGUGCCUGUGUCGAAACAAUUUUGUAGGAGAAAAUGGGUGAUCGCUUACCACGAAUGCUUGAGUGCAUUGUUUGAGGACAAUUAUUGUUACUGAGUUGUGUGCAAGCUGCCAUUAUAUUUUAGUCAGCAAUUGUUAUAAGAUGAAUGAUCAUGUUUUGUAUCUAUGGAAAUAAAGAAGAAAGAUCGUGAAAUAAGGAAGAAUUUUGUGAUGCAUCCGUUGGAUUUUGAUUAACAUAUUCUUAAUUUACAUGACACAAAUUAACACAUGCUUGGUUUAAAAGCUCACAUGGGAUAAGGUAUCUAUGGAAAUGGAGAAGAAGAUAACGAUAGAAUUUUGUGAUGCAUCUGUAAGCAGUGACAUUUCAUGGAUCGAUUUUGAUUAACACAUGUUUGAUUUAAAAGCAACGAGUGUUUUUCAAAAUAUUUUCUCAAAAAUACAUGGAUUUCAACAAAAAGGUAAAUAAUUUAACUCAAGAAAAAGUGAAAGUGAAAAUGAGGGACAUGAAGGCAAAAAAGAAUCAUUGAUUAAUAAUAUAUUUUAUUUAAUUUUAUAACCUUUUACAACUUGUUUUUAUGACGUAUAAUUAAUAUUUUAUAGCAUGCUCUUGUUUGUAUGUCUUAAACUCAACCUACUCAAAUCUUAAGCCUUCACCCCAAACCAAAAACCACAUUUCAUCUUCCUUCUUGUUACAUUUUUGUAAAAGUAUGUAGGCUGAAAAUUUCAUUUGAGGCAUACCAAGCAGAUAUUUCAAGCAUGAUGCUUUGAACAUUAAUUCUAUUUGUACCUCAUUUAACUACUUUAUACUUUCAACUGCUAUGGGCUUAGAUAAGUAUGCAACCUUUCAUUAAUUUUAUGACUGAACCAGGAACAAUGGUUAGGAGGGCUAUGGUUCAAUAUGCACUAAAAAAUUCAAAUAUAUAUUUUUUUAAAAUUUUACUAACAAAUUCCAAAGAAUAUUUCAAAAGAAUUAAAAAUUAGCACGAAAUCUGAGUAAGGAAAUUUUCAAUAAUUUAGUAGUUUUUGCAGUUAAAAAAUCACAAAAAGUAAAGACUUCAAUAAUUUCUCUAAUAAAUUUUGGAUUUUUUAAAAUAAUUAAUCAUAAAAUUAAUUAAAAAUGAUGAGAUUUUUUACUUAAAAAAUAUCCAUUAUAUAGUAACAUGAGGAUCACAUGAUUACUAAAACUAUAACUCUAAAGCUAGAUAUAAACUUCCUUAAUUUGAAUAAUUAAAUAGUAUAAUAUAACAUAAUUAUAUAGUUUGGUUAUAAAUAAGUUAUUAUUUAAUUAAAUCUCAAAUUCAAUGUGAUUAAAACACAUAUUUAAAAAAUGUUUAAUAAAAUUUUAAAUAAAAAAUUGAAAAUUGGAAAAAUUUAAUUUGAUUAGAAAAAUUAUAAUGAAAUGAAAAUUUUUACAUACACAAAAAGAAUGAAAAAUAAAUUAAGAUAAUAUAUGUAUGAAGAAAAAAAAAUGAUGAAGCUAAAAUAAAAAAGGAAAAAAAAAACUAGGAGUUUCAAGUAGGCUUUAUAAAAUAUUAUAUAUAUUUUAAAAUUUAUUUAAAAUUUUUAAAAAUUAAAUCCUUGAGAGUUAGUAUUAACUUUUUUUUUCCAAUAACAUUCAAAUGAAAUUAUUUUUUAUUUUUGAAAUUAAAAAUUAAAUUCAUAUUUUUUUCACUACUACCUCCGGGUUAUGUACGCCGUUUUAGUCAAGAUCUUCAUUGCAACCUCUUCAAAUUGAUAAAUGGUAGUUUUUUCAUUCAUACUUUCAUUCGUUCAUGUACAGAGUAUAUAUAGAGGGUAAUCGCCAUUCUAAAAAUGAGAAAGAAUGAUACAAGGAAAUAAUGAUAUAAGGAAAUAACAACUAAUAUCCUAACAUCUCAACUUUCCUAAUAUCUCAACGUUCCUAAUAUCUCAACUUUCCUAAUAUCUAAACAUUCCUAAUAUCUCAACACUGAAUGAUAUAAGGAAAUAAUGAUAUAAGAAAAGCAUUCCUAAUAUCUCAACACUCCCCCUCAAGUUGGUGCAUAGAUGUCACAUAUGCCUAACUUGUCUAAAAAAUUUGAGAACACUUGACUUGAGACAGAUUUGGUGAGAAUAUCGGCCAAUUGAUCUUUUGAUCGAAUCUUAGGCAAUUCCACAAUCUUAUCAUCCAACUUUUCCUUAAUGAAGAAUCUAUCCACCUCGACAUGCUUUGUAUGAUCAUGUUGUACUGGAUUAUGAGCAAUGUCACAUGCGGCUUUAUUGUCACAAAACAAUCGGAUUGGUUGCCUAGAUAGGUAACCUAAAUCCUGUAAGAGGAGUCUUAGCCAUAAUGCCUCACAAAGUCUUAGAGCCAUACCUCUAAAUUCCACUUCUGCACUUGAAUGAGCAACGACAUUUUGCUUCUUACUUUUCCAUGUCACAAGAUUACCACCUACAAAGGUAAAGUAACCAGAUGUAGAUCGCCUAUCAUCCACUGCACCGGCCCAAUCAGCAUUAGUAUAUACUUCUAUACUCUGAUGAUCAACAUUUUUAGGGAACAAAAUUCCCUUCCCAGGAGCAUUUUUCAAAUACCUCAAAAUACGCAUGACUGCAUUCAUAUGUUGCUCUCUAGGAUUAUGCAUGUAUUGACUCACUACACUCAAUGCAUAAGCAAGAUCUGGUCUUGUAUGAGCUAAGUAUAUUAAUCUCCCCACAAGUCUCUGGUAUCUUGUUGUAAACCCCCUCUUUUCAAACCAAAUGUAAUGGUUUGUUAUCAUUAUUUUAUCAUUAUUGUUGCUAUAAUUUGAAAUAAAUGGCACUCCAUAACCACCCGGGAGAGUGGAGUUUAUCCAUUUUUUUUGAAGUGGGGGGGACCUCCUUAUGCAUGAAAGUAGCCGCAUGGGACGUGUGGCAAAGAGGUAUGGCCGGCCAUGGUAGUAGUUGAGGAGGACAUGCUGGCUGAUCGGGGAAUAGGAGAACUGGUAAUGGCUUGCCGCGGAAGAUAGAAACAGGGGGUUGGAUAUAGAGUGACAGAGCAAGGCUUGAACGAGGAGGGAGCUAGAUAUCUGGGGGGAGGCUCGCUGGUGAGGACAGGAAGUAAAGGAUGGGAGCAAGCAGAAAGGAAUCAGAAGAUCCGUUCAACUUGAUUCUCUUGGUCCAGGUAUGGUCUUAGUCUAUUUUGUUUCCCCCGUUUUGAACUGCUCUCCCCUAUUUCUAGUCACGUGUGGAUUCCUUUGACAUUUGAAGACCACUUGUGCAUUUUGUUUUCUGUUUUGGAAUGCUCUGAGUUUGGAUUCAUCAUAGCACCUGAUUUUUGGAGAUCAUGCCCAUGUUUUCUUUUGGUUCCACCUAAACCCCUCCCAUUGACAUCUAUGGAACGGGGUGAGACUUAGAAGUUUAUAUAUAUAUAUAUAUAUAUAUAUAUAUAUAUAUAUAUAUAUAUAUAUGCACAUGCUCUGUUUUCUUCUCAUAUUUGUCUGUCAAGUUUUUUUGAAAUGCUAGGUGCCGCACUUCAUACUAGACAUCUGGGUCAAGGCGCUCAAUGAAAUUGUCACAUCCCUUUUCUCUGAGGAAAGUCCCAAUGAGGUCUUGAAGUCCUUUGAUUCUUUAUAGCCUUUGUUAAUGGAAAAUGUAUUUUCAGAGAGUUUUAGCGCCUCUCUGAAAAUGUAUUAGUUGAAAUAGAAAAAUAAUGUUUCAAAAAAUAUAUAGGCAAAAUAUUUCAACAUAAGCUAAUGGUACAUUACCUUAUAUUAUUUUUUGGGGUUUUUUUUUUUGCUCAUUUUUCUCUCAAUGUUUAUAAAUUUGCAUUGAAGAAAUAAGUUUUAUUAUUUUUAAAUUCAAUUUAGAAAAUGGUAAUAUUGUGAAAGUUACAUUCAUUUAUAAUGAUACCAACAUAUACUUACCUCAAUAAUAUAAAAUUAUUCUCUUUGAUGUUUCUUUUUCCAUAAAUGAGUUGGAAAUAAGAUAAGUUUUGUUUAUAAAAUUUCAAUUUAAUUAUUUUGGGCAAAAGCAUAUAAUAUAUUGAACAUACCUGUUAAGAAAGUUGACAUCCUAUGGUCUUUUUGAUGAGUUUGUUUAAUAAGUUUCACCUAACUGAGAAUAGUAUAAAGAUAAAUUUAUGUGUAAUUCUAUUAAUAUUGUUAUAUUAUCAAUAAAAAGAUACGUACCUGUGGACCUCACAUUUCGGGUCAUGCAUUUUCCACUUGAUGGUGAGCUCGAUUUUUAUUUGAAAAUGAUUUUAUUAUUAAAAAAAAAUGACUUGAAGUCGCCACUUAUUUUUGUUUUAGUUUUAAAAAGGUAAACAAAAUAAGAAAGAAAACCCUAAGUGUGAUUCCUUAUUUUGGAAAAGGUGGUCUAUGAAAAACCGGAUCAGGCUCGGGAGUCGGGUUACUUAUCGGGAAGGUACAGUAAAGACCGUAGCACCCCUCUAAGUCCCUAAAGUCAGGUCUCUACUAAUAAAAUGAAGUUGACGUGGCAAUCAAUAGGAAAAUUACUCAAAUCAGUCAUGCACAUAUAGGAAUCAAAACAUGUAUAGAGAAUGACUAGAAUGGGAGUGGAUGGGUACCUGGGCCACGAACGAGCAAUGCGCUAUCAUAAAAAUGGGGUCAGUGUAUAAUAAAGAGCACAAAACAUAUCACAUGCAUCACCAAACAGAAAUUAAAACUGCUCGAGGGAAAAUUGGAUUUUUUAAAUUUAUUUGAAAAUUGGAGUCUUAGAGAUUAUUUGAAAAUUAGAGUUUUGGAGAUUAUUUGAAAACUGGAUUUUUAGAAAUUAAAUGUAGGAAUGAGAAUUUUAGAAAUUAAAUUUGAAAGAAAUUAGAAUUUUGAAAAUUAUUUGAGAGUUUGGGAUUUUUAAAAAAUUAAAUUACAAAAUUGGGGCUUUUGGAAAUUAAAUUUUGAAAGAAAUCAGGAAAAUCAAUGGAUACUCAAAUCGGUCAUGCACAUAUGGGAAUCAAAACAUGUAUAGAGAAUGACUAGAAUGGGAGUGGAUGGGUACCUGGGCCACGAACGAGCAAUGCGCUAUCAUAAAAAUGGGGUCAGUGUAUAAUAAAGAGCACAAAACAUAUCACAUGCAUCACCAAACAGAAAUUAAAACUGCUCGAGGGAAAAUUGGAUUUUUUAAAUUUAUUUGAAAAUUGGAGUCUUAGAGAUUAUUUGAAAAUUGGAGUUUUGGAGAUUAUUUGAAAAUUGGAUUUUUAGAAAUUAAAUGUAGGAAUGAGAAUUUUAGAAAUUAAAUUUGAAAGAAAUCAGAAUUUUGAAAAUUAUUUCAGAGUUUGGGAUUUUUAAAAAAUUAAAUUACAAAAUUGGGGCUUUUGGAAAUUAAAUUUUGAAAGAAAUCAGGAAAAUCAAUGGAUACUCAAAUCGGUCAUGCACAUAUGGGAAUCAAAACAUGUAUAGAGAAUGACUAGAAUGGGAGUGGAUGGGUACCUAGGCCACGAACGAGUAAUGCGCUAUCAUAAAAAUGAGGUCAGUGUACAAUAAAGAGCACAAAACAUAUCACAUGCAUCAUCAAACAGAAAUUAAAACUGCUCGAGGGAAAAUUGGAUUUUUGAAAUUUAUUUGAAAAUUGGAGUUUUGGAGAUUAUUUGAAAAUUGGAUUUUUAGAAAUUAAAUGUAGGAAUGAGAAUUUUAGAAAUUAAAUUUGAAAGAAAUCGGAAAUUUGAAAAUUAUUUGAGAGUUUGGGAUUUUUUAAAAAUUAAAUUAUGAAAUUGGGGAUUUUGGAAAUUAAAUUUUGAAAGAAAUCAGAAUUGAAAAUUAUUUUAGAAGUAGAAACUAUGAAAAUUGAAUUAUAAAAAUUGGAAAUCUUGGAAAUCGUUCGAAGGCAAAAUUUUUAGAAGUAUAUGAAUAAAAUGAUAAUAAUAAUGAUAAUAAUAAGUAAGUAACGAAAUGAAUGCGAGAAUUAGAAUAUUGGAAAUUGAAAAUUAAGUUCGAAAAUUGGAAAAUUGGAAUUUCAGAAAACUAAAUUUGGAAAUCGGAAUUUUGAAGAAUUAUUUAAGAACAUAAUUUUAAAUAAAUGAAUAAGUGAAUAAAUAAAUGAAUAAAAUAAUAAUAAUGACGAAAUAAUAAUGAUUGGAUGAAUAAUUGCGGAAGUUAGGAUUUCGGAAAUUGGAAAUUGAACUUAGGGAUUGGAAAUUUUAAAAAUUAUUUAGGGAUGAAAUUUUAAAUAUAUGAAUAAGUGAAUAAAUAAAUAAAUGGGAUAAUAAUAACGAAAAUAAUCAUUAAACAACAAAAUGUGAAUAGUGGAAUUUUUUAGAUUAGAAAUUAAAUUUGGAAAACGGAAUUUUGAAAAAUUGAACUUUAAUGAUUGGAAUUUUUAAAAGAAAUAAAUAAAUAAAUAAAUUGAAUAAUAAUAAUAACAACGAAAAAAAUAUUUAAACGAAUGAAUGUGAAUAGUGAAAUUUUUGAAAUUUGAAAAAUUGUUUAAAGAGAGAAUUUUUAGAAUAAAUAAACAAAUAAAUAAAUGGAAUAAUAGUAAUAACGAGAAUAAUAAUUGUGAAAAUUGGAAAGUGAAUUUAGAAAUUGGAAAAUUGAAGAAUUAUUUAGAGGUGGAAUGUCAGAAAAUUAAAUUUCGAAAGUUGGAAACCCGAAAAAUUAUUUUAAGGCUGGAAUGUCGGAAAAUUAAAUUUUGAAAACUGGAAACCCAAAAAAAUUUAUUUUAAGAAUGAAAUGUCAGAAAAUUAAAUCUUGAAAAUUUUGUUUUGAUAUCAAAAUGUGAAGAAAUAAUAAAAAGAAAUAUGAAUUGUGGUGAUCUUCACGUGCACGUCUCCGGUAUAAUGGCCAUAAACCCAUUUUAUAUAUUCUUUUCCACCACCUUAGCAAACAGCUUUUGCAUGAAGAUUGAUGAGUGGGUGUGGAGGUUGGUAUGGCAAUGCAUGCGUGAGGCUUUUAAGGAUGGAAUUAAAUUUCAAAAACUGGAAACCCAAAUUAAAUUUUGAAAGCUGAAAACUCGAAAAAUUAUUUUAAGGACGGAAUGUCAGAAAUAUAAAUUUCAAAAACUAAAAAUUCGAAAAAUUAAUUUAAGGAUGGAAUGUCGAAAAAUUAAAUUUCGAAAACCGGAAACCCGAAAAAUUAUUUUGAGGAUGGAAUGUCGAAAUAUUAAAUUUCGAAAACUGGAAACCCGAAAAAUUAAUUUAAGGAUGGAAUGUCGGAAAUAUAAAUUUCGAAAAUUGGAAGCCCGAAAAAUUAAUUUAAGGAUGGAAUGUCGAAAAAUUAAAUUUCGAAAACUGGAAACCCGAAAAAUUAUUUUAAGGAUAGAAUAUCAGAAAAUUAAAUUUCAAACGCUGGAAACCCGAAAAAAAUUAUUCUAAGGAUGGAAUGUCAGAAAUAUAAAUUUCGAAAACUAGAAACCCGAAAAAUUAUUUUAAGGACGGAAUGUUGGAAAAUUAAAUUUCGAAAACUGGAAACAUGAAAAUUUAUUUUGAGAAUGGAAUGUCAGAAAAUUGAAUCUUGAAAAUUUUGUUUUGAUAUCAAAAUGUGAAGAAAUAAUAAAAAGAAAUAUGGAUUGUGAUGAUCUUCAAGUGCACGUCUCCAGUGUAAUGCCCAUAAACCCAUUUUAUAUAUUCUUUUCCAUCACUUGAGCAAACAGCUUUUGCAUGAAGAUUGCUGAGUGGGUAUUGAAAAAUGAUGACAUGGGCAAAGUAAUGGAGUCAGCCACUAGCAGGAAAUAAAUAAAAAAUAAAAAUCCUACAGACCCAUUUAAUUCGACAUCAAACCAGAAAGCAAAACCAUGCAGUAGAGCUCGCAUCAACUGGAUCACUCUUUCUUAUCAAACUUCUUAUCAAAUAAAAAUCCUCUUUGGAAUUCCCAUUACCUCAGAAGGAAACAAAAUUCUAGAUGAGUUGUGGCCCUAGCAGUAACCAUAUUUAGCUAAAAAAAAAACCCAGAGACAGUCCUUUGGUCUUGGUCCAGAUGAUAUCUUCAAUUCCAAGAAACAAAACUCCCUCGGUUGGUCUGGAUUCCCUUACAAGAACUUGGGAAACAUUCCGACAACAUGGAGAUGACAGUUUGAUAAGGGAUAAUCAAAUUCUCCAUGAUACGUGCUUCCUUCCUUUUCUGUUAGCAUAAUAUCCGCUUGUAUAGCUAUAGGGAUAUGCUCAAUAUUUGUGUUUGAUUCUUUCCUAUUAUGUAGGAGUUUACAACUGUAAUUAUCGUGUAUAUAUUAUGAAGAGUUAUCUCCUCAUCUGGCAAGGAGGAUUUCAGUCAUUUACCGUGUUUAUCAAACAUCUUUAUGGUAUCAGUUUCAAGUUUUCUUUUUUCCGAUUCUGACCAUGGCUAUUUCGUCUUCUUCACCUCCUACUCUUCCGCUCAAUACAAUGGUGCAUAUGCUCACCAUUAAACUGACCUACUCCAAUUAUCUAUUGUGGAGAAAUCAGUUCGUUCCUCUGUUAGCUAAUCAAGAGCUUUUUGGUUAUUUGGACGGUAGCAUCACGACUCCUUCUCCCAUGAUUACUGCCUCUGAUGGCACCACAAAAUCCAAUCCUGCAUAUACCUCUUGGCUGCAUACCAAUCAGACACUGCUCAGUUUACUCUAUUCUUCUCUCAUAGAGGAAUCUAUGAGUGAGGUCUUGGGUUUCUGUCACUCCCACGAGGCCUGGCAUGCGCUUGAAGUCUCAUUUUCGCACCGAUCAAAGACUCGCGAACUGCAACUCAAGGAUGAACUCCAGCUGACGCACCAUGGCUCUCAGUCCAUUGCUAAGUUUUCUCGCACCUUCAAAGGCCUUUACGAUCAACUGGCUGCUAUUGGACGUCCCAUUGACGACACGGAUAAAGUUCACUGGUACCUACGCGCAUUGGGACCCGACUACAAGAUCUUUUCUACCACCAUGAUGUCACAACUCCCUCUACCAUCCUUUGCUGAAAUUGUUUCGAAAGCUUUGAGCCAUGAAAUCUUUGAACGGUCAGUUUCCCAUUCAUCUUCCAACUCUGCUUAUUUUGUGCAGCAAACUUCCAAAGUGGCUGGUCAUAAGCAAGUGAAGCAUCAGUCUUCAGCUUCUCCUACACCAUUUGCCAACUCAAAGUCAUCAUCCAACUCCUUCGUCCACUGUCAGUUGUGCGACAAAGAGGGCCACUCGGCUAAACGUUGCUGGAAUUUCCUGAAACUCAAGAAGAAGCAAUCGGCUAACCUUGCUGAGGCUUUUUCUGCCUGCUCGAUUCAGGAUUUUAAUGACUCUGAAUGGUUCCCUGACUCUGGUGCAGCGUCCCACAUGACUAGUGACACCAAAGGUGUGGAUCAACCGGCUGUCUAUUCUGGUAAUGAACGUGUCAUGGUUGGUAAUGGUCAGUCCUUAGCAAUCUCUCACACUGGUUCCAUUUCAUCUCUUGUUCCGUCUAGUCCUCUUCUUUUAUCUAAUGUCUUAGUUGUUCCUGGAAUUAAGAAAAAUCUUAUUUCUAUUAGUCAACUUACUAAAGACAAUAAUUGUUGUGUUACCUUUUCUUCCUCUGGUUUUACCAUACAGGAUCGGGUCACAAGAGUGGUACUGGGAGUCAGAAGAUGUGAAAAUGGUCUCUACGUGCUGGAUCGUCGUCAUCAUGCCUUAGUGUCCACUACUUCUUCACCGCGAGCAUCUAUUCGUUUAUGGCAUACUCGCCUUGGUCAUCCACAUUAUCGUACUGUUGCUUCUCUUUCUAAAUUAGGAUCUAUUUCUUGUAGUAAUAAAUUGGUGAACAAUGAUUCUGAAAUUUGUGUUGGUUGUAGACUCGACAAAAGCCAACGUUUACCUUUUUCUUUAAAUAAUGAACGUUGUGCUAUGCCUUUUGAUCGUUUACACUGUGACCUAUGGAGUCCGUCACCAGUUUCUUCUUUUAAUGGAUAUAGAUACUAUGCGGUUUUCAUUGAUGAUUGUACUAGAUUUAGUUGGAUAUUUCCUUUAAAACACAAAUCUGAUUUCUUUGAUAAUUUCAUCAAUUAACAAAGUUUUAUUGAGACACAGUUUUCCGCCAAAAUCAAAUCAUUUCAGUGUGAUGGUGGAACUGAGUUUACUAAUAAUAAGUUUCGCUCUCAUUUGCAUUCGUGUGGCAUUAAUCUUCGUCUGGCAUGUCCUUACACUCCUAGUCAAAAUGGAAUUGCCGAACGUAAGCAUCGUCAUGUCACAGAAACAGGUCUUACUCUUAUGUUUCAUGCUCGUGUGCCGCUCUCCUCAUGGGUUAAGGCCUUCUCUACUGCCAUCUUUCUCAUUAACCGACUCCCGUCACCAUCUCUUGCUGGCAAAACACCUUAUGAGCUCCUGUUUGGUAAGCAACCCGAUUAUUCUAUGCUUCGUACUUUUGGGUGUCUUUGCUUCCCUUAUUUGAGAGAUUACUCACCUAAUAAAUUGUCUCCAAAAUCUACUCCUUGUGUCUUUUUAGGUUACAAUACCCUUCAUAAAGGAUUUCGGUGCUUAGAUCGUAAGACACAUCGUGUCUAUGUUUCUCGACAUGUGCAGUUUUAUGAACAUACCUUUCCCUAUAAUGGUGAUUCUGUGCAAAAUCUACCAUCUAACAUUGACUAUAUUCAUUUUUCUGAGUCUCAGGAAUGUGUUUCUAGUUCUUCUAACGUUAGUACUUCAGAUUCUUUGCCUUCACCAUCUUUCUCGAAUUCACUGUGUUUGCCUUGCAAUGAUAUUCCACACUUGUCUUCGACUUCUUCUCCUGGUCCGCAAGUUCCUCUUGAUGAGGACUCUCUCUUGGAUUCUGUUGUUACAGAUUCGACCACUCCUUCACUAGUUUCGUCUUCUCCUCGUGUGACCACUUCCAGCCAUUCGAUGAUUACUAGAGGGAAAACUGGUAUAUUCAAACCACGAUUGUAUCAUGCUAUGAAUAUCUCAUCUUCUUCUCAGUUGUUUCAGGCUCUUCUUGCUCUCAAAGAGCCACGAGGCUUCACGUCUGCUGCAAAACACCCUGAAUGGCUCUCGGCUAUGGAUGAUGAAAUUCACGCACUGAAGAAAAAUGAUACGUGGGUUCUUGUACCUCGUCCUCAACAUCAUAAUGUGGUUGGCUGUCGCUGGAUUUUCAAAACAAAGCUUCACUCUGAUGGGUCUAUUGAGCGUCAUAAGGCAUGUCUUGUGGCUCAAGGAUUUUCUCAAGUUCAUGGUCUUGAUUUUGGUGACACCUUUAGCCCUGUGGUGUGUCCUGCUACAGUCAGAAUCAUUCUAUCCUUGGCUGUUACUUCUGGAUGGCGUUUACAUCAGCUAGAUGUUAAAAAUGCCUUUCUUCAUGGCUUUCUCAACGAAGAGGUGUAAAUGGAACAACCGCCUGGCUACACUGAUCCACAGUUUCCUCAGCAUGUUUGUCGUCUAAAACGUGCUCUUUAUGGCUUGAAACAAGCUCCUCGAGCUUGGUUUCAUCGAUUUAGCUCAUUUUUGCUCAAACUUGGUUUUCACUCUAGUCAGGCUGAUUUUUCAUUGUUUGUCUAUCACUCCUCGCUUGGUACUGUUUACUUACUUCUUUAUGUUGAUGACAUGAUCAUCACUGGAAGUACUCCUUCUCUGGUUCACACCUUUAUUACUCGGCUUUCCAACGAAUUCUCCAUGAAGGAUUUGGGUGAUCUUCAUUAUUUUCUCGGAGUUGAAGUCCAAGCUAAUGAGAAGGGUCUAUUUCUCAGUCAAACGAAGUAUGCUCUUGAUCUCUUGCAACGUGCUUCAAUGAUUGAUGCCAAGCCUAUUUCUACACCUUUUGUUGUUGGACAGCAUCUAUCCGCCGAAGGGACUCUAUUCUCCGACCCUACUCUGUUUCGUUCUCUUGCCGGUGCUCUUCAAUACCUCACGAUCACCAGGCCUGAUUUGUCCUUCAGUGUCAACUCCAUUUGCCAGUUCAUGCAUGCUCCCACCGAGGAUCAUUUUCGUGCUCUCAAGCGUAUCUUGCGCUAUGUUAAAGGCACUGCUCAUCAUGGUCUUCAACUUCACAAACAGUCUACUCAUGAUCUUCUUGGCUACUCUGAUGUGGACUGGGCUGGAUGUCCUGAUACACGUCGUUCUACCACCGGCUAUGCUAUCUUUUUUGGAGCUAAUUUAAUCUCUUGGUCUUCUAAGAAACAAAGCACUGUCUCUCGUUCAAGUGCAGAAGCCGAAUAUCGCUCCUUAGUUGUUGCUACUGCUGAUAUUGCAUGGAUUAUUCAGUUGCUUCGGGACCUUCAUGUUACACUCUCAGUGCCACCUAAAAUUCUUUGUGACAAUCAAAGUGCAAUUUUUAUGGCAGUCAAUCCGGUUACUCAUCCUCGAUCCAAACAUAUUGCAAUCGACUACCAUUUUGUUCGUGAACUUGUUGAUAAAGGCACUUUGAAAAUUGAUUUUGUUCCUUCACAUCUACAGCUUGCUGAUUCACUGACCAAAGGAGUUACCAAGCCACAGUUCUAUCUCUUUCGAAGCAAGCUCAGCGUUCUCCCUUCUACCACGCUCACCUUGCAGGGAGGUGAUAAGGGAGAAUCAAAUUCUCCAUGAUACGUGCUUCCUUCCUUUUCUGUUAGCAUAAUAUCCGCUUGUAUAGCUGUAGGGAUAUGCUCAAUAUUUGUAUUUGAUUCUUUCCUAUUAUGUAGGAGUUUACAACUGUAAUUAUCGUGUAUAUAUAAUGAAGAGUUAUCUCCUCAUCUGGCAAGGAGGAUUUCAGUCAUUUACCGUGUUUAUCAAAACAUCUUUACAGUUGUUCAGUUAUACCAUUAUUUGUCACCUUGUUUUUUUUUUUUUUUUUUUUCAGCAAGCUUAACGUCUUUUCCAGUUCACUAACAUGUCUAGGAUGAUAUACUGCUAUUAGACAAUUCGAUAUAUCCGAAAUGACCUUCACGUUGUCCAGGUUCGAUGCAAUACUAAUUUCCUGUCUCAUAGGCAACCCAAACAUGAUACCCAACAUUCCAAAAGUGCACGAAACAGAGGAAGUGAAGAAAAACAGAGCAUAUACAAAUGAAAAAGAUACGAUUGAACUCAGCUCCAUUUCAUAACGAUCAAUGGGCUGGAUACAGGUGCCAUAGGAAGGAAGCAAAAAAAAAAAAAAAAUGAUUUUGAUACAUCAAGCUCGGGGGAGGAAACAAAGCAUCAGGCAUUGACAAGAAAGAUAGAAAAAAAAAAACACCAGAAACAAAACCAAAACAGAGCAUGCAUACAAAGGAUAGAUCCCUCAAAGCAAACAAGUGGCCUAGUAGUCAUACCUGGAUGUUUUCCUCAAGCCAAAAGUUUCCUGGCCACCCGCUCUGCUCUCCUCCCUUCCCUCUCCUGCUUCAGCCAAAGAACCCCUCUUUUAGAAAGAAUCCCCUCACCUCCAAAUCUCCCCCGUUUCCCCAUCUUCCUUAGCAAGCCACUACCUGAUCUCAUGUGCACCAUUCCGCCAAUGCGUCAUCCUCACCCACCACCAUGGGCAAGCCGUGCUCUUGGCCACCUGUCCAUGCAGCUUCUUCAUGGCAGAAAAUGGGUCCCUCCUCAUCUAAAAAAAAUGAAUGGAAAAUGCCCCCCCCCCCCCGGUGGUCCAAUAUGAAAUUAGAGUUAUUAUAAAUGACAUGAUGAUAAAAUUAAUUAAUUUGUAGAAGUUGAGAAAAUGAACCAUUGUUUCUUUUGUUUUGUCAAAAUGUUUUUGACCAUCAUCCAUAAAGUUGGCGAAUCAACUUUGACUGUAGCACCCCAUUUUGGACUAUAGAGUUGUAGCUUCAACUAAGAUUAGUUUGAUUAGGUUAGUAAUUAUAAUAUGAAUUAAAAACUUAAUAUUUGAAUAUUAUGUGUAAGAUGUAAUACCUUGUUUUUAGUCAUUGAUGGUACUUGUCCUUUUAUUGCAUGAAAACAAAUCUGAAUUGGAAAUGUUAAAGUGAAGUGUAAAUAAAUAGAAAUAUGAUCAUAAUUUAUGUUGUUGAACAUAGAUAACAUGGCGACACCGUUAAGUAGAUAAACUAAAAGAUAACAAUAUAAUAAGAAAUCUAACAUUAUUCGUUAUCAAAUAUUUUUUAUGAUUUUCUAUCCCUUGAUUUUGAAAAUAAAAACGUAGAUAAGGUAAAAAGCAACAAAUAGUAAAAAAAUAUAAAAGCAAGAAAAUGAUAAACAAUGAAAUAAAUAAGUUAAAAAUGACAAACCGUGAAAUACAUAAGUUAGUUAUAGUAAAAUUCUUUGACAAAUGAUUUAUAAAAUAUGUAUUUUUGUUUUUGGGUUAUCGCAUGAAAAAAUUAUUUAAAUUAUAUGUUAUUUUACUGAUAAAAGGUAAUUUCAUUAAAUAUUUACCAUUUCAUCGAAUUCUUUUAUUGAAUUAUUUUGUAUUGGGUUCUUUAAAUGUUGUUUCAUACAUAGAUAUGUGGUUAUUCAUGCCCAGGUUGUUUUCUAAAGUGUUUGAUUUUUAAUUAUAAGUGUAUAUUAAUUUUCGUGGAAUAAUCUUUAAAAAUUAAAUAAAAAUAAAAAUAUAUAAUAAAAAACAUAUUAUUUUAUAUUUUUAAGAAUUAUAGAAACAAUCCUUUAUUUCCUAUUGUUAAAAUUGCUUUCAAACGUAGCCUCACUACCGCAAAUUUUUUACACCACACAACGUUGUAAAUAACAGAGGGAACACAGUUUAGUUUAGUUGGUGUAGACACAUACUUUGUUGUAGCUUAUGAACUUGAAUAUUCUCAAGUUCUAACAAUUGUUAAAUUUAAAAUUAUGUUUUAAUAUAUUUAGAAGUCAACAUUGUGAAAAUAUUAUGAAAGAUAAUACUAUCGUUGUAAAUUUUUUAUUAAAUUUUGAAAAAAUGUAAUGCAAUUUGAAUUUUUUUUAAAAAAAUUAUAGUUUAAUAAAAAUAUCUAUGCACAUGUAUAAGUAAUCUUGUUAAGGUAAUUUAUGAAUUUUAAAAAAUAUCCUAUUUAAAAACUAAUCUAAUUAUACUAACAGACAAUAGAUGAAUUAUCCAAAAUAAUAAAAAAAAAUAAAAAAUAAAAACUAACAUUUUGUUUGUUAAUGCAUAAUAAUAAUAAAAAAAGAUAUUAUCAACAAAUAAAUACCUUGAUAUGUUUAAAAUGAGCGGGAAAUUAUUUCUUUAACCAUAAUUGGUCAUCAUUUUUUAUCUCUGAAAUAUGAAAAUAGAAACAUAGAUAAGUUAAAAACCAAUAUAUGAUAAAUAAAAAAAACUUGAUGAUAAGAAAAUGAUAGAGGGUAAAUUAGAUAAGUUCAUUACCUAAGAUGAAAGGCCAGUUUAGUAUCAAAUUCCAUGGGAGGUUGUUAUAAGAUAUGUAUAUAUAUAUAAUAUCAAAUGACUUAAAGUAGGAGAUAUUUAUUGAGGUUUAAUAUUAAUAUCAUGAAAAUAAAUGAAAGUCAUUAAUUUAAAAUUGAAUCAUUUUUUAAGGGAAAGUUUUGUUUGCAGGCUGCUAUUAGGAAGAUAUAUGGUUUUGGAAACCCAUGUAAAUGAAAUAUGAAAUGUCCUUGUUAAUGGAGAAAAUAUUAUCUUUCUCAUGCACUCUUUGCUGACUCCAAUUUAUAUUCCUAGAUUGCCCCUCCAUGCCUCCAUAUCAGCUACAACCUUGUCUCCAUAUCAGCAAGAAGCCCUCCAUGCCAAUGAGAGAGUGAAAAUUUUUAAAACAAAAAUCUAAAUUUGAAACCUAUGAAAAAUGACCCGACCUGACAACCAUCUCUAAUUUCCUUAAUCUGAAAUUUUCUUCUCUCUGAUUUGAGAGCAUUUCUCUUUCUCUCUCUCUCUCUCUCUCUCUCUCUCUCUCUCUCUCUCUCUCUCUCUCUCUCUCUUUUCCUCUCUCUCUCUCUCGGCUUCAUCACCCACAUAAUCCCAAGACCCAUGUAAAAUUUCCCAAAAAUUGUCUUAUUUAAGAGAAAAAAACCAUUAAUCCAAAACUCUAACUUGCAUGUUUCUUUCUUGUCCACAUAAAAGUGCAACGAAAUGGAGCAUUCCAUCCUAAGAAUGUCCAGUUAAAAGACGACUUCAAGAGGCACAUCUGUGAUUGUGAAUCUACUACAGCAGCGCGUACCAAAACGGAAAGGUGGAAUCCAAAAUAUUGGCUUUGUAAACAAGAUAUCUCUUUCUAUCAUUGAGUGACAUUUUGCCCUAACCCUAAACCGAAAUCUGAAGGUAAAUUAUUUUCAUUUAUUGUUCUUUAGUUCAUUUAUUUGAAAUAGAGCACAUCAACGUUUUGGAGUCGUUUGUGGACAUGAACUUUUGUGUUGGGUUGUGGGAACCAUAUUAUUCCUAAAUAAUCAUAUGACCCACAAGUCAUAUUGAACCAAGAUGGAACUUACAACAUAUAUGGUUGUAAGUCGCAUUGUUAUUUUGCGGACUGUACCUUAGGUACUACCUUAAUAGCCCUUAGGUACCACCUUAACCUACCUUAGGUACCACCUUAACCUACCUUAGGUACUACCUUAAGCCACCUUAGGCACUACUUUAGUUAAAGUUAGGUUGUACCUACCUAAAGCAUCGAACCUUCCUUUGUCACCCUUAGAGCAUGCCAUUAUGUGAUUCUUUUAUGUGGUCAAGUGGUUCGCCUUUGGUUUUUUGUGGAUUAUACCUUAGGUGCUACCUUAAUAGUCCUUAGGUACCACCUUAUUCUACCUUAGGUACUACCUUAAGGGACCUUAGGUACUACCUUAGUUAAAGUUGGGUUUUACCUAUUCGAUGCCUUGGACCUUCCUUUGUGACCCUUAGAUCAUGUCAUUAUGUUAUCUUUUGUGUGGGCCAGUGGUUCACCUUUGAUUUUUUAGGGACAGUACCUUAGGUACUACCUUAAUAGCCCUUAGGUACCACCUUAAUCUACCUUAGGUACUACCUUAACCGACCUUAGGUACUACCUUAGUUAAAAUUGGGUUUUACCGAUCCGAAGCCUCUAACCUUCAUUUGUCACCCUUAGACCAUGCCUUUAUGUGAUUCUUUUGUGUGGUCAAGUGGUUCACCUUUGGUUUUUUGCAGACUGUACCUUAAGUACUACCUUAAUAGCCCUUAGGUACCACUUUAAUCUACCUUAGGUACUACCUUAAGGGACCUUAGGUACUACCUUAGUUAAAGUUGGGUUCUACCUAUCCGAAGUCUUGGACCUUCCUUUAUGACCCUUAAACCAUGCCAUUAUGUGAUUCUUUUGUGUGGGCAAGUGGUUCACCUUUGGUUUUUUGGGUACUGUACCUAAGGUACUACCUUAAUAGCCCUUAGGUACCAUCUUAAUCUACCUUAGGUACUAACUUAGUUAAAGUUGGGUUCUACCUAUCCAAAGCCUCAGACCUUCUUUUGUGACCCUUAGACCAUGCCAUUAUUUGAUUAUUUUGUGUGGGCAAGUGGUUCACCUUUGGUUUUUUGGGGAUUGUACCUUAGACACUACCUUAAUAGCCCUUAGGUACCACCUUAACCUACUUUAGGUACUACCUUAACCGACCAUAGGUACUACUUUAGUUAAAGUUGGGUUCUACCUAUCCAAAGCCUCUGACCUUCCUUUGUGACCCUUAGACCAUGCCAUUAUUUGAUUUUUUUGUGUGGGCAAGUGGUUCACCUUUAGUUUUUUGGGGACUGUACCUUAGGCACUACCUUAAUAGCCCUUAGGUACCACUUUAAUCUACCUUAGGUACUACCUUAACCGACCAUAGGUACUACUUUAGUUAAAGUUGGGUUCUACCUAUCCGAAGCCUCUGACCUUCCUUUGUGACCCUUAGACCAUGCCAAGUGGUUCACCUUUGGUUUUUUGGGGACUGUACCUUAGGUACUAUCUUCAUAGCCCUUAGGUACCACCUUAAUCUACCUUAGGAACUACCUUAACCGACCUUAGGUACUACCUUAGUUAAAGUUGGGUACUACCUAUCCGAAGCCUUUGACCUUCCUUUGUGACCCUUAGACCAUGCCAUUAUGUGAUUCUUUUGUGUGGUCAAGUGGUUCACCUUUGGUUUUUUUAGGACUGUAUCUUAGGUACUACCUUGAUAGCCCUAAGGUACCACCUUAAUAUACCUUAGGUACUACCUUAACCGACCUUAGGUACCAUCUUAGUUAAAGUUUGGUUCUACCUAUCCGUAGCCUCUAACCUUCCUUUGUCACCCUUAAACUGAAAAUGCUCACUCAAACGUUUGGAGCAUAAGACAAUUUGUUCAUUAAAGGUCACAACAUUAAAGAAAUUGAGAAUUUUUGACACAUCAUAAGAUUUUGAAUAAAUUCUAGUUGAGAUGUAAAGCUAACAACUAUAUCUAUGGAAAUUACAUUUUAGCAUUUUCCAAAUUUAAAUUUAAGCUAAUAUGUACAAAUUUUGUCAAUAUAAGCUAAUACCUUGAUUCUAGUACAUUUAAGCUAAUAUGUACAAAUUUUAGCAUUUCCCAAAUUUACAUUUUGUCACUUAAACAUUUUGCCAUUUUGCACAAACUUAUUUAACCCAUCUUCUUCAUUCUAGUACCUUGAUUUUCAUUAAUCCUUGGAUCAACUCAUUUGACCAAAAAUAAUUUUGUGAAAAGACAUUUCAAACAAACUUUUAAUUUAAGUAUAUUAUAUAAAUCUUAUUUAAAAUUUUUGAAUGAUUUAAUUUUUCAUUUAAAAAUAUAGUUACAAAUUUUAUUAAAAUUAAUAUUUUCAUUUGUGGGUUUAUGGACAAAAAUUUAAGAUAAUUUUAAUAGCAAGUUAGAUAAAUAUAUGUAUUGACUAAUAAGAAUUUAAGUAUUAUUUGUUUUAUUGUUUAGGGUUGAAUGUAACAUCAGAUAAAAGAAGAAAAGGGACAAUAUAUCAUAUCCCAUGUUUGGUUAGUGAUAGAAGAAGAUAAGUUAACCUUACAACUUGUCAUAUCUUAUAUUCAACCAAACAUGGAAUAGGGUAACUCGAUAUUAUCAAUUGUUUAUAUAUAUAUAUUACUUAUCUUGCAAAAUAUUUUUUUUCGUUAAAAAGGAAAAUUAAAAAAAAUUAUAAAAUAUAUUAUUAAAUAAUAUUAAUAUAUUUAUUAUUCAAUAUAUACAAAAUAUUUUUAUAUAUUGAAUAUCAUAAUAUAUAUAAUAAAUUUUAAUUUAUAAAGUUUAAAUAUUUUAAUUAUGAAUAUUAUUAAAUGUAAAACAUAAAAAAUAUUGAAAUGUAAUAUAAUUUUUAAUUUAAACAUUGAAAAAUAAUAUAUACUAUAUCUUAUUUUUAUUCAUUUACAAAUUAAAUAUAAACAUAAUAUAAUAGACCCACUGAAUAUAAUAUUCAAUAACAUCAUAUCUUAUUAAAAAUCAUAUAUUUAAAUUUCCUAAUAUACAUAUAUAUUCUAUCCUACUAACCAAACAUAACCUUAAAAUAUUUUCAAACAUUUUCAUAACUUCUAUCAAUUUGCGUUCCACCCAAAUUUUGUUUUCUUUUGUUUCACAUUUUUCAUCCCAUAUUUUUCAUAUUUAUAUAAAUUCAAGUACCAACUUUUAAUACCUUCAUCAUUUUCAACAUUGUUGUAGAGAGUCAUAAAAAACUUAUUUAUUUUUAAUUAAAUGAGAUUCUGUCAACAUAUUUUUAAAAUGAGAAAUUAACACUGAUAUAAUAAUCUUAUUUUUUGUAGUGUGGCAUCUCAAAAUAUUGAAAAUUUUCUAGCAUUCGUUGUAAAAUGACUAAAAUCAUCAAAAAUAUUUUUCUUCACUUACAUAAUUAUUAAAUAAGUUUUUAUCUUUUAUUUUUAAAAGUAAAAAAAAAAAUUGAAUACCAAAAAUAUUUAGCAUUUAUAGAAAUUAGAAACAACAUUUAUAUUUUCUAUCUAAAAAGAGAAAAAUUAAAAGUCUCAUAUUGACUUACCUACAACAAAAAGGAUCCUAAAAUCAACCUAACAAACUUCAAACAAGCAAUAAUCAGCAUAAACCAAACCAUCUCACACUUCAACUUGCACUGCACUUACAAUUAACAAAACAGACCCAUAAGAAAACAAAAGAGCAGGAUGAGUUUUUUCAUAUUCUUGUUUGCCAACUGCGCUUUCAGGUGUUUUCUAAUAACAUAUUUGGUGGGGUGCUCAUGCAAUCUCCUUCUGUACAUGAUUUUGAUCAAAGAGAAAUGUUUUGCUUCUACCUUUUCCCUAGAAGUAACAUCAAUGGGAAGGUUCACUAGCUUUGCUUUAGAACUAGCUUUAUUUUAACUUUUCAUUUAUAAAAUCAUCCCCCAUAUUGGAAGUACUUCAUUUCUAUGCCUUCAAAUGGAUCUACCAAUAUAUGCCAUUUCUUUCAAAUUCAUUCUUUGAUCAUGUUGCAUUCAGGUUGUACAUUAAUAUCCUGUACUGAUGACCUUCUGAAGUGAUGUUGACAUUGAUCUUGACAAUGUCAACAAAUCACUAAAGAGAAGCGCAUGUACAAGUGCAAAAGAUAGGCACAAAUACUUUGCAAGGGCACACAAACACAAUAAUUUACAUGAGAGUUUGAUUUCAUUUGCCUGCAAAAUCAACCCAUUUUUACAGUUAUAGGCUUGCCUUAUACAUGUCCAAAAAGCAUACAAGACCAAUAAUCCGUUGAUUCAGACUUUGUCUAGGAUGACUACGUAUGGAAUAAAUAUGAGGAGUCACAAUACUGUCUGUUCAAACUCAUAAUAUUCAAAUAAUGUCUGUAUUAGACCCUAUUGGCACUUUAAAGAUUUCAAUGACUACGUAUCGGUCAAACUAGUGAACUAUGAAUUAGUAAUUUUUUUUUAUUCAAUGACUGAUCUUAUUCUAAAAACAUUGAUUUAAAAGAUUUCAAAUUAACACUACCUAAAGGCAUUGAUAUAUAUGUAGAGGCUUUGGGUGUCAAUUAAGCCUAAAUAUUUAAUUACAUCGCUUCUAGUAUUUAAGCGUGCACACGUGAUGCAACUUUUUGUUUGAAUGAUAUUACAUGGACAAUUACUUGUUGAAUAUUUAAAUGUUAAAAAUAAUAUUAUUAUUAAAGAAAACUUAGAAAUAAACAUUUAAUGACUCAAAUUUUCUUUAUUUCUAAAAUUAAAUUAUACUUCUCUCUUCUUUAAACAAUUUUUUCAUAAAUGAAUGUGUUCAAACAUUUUUCAAGAUCUAUUUAUCUCGAUAAACAUAACUUUCAGAAUUUUCUUUUAUCUUCUCUUCAUUUAUAUUCAUAAUUGUUUUGAAUUAAUUUUGAUUUAUCUAUUAAAAAUUAGUUGUGGUUUGCAUUCUUUGUAUAAUAUUUAUUAUUAUCAUCAUUAUUAUAAUAACAAAGAAAUGAUUAAAAAUAUUUGCUGAAAAAUAAGGUUAAAAAAUUUUAUAUAAGAAAAAUAAAAUGUGGUAAACUUGUUUUUAGGCAAACCCUUAAAUAUUUUCAUUAAUUAAUAUAUUUUUUUUUUUUACAAUUUUUCCAAAUUCAUGUGGUAUAAUUUGAGUGAAAAUUUAUUAAAAACUAGAAAAAUAAAUAUUUGAUAUAUUUAAUAAUCUUGUUUUCCAGGCAAUAAAAUCUUCUUGUCUGUUGAAGUCUCGCGUCACCCGGGGUUCUCGCAGUAGCCAGAUGGACGCUCCCUUUCAACUGAUGAUGAUUCAUGCCUCAAUCAACCUGCAAAAGACGUCCGGACAGGUUGUCCGGACAUACCCUCCGAUGGUUUUGUUAGUUUUCUCUCUAAUAAUCAAUCUUCCCUUUUUACUGAGUAAGAAAGCUUACCUUCUCUCCUCGCAUGAAGGCUCUUUUAUAGUGUCAGAAGUUCUGUCCCCUUUAAUGGUGGGAAGACUUUUUGGCUUGUCAUGAUGGCGCUGAGGUAGUGGCAGAGCCAUCAUGGUCCUGCAGGCGCAUGUCAGAUAUUGUGGAGGGGAUGGCUUACCGUUAUUCCUGUCAUUUUGCUCUGCAGGCGGUGGAAUGCGGGCUGUGACAGGUUGUCUGAGGUGACUUAGUAUGGUCCUGUCGAAAGUGCUUCUGCCAGUGUAGGCCAGGAUGGCCUACGUUUCACGGGCAAGGCUUUUGAUUAAGUUGCUAACGCUGGUUCCGAACAACAUAUCCAGACAAGAGAAGGAGUCGUUCGGACCGUGGGUUUGAGAGUGUCGUACGCCCCCCCAGAGGGAAUCCGGAUAGAAAGUUGAUGUGCCAUGUGUCCCCUGGAGGGGUGCUAUGCGGGGUUGCCACGUGGGCGUUUGGGGGUGGUCCCUACAAUGCCUCCCUUUUAACAUGGCUAUUUUGCCCGGGCAGAAAAGACGGGUUAAAAAUGAUGCUUUUAAACCCUUCGUUUCUUUUUUGGGGUUUAUCUGCCACGUGGUAUUGCGGAAGGGGGGGUAUUUAUGGCGAGCCGCCGUUCUUGGGGGGAUUUCUAGGCGGCAUGUCGUUUCGAUAGUGGUGCGGUUAGGCGCCUGGUUAUUUGGAGGACUAAGAAGUCGCAUCCCUUAAAUAGGAAUCCAGCCCCCGCGACUACAUUUUUCGUUCUACGUUUUUUUCUCAUCUGUAUUUUCCCUUUGCCUCUCUGUUCAUCUUCGCCUAUGACCGAGGGUCGCUUUCUAGGGCUUCUGUUAGCGGCAUUCUUGUCACAAGGGCGACUGUAUCGCGACCUUCGUUCCAGUUGCAAGCUUGCGCCAGGUAUGUUCUGUAUUUCUAUCUCCUCAUCUUAAGCUUCCUGUUUCUUCGAUUUUUGCUGGCUUGUUGGGUAUUUUGUUUGCAAUUGAGGGUCAGAGGUAAUGUUUAGGGUUUUUCAAGGGGUUUUGAUUUUGCUUUUGGCCCAUUGUGGCUUUUGUUGCCCUCCUAUUGCCUUUGCGGAUGACUGAACCGCAUUUGGGGUAGAGUUAGGGGUUAGGCUUGGGGUUUUGGCUAUUUUAGGCCUUCUGGGUCAUUUGUUCUCAGGGUUGUGGGGCGGGGUACCUCUAUUUUAACUGUUGGCAUUUUGCCAUGCAGGUUUUGUCUCGGCCCCACGCUUUAACAUGCCUGCGAAAAAGGAUGUGGCUUCGUCUAGUACGGCUGGGCUUAGUGGAAAAAGUGUAUACGGACAGACCUACUUGGGGAAGCCUACUGACAAGUUGAACGAGAGGGAGUUUUGUGAGCGUUUCUGAAUCCCGAAUGAUGUCUCUGUUCAGCUAGUGGACGGGGAUGCUAUGUCCACUGAGAAAGCUGUCAACCACGCCAUUUACUUUUCCAAGGAGCAAUUCAAUGCGGGGCUCCGGUUUCCUUUUUUGUCUCUCUUCAAAGAGUUCCUCCACUUCACUCAGAUUCCUGUAGCUUAUGUCCAUCCCAAUAUUGUCCGGGUGUUGAUGGGGUGCAGUAUCCUAAAUAUGCUGUUCAAUUUGGAUCUUUCCUUGCUGGAGGUCCUCUUUGUUUACACCAUCAAGAAGGAGAAGACAGACCUCUUCAGCUUGUUUGCCCAUAUCCCAUCCCUUCAAUUGGUGACCAACCUUCCGGAUUCGAACAAGGGGGGAGCCAAAGGGCAUGUACUGGUCAGGGGUCACUGGGCUGGUCUGUCGGAGCCUUCAGAAAGGGAGUUUACCCCCAACCGUUCGUGGACGCUUCCGUGUAGGGUAGCUCUUGGUGUCUGUUCGGUGUUGGUUUUUGACUCUUGAUUCAGUGUUAUCAGAUGACUAACCUCUUUUGUUUUGGGUAACACAGGUACACACAAGAGGGGUCGCUUGGUCGAGUGGGUGGAGAAGGCCUCUUUCGAUCGUUUGAACAGGUUGUUUGAGAUCACUUCCAUCGAGAGGCACUAGCAGACACUUCUUUCUACCCGGAACCUGUUGGUGGUCGUCCGGGAACCUCAGCCGUACGUCCUCGAUAUUCUCUCCAGGCGACUACCCAAGGUUGUAGUGCCCGGGGAACACUUUGUGCUGAAGGAUCUGCCUUUUUACGAAAGGGCUAGCGAGGCUAACGCAAAGGCGCGCUAGGAGUGCCUUGACCAGCGGGAGGAGAAGAGGCAGGAGGGGACACUGAGGAAAACACCUGUAAGAGAAAGGGCCUGGCGAGAAGGGACACGGCUCUUCUCUCGCGGUCUGUCUUCCGACUGCAAAGAAGAAGAAAAAGAAAACCAUUGCGUAUGCUCUCCAAGUAGUGUCUCCGGCUCCUGAUCUUUCGUCUUCAUCCUCCGACUCUAUGUCCAGUCGACCGAAUAACCCUACCCCGAAGCCUGAGGAUACUUCUAGCUUCCCACAGCUUGAGACUUUCCGUUCGGGGCUUAGCUCUUUCCAGCCUCAGUUGGACUUCGUUGGCUUGAGAGUCGUGCAUGAGCCGGAGGAAGUGAGAGACAUGAACGACCUCAGAACCGGGUUUUUACAAAGGCAUCGUAAGUGGCUGUAUGAUCCCAUAGAUCUUGCACCUCCUCCAGCCAAGAAGGAUUGCCCAGAGAGAGAUGGGGAGGAUCCGACGGCAGAAGUUCCUUUGUUAGCUAUGGCCCAUCCGGACGAGGCGAGUUCUAGCGCGGCUACAGCGGUUCAGCCAGACACUGCAGGAUCUGAUGCAGCGGCAACGACUCGGCCCGAAGUUCCAGGGCUUAGCGCAGCGACCGUUGCUCAACCAGGCUUAACUGCUCACAGCAAUGCCCCGACUACAAUGGAGACCCGUGGGACAGAGGGGGUUCCGGAGGCAGCGAUUGACGAGAAGGCUUCGGACAAGAAGAGUAGUCCAGCUACCACGGUUCCUCUAAGAUGGGAGGAAAUGAUGGAGAUGCUGAAGGGAGUGCCAUGUUUCACGGAUGCGGAGGCUCAUUCCACAAGGAUGUCUGACUUCUUUUCGCUUGCCAAACGGGUCUCUGUGAACAUGGGUGGUGAUCCUCCUGCCUUUGUCAAGGCCCGACUUCUUUUUGGCACCCCUGAGCCCGCCGUUUCUUGUAUUCAACAUCUGUAGAAGUGGACGAUCCCUGAGACUGCAGAAGUGGUAAUCAUUUCUUUGCUACUUUUUCCUUCUUCCUUAACAACUGUUACUCCUUUGCACUACAUUAGCUUUUGUUUUGAUGUUGUUCUGCACAGGUCAUGGCUGGCAUCCGCUACAUGAUGCAUAUGCGCGAACAACUCUUCAAGCAGCUGGAAGUGGCGGAGGCUAUGCGCGCCUUCAUCUCUCACCAUCUAGGCGACGUUGAGGAGAUGCGCUCGAGGUUAAAGAAGGUGGAGGCUGAGUUGGCCACUGCUCAGAAGGUCGUAGCGGAUGGGGCGGAGAAGCUGAGCCAGGCUGAGGAGGAGAAGGGGGCUGUCCGGGCUAAGGUGAACUUGCUGAAAAGGGAAAAAGGGGCCCUGGAGGGUCAAAUCAAGGGGGUGGAGCAAGAGAAUUCUCAGCUUAAGAAUGAGGUAGAUGAACUUCGGGCUAGCCUCGCAGCUCAGAAGAAGGAGACAGAGAGGUUGCAGGUAGGCCUAGUUGCUCAGAGGGAGGAGAUGGAGGCCGGGAUUGCCGCUCAGAAGAAGGAGUUGGAGACGGAGUAUCAAAGGCAGGUAGAUGAGAUGUACUUCUUCGACUACCGUUGCUGCAUGAAGAAGAACGGCAUUAUGCAUGAUGUUCUGUCUCUUCCUUGUGACGAUGAGGAUGUGAUACCCGGAGGCCCUCCUUGCUGAGAUUUCUUUGUGUGCAGUCCUCCUUAUACUUUUUCUCUUUGUUUUGCUGCUUUUGGGGCAGCAGAUUUUGUAAAGACAAAUUUUCAGUCCUUUAUAAAUGCUUUAGACUUCUUUGUUUUUCUCUACCUUUUGCUUCUCUUUAUUGGUAAUAUUGCUUAAGGUUAGAUACAUUUCAUGGACAGAGCAACGGGGUUCCGUCUAACUUUUGUAGGUGAUAGGCUCCGCUUUCACUUGCCUUAGUUACAAUAUAAGGACCUUCCCAAUUCGCUUGGAAUUUCUCGACUCCUCUUUCAGCGGUGUUUUCGAAAACCUUUCUAAGGACCAGCGUUCCGAUCUUGAAGACCCGGGGUCAUGCCUUGCGGUUAUAGUGAGUGGCCGCUCUUUGCUGGUAGUCAGCCAUCCGAAUGGACGCGUUUUCUCUCACUUCAUCCGCCCAGUCUAGGUUCCUUCCUAGUUCCAUACUUUCAUCACUCUAUCCUCGUGCAUCAGUCCGAAUAAUGGGCAAGCCUAUUUCUGUGGGGAUGACUGCAUCCAUGCCGUAUGCAAGGGCGAAUGGAGUGUUUCCCGUGGGUUGGCCGGGUGUGGUUCGGUAGGCCCAUAGGAUGCCGGGCAGUUCCUCUACCCACUUUCCUUUGGCCUGCUCAAGCCUCUUCUUUAAGGCAGUCACCAAGGUUUUAUUUGUCGCUUCUGCCUACCCAUUGCUUUGAGGGUAAGGCGGUGUGGAGUACAAAUUGUGGAUUUUGAGCUCCGAGCAGAAAUUCCGGAAGGCAAUGUUGUCAAACUGUGGACCAUUGUCGGCUGUGAUUGCUUGAGGGAUCCCAAAGCGGCAAAUGAUGUUCUUCCACACAAAUUUGGUGACAUCCUUGUCCUUGAUUCUGGCAUAUGCCACUACUUCUACCCAUUUGCUGAAGUAGUCAGUGGCAACGAGUAGGAAUUUCUUCUGAGCAGCCGCGGUUGGUAAAGGUCCUACUAUGUCCAUCCCCCAUUGUGCAAAAGACCAAGGGCUGGAAAUUGGCUUCAACGUUUCAGACGGUGCAUGCGGUAUGGGGCAUGUCUUUGGCAUUUGUCACACUUCUUGACAUAAGCCGCCGCGUCUCUCUUCAUAGUUGGCCAAUAGUAGCCCUGCGAGUGUGCUCGAUGCGCCAAAGAUCGUCCUCCGGGGUGAUUGCCGCAUACACCCUCAUGUAACUCAGCUAAUAUGUAUUGAGCCUCUGAGCAGUCUAGGCACUAGAUGUAGGGGCCUGUAAAAGAUCGUUUGUAAAGGUGCUCCCCGAUCAGAGCGAAACGGGCAGCUUGUACCCGGAUCUUGUGCGCUUGCUUGGGUUCAUCAGGUAAAGAUCCUAUUCGGAGGUAUCAUGUUAUGACUUCCGUCCACUCCUGGCCCUCUUCCUGGCUCUCCUCAAUAGUAUUGCAAGUGGAUGCUUUUGUGAUGGAAGGAUCAGUCUACACAUAUAUAGGCAAUAAUAUGGCCUCUUUGAUGGGCAGGAAAACAGCUAUUCUUUCCAGGGCAUCAGCACGUACGUUAUCACCUCGUGGGAUUUUUUCUAUGGUCCAUUCGCCUAACCGUUGUAGGGUGUCUCUCACUUUUGUUAGAUGUCGUGCCAUGCGUUCGUCCUUGGCUCCGUAUUCCUCCUACACGUGUCUUACCACGAGUUGAGAAUCGCUGUAGACUCGAAGCUUGGAGACAGAUAGUGCGAGGGCGAGAUCUAGUCCAGAUAGGAUGCCCUUGUAUUCUGCUUCAUUGUUUGAUGCGGGGAACCCCAGCCCGAUAGCUUGCUCCAGUUGUUCACCCAUUGGGGAUUGCAAUAAAAGUCCUAUUCCGGACCCCGAUGAUCGAGAGACUCCGUCAACCCAUAAGGUCCACCACUCUUCUUUGUGCGGUUCCUCGUCUCGAACAGGUUUUUGGGAGGACUCUACCACAAAGUCGACCAUUACCUGCCUUUUCAUGGACAAUCUCGGUUGGUAUUCGAUCCCAUACUCACUUAAUUCUAUGGCCCAUUGGAGCAUUCUUCCGGACAGAUCCGGCUUGUGCAGGAUGUUGCGAAGGGGCUGGUCGGUAAGUAUGACUACCGAGUGGGCUUGGAAGUAGGGGCAGAGUUUCUGGGCGGCACUUCGCAAGGCUAAGGUUGUUUGCUCUAUCUUUGAAUACCUUGUUUCUGCAUCGGCCAAUGCUCUGCUGACAUAAUAAAUAGGUUUCUACUCCCUAUGUGUAGGGCAGCGAAACAGAACAGCGCUAACUGCCUAAUCUGACAUAGCCAAAUACAUAUACAACUUUUCUCCGGGAAGGGGGCUGCUCAAGAUGGGUGGUUGCGUUAGGUAGUGUUUGAUUUUCUUGAAAGCUCUUUGACAUUUGUUCGUCCAUCCAGUCGUGCCGGCUUUCCAUAAUACUAAGAAGAAGGGUCCCAAUUCGUCAGUGAAUCGGGCUAUGAAAUGUCCUAAUGCGACGAGCUUGCCUGUGAGGCGCUGCAACUCCUUUUUGUUCUUGGGGGGUGGUGUUUCCAUGACUGCCUUAAUUUGGUCAGGGUUGACUUCUAUCCCUCUUUGGCUGACCAUGAACCCCAAGAAUUUCCCAGCACUCACGUCGAAAGCGCAUUUGGAUGGAUUCAGCUUCAUGUCGUACCUCCUUAGUAGGUGGAAAACUUCUUGUAAGUGGUGCGCAUGCUCUUCUCGAGUUUUACUUUUAACCACUAUAUCAUCAAUGUAUACCUCCACUGUGCGGCCAACCAAGGGUUUGAAGAUCUUUGUCAUCAUUUUCUGAUAAGUGGCACCGACAUUUUUGAGUUCGAAUGGCAUGACUUUAUAACAAUAAAGCCCAUGUGGAGUUAUAAAGGCUUUCUUUUCUUCGUCGGUAAGGGCCAUGGGGAUUUAGUGGUACCCGGAGAAGACAUCUAGGAAGGAGAGCAUUCCUUGCCCGACAGUGGAGUCCACGAUUUGAUCUAUCCGCGGUAGAAGAAAACUGUCUUUUGGGCAUGCAUUGUUGAGGUUGGUAUAAUCGACGCAUACUCGCCAUUUUCCCUUCUUUUUGGGUACCACCACUACAUUCGCCAGCCAAUCCGGAUACUCCACUUCUCUAAUAAAUCCGGCUUCUAACAAUUUGUCAACCUCGUCCCGAAUAAUUUUUUGCCUAUCCGGGUGAAACCGCCUAACCUUCUGCCGGAUGGGUCUUGAUGAAGGCAAGAGUUAAGCCGAUGGGAGGCGAUUGAAGGAUGGAUUCUCGUCAUGUCGGAAUGCGUCCACGCAAAGGCGUCGUGGCUUUGUCGGAGGGUGUCUUGGAUAUCCCAGGCCUCUUCAGGUGUCAAGAGGGAGCUGAUAUGUGUGAGAUGAGUGUUUUCCUUCGAGAUUUGGAUUGGCCGCAAGGGAUUUGCUGCUGGGGGAUCUUUAUCCGUCGGGUUCAAUAAUUGCUAUUGGUUUGGCACGUUGGUGGGUUCGGGGAGGGGCUAGCCAUCUUUGCUGGAUCCAACUUCUCGCGUUAUCUGAUAGCACUGGCGAGCAGCCAGCUGGCUGCCAUAUAGAUCGAUUUGUCCGUCCUCAGUGAGAAAGCUUACCAUCUAAUGGUAUGUGGAAGGGAUGACUUUCAUGUAGUGCAGCCACAUGCGUCUCAAGAUGGCGUUAAAGGGGGACAAAUCUUCUACCACUGAAAAUUGUAUGUUAAGAGUGACUGGGCCUGCUUGGACUGGUAGCACAACGUCUCCAAGAGAGGUGGUUGUCGCUCCAUUGAAUCCGGACAAGAUCCGCCCAGGAUUUUCUAAGCCGGAUAGCUCGAGUCCCAUCUGCUUGAUUACUGAUGCUUGUAAGAGAUCGGCCGAGCUACCUGGGUCAAUUAGGAUCCGUCUCACAUCAAAGUCCCCAAUCCCCAGGGAUAGGAUGAGGGCGUCACGAUGUGGUUGUAAUAUUAGUGUGGGAUCUACUAGGGGAAAACGAUUGUCCCGUCUAUCGAGUGGGUACUCCCGCCAGUUAAACCGGGCCGGAUGGAAUUGACGCGCUCACGCACCGACACUGCUCGUAGCAACCUCUGCCUCUUUCGUUUGGAGUUGUACUCCUCAUCCAGUGGUCCUCCGUGGAUGUAAUUGAUGACGGUCUUAGGGGCGAUUGGGGCCUGAAGGUCCUAGAAUCGCGGCUUCGGGAAGUAUCUUUAACCCUAGCUUCUGAGCGGAGGUAUUGCUUCAAAUGUCCUGCUUUUAUGAGCCUUUCUACCAAGUAAUGGAGACUCCUACAUCGCUCUGUAGUAUGACCAUGCUCUUUGUGGUAAACACACUUCUUGAUAUGAUAUCUCUUGGCUGGGUCCAUUCUGAUGGGUCCAGGCCACCUGAAGUCGGACAGGUAUUGUAUCAUAGGAAGAAGCUUCCAUAUGACACAGUAAGGGGAGUGAGAGGCGGCAGCUCCUGGCGACUUUGCUCCCCCUGCCUUCGAUCACACGUCCUAGGCUGGUUCGGAGGUCUGGAACUUCUUUCUGCGUCGCUUUUGGAUGUCUAUCCGGUGACCAAAAUUUGCUGGGUGGCUGCAUGCACAUCAUCUUCCAGCAUUGAGUAUUUGCUUGCGCGUCGGAACAAGUCAUCCAUCGUCGUGGGAGGCUUUUUAACGAGUGAUUCAAAGAAUGGGGUACCUAGGCAUAUACUUUUUUUGAAGAUUUGGAGGACAGCAUCCAUGCUGUAGGCCUCUACUUGCAACACAGUCUGACCAAACCGUUUCACGAAUUCUCUCAAGGACUCAUUCUCCUGCAUUUUUAUGUUUUGCAGGGUGCUGAUGUUCUGUUUAUGCCGGGCGGAGCAUAGGUAUCGUCCCAAAAAGCUUCCGAUAGGUCCCAAAAGUUAUCAAUAGAGUUCGAGGGGAGUUGGUGAAACCACAAAAGAGCUUGGUCUUGUAAGCUGGCAGGGAAUACUUUGCACAACAACACAUCAUUCCCUAUGUCGAGAGUCAUGAGUUGUCGGUAAUGCAUGAUAUGGUCGAAUGGAUCACUAGACCCGUCAUACGCAGAAAAUUUUGGCACAAGGAAUCCCCUUGGGGGAUCAUAAUGGAUAAUACGUGAGCUAAAAGGCAUGGAGAACAUGUCAUCCAACCUCUUGCUAAUGGAACCUGGGGGUGGUUCAUUUGAUGAGUUCCUUCCGACUUGUCGUACCGCUUGGUGCAGGGAUUGUUCUGAACAGUGGAUGCGACUGGGGGGUCAGGAUAUGCUUCCCAGGUUGCGGCCACCAGCGGCCUCUCCUUACCAGGUUCCUGCGGCCUUAACCUCGCGCGCAUUACGUCUAACAACUAGGGUCUUUUAUCACGUUGUCUCUUUGAUGAGAGACGGGUAGAGUCCGAGCUUUCAUCUUGGGGAGCAGAAUACGUGGGCAUGGGUCGUUCCCGAGAUCGUUCAUUGCGCAUAUCAAGGACGACCCCUGCAAUUCCGAGAUAUACCGAUUCUAGAUCAGGCCUAGAGUUUGCCCCCUGGCCUCUUGGGCAUUGGUCAUGAGGAGGCCCCGAGGACGAAACCUGGAUGUGUAACACCGCGUUUUCUUCUCUUAGUCUCGUCGUUUCCCGGAGGAGAGCUUGCAUUUGUCGUUCGCUCUCCAACUGUCACCUUUCCAUGGUCUCGCGCCAUUCGAAAUAGCCUUCAUCUCCUCUGGCUGACGAACGGCUCUUGGAAGGUGUGGAGGGGAUGGCUUGCUGUCAUUCUUGUCCUUUCGCUCUGUAGGCGGUGGAAUGCGGGUUGUGACAGGUUGUCUGAGGUGACUCAGUAUGGUCCCGUCGAAAGUGCUUCUGGCAGUGUAGGCCAGGAUGGCCCGCGUUUCACGGCCAAGGCUUUUGAUUAAGUUGCUAAUGCUAGGUCCGGACAACAUAUUCAGACAAGAGAGGGGGUCAUCCGGACCGUGGGUUUGAGAGUGUCGUACGCCCCUCGGAGGGAAUCCGGAUAGAGAGUUGAUGUGCCACGUGUCCCCUGGAGGGGUGCUGUGCGGGGUUGCCACGUGGGCAUUUGGGGGUGGUCCCUACAUUGUCCAACUCACGUUAAUGUAUUAAAUUAAUAAUCUCACUAAAUAUAUAAGAUAAUAGUUUUUUAGAAAUUCUUCAGAGUCUAAUAAAAUAUAAAUUAAUAACUAAUGAAAUAUUUGGAAAAAAACAAAAGAAUUCAUAAUACAAACUUUCUCAAAAUAUACAUUGAAAUUUAUUUAUUUUCUUUGCACCUAAACUAACUCAAUUUUAUCUUUAUUUUUUUGUAAUAUAUAUACACUAAAUUAAUAAAUUAUUGAUUUAUUGAUAAAUUAAUAAUUCCUUUUGAUUCAAGAAUAAUAUUUUAUUUUAUAGGGUUUUUCCUAUAGCUAGGAGUGGCGCAAAGGAGAUAGCAAAUAAUUAUCCAUCAAUGAGUUACUGGCUUACUACUGCUUCCGGGUUAUGUACGCCGCUUUAGUCAAGAUCUUCAUUGCAACCUAUAACAAGCUAAGCUCUAAGUCAAGUCAAUUGGUCCCCCAUCGUAAUUACCCAAAUGAGAUUGUAUGGAAUCACACUUUCAUCUUUGAGUGAAAGAAGGAGCCUUCCUUGACCGAUUCACUUCUUCAGCAAAUGAAUUGCAUGGAAAGGAGAUAAAUGUCUUUGAUGCAAAGUAAGGUAAAAAAAAAUAGAGGUAGAGUUAGGUGGAGUUUGUUUGUUUUGACUUUUUAUUAAAAGUAAUUUAUUUUCAAAAUUUAGGUAGUUUAUUUUUUUUAAAUUUUUUAUCACUUAUUAUACAUUUUUUAUUGAAUAGAAAAAAUUAAAAUAUUUAAUUUUUUUUAAAUAGAAAAAAUAAUAUAUUGAUUUUUUAUUACUUUUUAAUAUUUAAUAGAAAUAAAAUAUUAUUAAAAAAGCAACCUAAUAUUUAAUACUAUUAAGUAUUAAGUUUCUAUUUAGAAUUAAGCAAAAAAACAAACACCGCCUUAGAAUUUUAAGUGUCUGCUAAAAAAGCAAUGAAAUCCCAAUUUUAGCGAAAAAGAAGAAAUGUGAAUCCUAGGUUUUGAACUUCAAAACUGAAGAAAAGAAUGUACAAUUUAUUCAAAACUUUUAGGCCCCACUUAAAAACAUGGAAAAUUUGACAAAAAUAAAUAGGAUAGACGGUCAGCAAGCGGUUAAGUUGAGGCUGCCCAACAUAAUUGACAAAAUGAAACCGUAUGGAAAAUGGAGACUUUUGGGCCAAAAUGGCCCAUUUUUGAAACUUAACAUUGAAAGUGGGCUCAUUUCCAAACUAUUGUUCAAAAUGGCCCCUUGAAGCCACAUCAACCCAUAAAUCAAUAUUUUAUACUGUUUUUACUUUACCAUUUCCAUCCCCGUGCUCUGUUAUCUCCCGUGCUGUUGUUCUCUCUUCUGUGUGAUUUUUUUUUCUAAACCCUAGCCCCACUAGUGGGCCACUAAAAAAGACGGUGGAGCUACAAAGCAUAAAGUUUAAGGUGAGUCAUAAUCUUCUUUUUGGCUUAUAUAAGUUUUUGGCACUUUCCAAUUUUUUUUCCCAUCUCAAAAUCUCAGUUUUUAGAAAUUUUUUUUUUCCAUUGUUGUGAAUGAUUGGUUAGGGAGUGUGGUUAUGGUGAAUUAAUGGCUGUUAGUAUCAGAUUUUGGGGCAGUCGUUGGGGAGGAUUAGGCUUGCGGUGUCGGCAUUGAGGAGCUACUCAGUCUACGGAAAAACAGGUGAGAUGGGCUGUGUUGAUUGUGUUUUGUUGCUCUGUUUGGUUGGUGAGAAUUGGCUACAAGGAGAGUAAAUUAUUGUCACAAAAAACCGAGGCCCUCCCAUUGCAGCUGUUGGGCUUAAUUAAAAUGAGUUUUUAAUGUUCUGAAAAACAGAACAAGAAAAGGAAAUGAGCAUGAAAAAGAUGGUUGUUGCUUAAAAAAAAUGGAGGUUUUGGGUUUGUUUUUUUUUUUGUAUUUAAGUCCAUGUUUGCAAUAACCUUUUGUUUCAAUAAGCAGCUGACCACCAAAAAAUUAUCCAAUUUCUAUUUCAAUAAUUUAAAAUUUGUAUUAUAUUUUAAAUAUUUUUUUAGGUAUCCCAGGAUUAAUAUUUGUGUGUGCAUGAGUCAUGACUCUCAAUCAAAUUAAUUUUAUAUAAUAUUUGAAUAGUAAUAGGAUUUAUGAUAAUAUUAUUUAUAUACUAAAUCCAUCUCCAUAAUUUUUCAAAGAUGAAAGAAAAAAAUAGGGUUAAUUAUGUAAAUUUGUAGUGUGAAACAGUUGCUUGAAACGGAUUAGGAGAGGUUCAAAUUGGUUUGGACUUUGGGUAGAAAAUGCAUUACACAUAGAGAUUAGAAUGCAUUUUUAAUUUAAAUUUGAAAAUAACAAAAAUAUAAUAUUCUAUAAUAUUUAAAUAAUAAAAGGAUUUAUGAGGAUAUUAUCAUAUAUAUGAAAUUAACUUAUAAGAUUUUGUAGUUAAGGGGAAAAAAUUAGGAUUAAUUGAAAAGAUUUUUUUGAAAUUAUUAUGGGCCAUUAAUUAAUAAUAUUAAUAGCCAUAGAUAACAGAUUUAAAAAAAAAAUGAAAGUUGUAAAUAAUGAUAAAUAUAUUUGGAUGGAAUAAUUUUUAAUUCUUUUUUCUUUUUUUAGAAUUUGAGUGAAAUAGGGAAUGUGUUUGCUAAGAAUUUCAACCGACUCAAUAGAUAAUGUGAGUCUCCAAGCCAUGUUUAAGAAAUCUGGCGAUAUUCUGUUUUGUAAAGUGGUUGUGACCUUGGCUGAACCGAUGAUAUGUUGGAUUGAAUCUGUUCUUAAAGAUGUCUCCAACUUCUACUAGUUCUGAAUGUGAGACAACACAUUAUCAUUAAUAUGAUUGAAUUUAGGAUGUUUUAUUUCUGUAUCAGUCUACCCAUGCAUUCACUUACACUCAUUCCUUGUCUUUAAAGGAGGAAAGACCUCAACAUUCAAAAUAUUUUAUUUUUCCCAAACUGAAGUGAAGUAUUUGAUAGAAGUUCUACUAUUAUGGAAGUAUUGUUAUGAAUUUCUCAUCUAUUUGAGGUUAUAAUAUAAAAUACUAGCUUUUUAAAAGUAACGAAUUAAGGUCUGGGAAACGUGUUCUGUUAACUGUAGAAAUAUUUUUAUAUAUUUUAUGGUUAUUUAAAUAUGUUUUUUGGUUAUCUAAAUUUAAUGUUUCUAUCAUAAACUGGAUGUAUCUUACAUGAAUAUAUAUAUAUAUAUAUAUAUAUAUAUAUAUAUAUAUAACAUGUUUGCUAGGAAAAAAAUGAUUUUGGAUAUAAACAAUUUCAAAGUAAAAAAUGAAUAAAUAAUUUUUUUCUGAUCAAGAGAUCUUGAAUAAUUUUAUCUCAACAACUCUUAAAUAUAAAAUACUCAUCUAGAAUUUUUUUGCCUUGAUAUCAAGAAAACUUCUCAAAUAUGAGUAAACACUUUUUUUUUAAAAAAAAAAAAGCCAGAUUCUUAAAGUACAGAUAUUUUCUCUUUAAAAAGACUUUUGUAUUUGGUUAUAUCCAAAAAUUUAAUUUUUAUUUAAUUAUAUUUUUUAAAGAUAUCAAAAUUACCCAUACUUUUAAUAAAAAUAUUAUUAAAACAAAAUAGUAAAAGUAUAAAAUGAAUGGUCCAACUCUAAAAAAACCUAUUAUAAAAUAGACCAUAUACCUCAUGUUUGAUGACUCCACUUAGACUACUAGAUUGUGGAUGUGAUGGGAGUGGAGGAGGAUGAAAGGGAGGCCAAAAGUGAACCCAUCUGGAAAAACUUUGAUUAUGGGUUGGAGAAAUUGAAUGUGGGUAGGGACCAUAUUGUUUAUGUGAUCCUUUGUCAAUUGGGUUGUACUUCAUUUUCGUGAGUGCACACUAGACAGUAUUACAAAUGGUGUGGCCCUUGGACACGUCUAGAUGUUCAAGUAGGGUGUGAUGCCAGGGAAUAUAAAAAAAAAUUGCCAAGAAAGCAUUUUUAUUAUUAUACUAGAAUUUAGAAUCACAAUCUACAUGCUAUCUACAUUUUGCAGUGCAAGCAUAAUAGCAAGGAAGGUUAUCAAAUAUGAUUUUCAAGAUCUAAUUUUUAAAAUAAUUCCAAAUAGAAGAUCAAAGUUUUUAAUUUAUGUUCCAUAUAUAAAACAAUAUAAUAACCUUAGGAUAUGGUUUUUAUUUAUCAGAUAUUGAAAAUUAUUUUUUUACAAGGUUCUUUAGAAAAUCUCAUUUUUUUAUUUAAAAUAACAUAUUUAUUUUUAAAAAUAUAUUUAACAGAUAAUUUUGAGUUGUAAAAGAAUUAACAUAAUUAACACAUAUUUAUUUUAAAAUUUAAUUUUGAAUAUAAAAAUAUUAAUUUCAUUUUAUCAAAAAAAUAUUAAAAGUUAAUCUCAUCCUAAUUAUGAAAUUAGAAAAAUAAACUAAACAUGUUUGUAACCCAAACACAUGUAAAACAUUUUAUUGGACCACAAAAAUAAUAUUAAUUCAUAAUAUCAUCCUACUCUUUACUUAAACACUUAUUUGCUUAUACAUUGCUUUCAUUUGAGUUGAACUUGGUAUUUAGACAUGAAGCUUUGUUACAUUCCAAUAUUUAUUAGGUUUAUUAUUGUAUUUUAUGAAUCAUUGACCAUAAAGUAUUAUUUUUUACUUAAAUAAAUAUUAUUUUUUUUAUGUAAUAACCUUUUGUUAUUAUUUAUGGGAAGACAAUUAUGACUGAUUCCACAGUAGAAGUGCUAUGUUAUUGGAAUGGAACAAUUUUGAGGACAUAAAUGGAUUUGAGAUAUAUUGGAAAUAAUGUAGAGAUUGAGCCUAUAGAUGUACCAAUUCAUAUGACCUUUGUGGAGUUGUUGAAGAUGAUAUAUGAUAUCAUUGGUGUUGACAGAGACUAUCAGUUAGUCUUGAAAUGUCGUCAUCCAACUGAAAUGAACAAAUUUCAACCAUUAGUGGUGAGAAAUGAUCGGAUAGUUGCACGUAUGCUACUGGUGCCAUCGAAGUAUGGAAUGUCUUCAGUUCAAUUUUCAUAGAGCAAACUCCCAACCAUUAUCAUUUGAGUAAUGAAAUGGGUCAUUUGACACUAUUAUCAACAGGUGAUACUGAUGUUGAUGACGAAAAUGAGAGAGAUGAGGAAGAUGAUGCAAUCAACACAGAUGAGAUUCAUUUACCUAAUGAUGAUGAAAAUUGUUGUCAAAUAGAAAAUAUUGAUUUGGUGAUGGUCCAACAAGUUGUGGAAUGUGAAAGCACAAGAUUUGUGAACCUUGAAGUUGGUGAUAGGUCUAAUAAUCCUGAGGUUGAGUUUGAGGUUGAAAACAUAUCACUAGUUGCCUCCCCACAUGUACCCAAUUUAAUAUCUCUAAUGACAACCUAGAGGAAACAUUUGUACCCGUUUCAUACCAUAUGCCACCUACACCACAAUUUUUAAAUAUGGACGAGGCAAUUAAUUGUGUUGUAAGUGAUUGGACUCCAUGGAAAAAACCAACUUUAGGAAAUGUUGAUGGAGAAUUAUCAAUUGGCCAAAUAUUUUCCUCAAAAUCAGAUUUGCAACAUGCUGUGAAGAUGUUUUCCAUAAAGGCGUACCAAGAGUUUACUGUUUAUAGAUCAAAUGCAAGUGUGUUAGUUCUUCAAUGUAAAAAAGCACCAGAGUGCCAAUGGCGACUAAGGGCAAUGACAGUGAAAGAUACGGGUAUGUUUAGAAUCACAAAAUACAAAGUUCCUCAUACAUGUGUCAAUCCAUGUAUUAAUCAAGAUCAUUCACAGUUGGAUUCUAGCUUUGUAUCUAAGUAUAUUGAAACAUUGGUGAAGGCAGAAAUGACCAUUACAGUUGCUGCAAUUCAAGCUGUUGUUGCGGAACAAUUUGGUUACCAAAUUUCUUAUAAAAAAACAAUGAAGGCAAAAAGGAAAGCAAUGACUCGAUUAUUUGGUGAUUGGUACAAGUCUUAUGUAGAGUUACCCCGUUUCUUCCUUGCCUUGGAGCAAUCAAAUCCUGGAUGCAUUAUGUAUUCCAAAAUGGUUCCUGGAAACAAUCCGAAUGAAGAAAUUUUUCAGCGUGUUUUUUGGGCAUUCGCUCCAUCUAUUAAAGGGUUUGCACACUGUCGACCAGUUCUCAGUAUUGAUGGGACACAUUUGUAUGGAAAAUAUAAAGGGACUUUGCUGAUUGCUAUGGGAUGUGAUGGUAAUAACCAAUUGUUUCCACUUGCAUUUUCCAUUACAGAAGAAGAAAAUACAGAUAGUUGGAGUUGGUUUUUGGCAUGUAUCAGAGUUGGAGUAACACAAAGGAAAGGGUUGUGUCUGAUUUCUGAUCGUCAUCCUGGCAUUAUAGCUGCUGUCAAUGAAACAUAUUCGAGAUGGACUCAGCCAGAUGCUUGUCAUAGAUUUUGCAUGCGUCAUUUAUCAAGUAAUUUCAACACAAAGUUCAAAGAUAAGACUUUAAAGGAUCUCAUGUGUAGGGCUGCUAUGGAGAGUAAAGUUAAAAAAUUUAUUUCUCACAUGGAUACAAUUGGCCAGAUAAAUGCCGAGGCUAGAAAUUGGUUGGAGCAAAUUCCUUUUGAAAAAUGGGCACUCUCAUAUGAUGGUGAGCGGAGAUAUGGGAUUAUGACAACUAACAUGUCUGAAGUUUUUAAUGGUGUCCUUAAGGGUGCUCGUAACUUACCAACAAUAGCUUUAGUCCAGUUAACUUUCUAUCUGGUUAACAGUUACUUCACAGUCAGGCGGGAGCAUGGUGCCAGUCGACUCGCUUCAGGUGAAGAAUUCACUCCACAUAUUGACGCCAAGAUAAAGGCUAAAGUUGUUAAGGUGGGUGCACAUGAGGUUCUUUUGUAUGAUCAUGUGGCGGGACGUUUUCAUGUUAAAACUAGACACUCUGUUGGAAGCAGUAAUAGGAAACCUUGCACAUAUCAUGUUACCCUUCAAACGGGGUCUUGCACAUGUAACAAAACACUUUUGUUACGAUUCCCAUGUUCGCACAUUCUUGCUACUUGUCAUUGUCAAGCAAUUGAUUUUCGAUAAUUUGUACAAGGUUAUUACACCACACGUGCUUACCUAUCAACAUGGGCUCCCUUGUUUUAUCCCAUAUUUGAUGAGUUGGAGUGGCCUCAAUAUAAUGGACCGAUAAUUGUGCCUUCAAACUCAAUGAAACGGCUAACUUCUGGUCGAUCAAAAUCAAGUCGUUUGCAUAAUGAGAUGGAUGCAGGGGAAACUAGGACUCCACAAACAUGUGGACUUUGCAAACAAUCGGGUCACAAUCGAUGUUCUUGUCCUAAUAGAGAAACCAAUGAUAGGAGGAGUUGAUGUACUUCAUGAACAUCUUAUUGUACUGUUUUUUUUUUUUUUUUUGAAUUUACUAAUAUUGACCUUAAUCGUUUUAAGAUAUAUGUAGAAACUAGCUUAUUGAACAUCUUAUUAACGUUUGUUUGUUUGAAAUUAUUAUUUUUUGUCAAUUCAUUCUUAUUUUGCUUAUAUCAGGUUACAUGAAAAAAAUAUUAAUCUCCAUUAUUUAGGGGAGAUGCUGUUCAAAUUUUUAAAAUUUUAAUAAUGAAAUUCAUGUUGUUAGAAAUUGUUGUUUUUUUGUCAAUUCAUUCAUAUUUUACUUAUAUCAGGUUACAUUGAAAAAUUUUGAAUCUCUACUGUUUAGGGGAAAUGCUAUUCAAAUUUUUACAAUUUUAAUAAUGAAAUUCAUGUUGUUAGAAAUUGUUGUUUUUUUUUUCAAUUCAUUCAUAUUUUACUUAUAUCAGGUUACAUUGAAAAAAUUUGAAUCUCUACUGUUUAGGGGAAAUGCUGUUCAAAUUUUUACAAUUUUAAUAAUGAAAUUCAUGUUGUUAGAAAUUGUUGUUUUUUUGUCAAUUCAUUCAUAUUUUACUUAUAUCAGGUUACAUUGAAAAAAUUUGAAUCUCUACCGUUUAGGGGAAAUGCUGUUCAAAUUUUUACAAUUUUAAUAAUGAAAUUUAUGUUGUUAGAAAUUGUUGUUUUUUUGUCAAUUCAUUCAUAUUUUACUUAUAUCAGGUUACAUUGAAAAAUUUUGAAUCUCUACUGUUUAGGAGAAAUGUUGUUCAAUUUUUUACAAUUUUAAUAAUGAAAUUCAUGUUGUUAGAUAUUAUUGUUUCUUGUCAAUUCAUUCAUAUUUUGUUUAUAUCAUGUAUUGAUGUACAUGCAGACAUGGAUACUUCGUUGUUUCGUGCUCGUCUUGACCCUGAGGAUACAUCUGUGCUUACUCUUCAGCAUCAACAUCGAUCAUCCACCAUUCGUGUUGAUCCAGAUAUGGGUAGUGUUUUGACUUGCUGACACAGGAUGCUUCGAGAGUGGGUUUUGGAUGAUCGUGUUCGGCCAUACAUUAUACAGUCAGGAUUUUAUGUCUUUCAUCGAGUGGGCCAUGUUAAGGUUGAUUGGCCUUUGAUUACUGCACUGGUAGAGAGAUGGCGCCCAGAGACACACACAUUCCACAUGCCAGUUGGUGAGAUGACCAUCACAUUGCAGGACGUAGCCAUCUUAUUUGGAUUACGUGUACAUGGCCAUCUUGUCACUGGUUCUACAGAUAUUGAUUGGCAUGCACUUUGUGAGGAGUUAUUAGGUGUUCGACCGACAGAGACUGAUAUUCGUGGAGCAUCCCUUACAGUUCGUUUUAUUACUACCCAUUUCUCCCACUUACCACCAGGGGUUGUAGAUGAGGUUACUUUACAACGCCAUGCUAGAGCUUAUCUUUUAUUGUUAGUUAGUGGUUCAUUAUUUACAGAUAAGAAGGGGGUUUACAUCCAAUUAGCAAUUCUACCCAUGUUAAGAGAUUUUGGUGAGACUGCACAGUAUAGUUGGGGGAGUGCGACACUAGCACAUCUUUAUCGGGAGUUAUGUCGAGCUAGCUUAGAUAGCGCAGAAUCUAUUGUAGGACCAUUACAUUUGUUGCAGGUAUAACUACUAGUCUUAUUAAUUAUGUAAUUUUGUCAUAAUUAUGUGCAUUUAAACAUAAUUUUAUUUCAUUUUUAGCUAUGGUCAUGGGAGCGAUUACAUGUGGGUCUUCCUAGUAGAUCACUUCCCCAUGCACCAGUGCCUGUAGAUGAGAGAUUCCCACCAGAUGCACUAGGGAGUAGGUGGAGUGUUACCUUAUCUCAUACAGACAUUCCUCAUCAUGUGUUGGUCACAUACAGAGAUGAGUUUGAUAAACAGCGAUCUGAUCAGGUUUGGGCUAAAUAUUAGUAUUCUUUAACAUGAACAUCUUAAUAUUAAUAAUAUAAUUUAUACUUUAUUAAAUACAUACUCAUCUAUGAAUAUAUUAGGUAUUAUGGCAGCCUUACACAGAUGAUAUACUAGCGCUACUUCCAGACAUUUGUUUAGCUGAUCAGGAUAUUUGGCAGACGAUGUCACCACUUUUUUUUUUUUUAUAUUGUUGAGUGGCAUCGUCCUGAGCGUGUGUUGCGACAGUUUGGACUCAUAUAGGGUAUUCCUUCGACACCCCCUAUAGAUUCUGACCUUCACUCCAUAGAUCGACGUGGUCGACCUCAGUUUGAUUAGAGGUUGUAUCAUGAGCACUACGUGGCAUUAUGGGAGGCUAGAGGGGACCACAUUGUCACUGCGGAGCCUAUAAGGCCUCAUAUGGACUACCAUGCUCUGUACAUGACAUGGUAUCGUCGUAUUACACGUCGUUUUAUUACACCUAUGAAUGAUUUUGGACCUAUGCGGUACCAGACUACUGCUUUAUUUGUCCACUUAUUGGUUUGUAUCACUUUAAUAUUAUAUACAUAUUCUGUAUAAUAUUUAUUCCAAUAAAUAAUUAUAUAUCAUUUUAUGUGACAGAUUGAGACUAUGACAUCAAUCAUAUCUCGAGGAGGUCAUGCAUUGGAGGACUCUGAUACUGAUGCUUGCCGCACUGGUAUUGUUGAUAUUAUUCGUAUGGCCACUGAUGUUAUGUGCAUUAUUCGGGAGGAUUAUCGUUCCCACAAGUAGAGCAUGGAGGAGAUAGGUCACUAGCUCAGUCAACAGUUGCUCGACCACCACUUGUUCGAGGUCGGUCGACAUCUCGAGGGAGAGGUAGAUAUAGUAGUUGUCAGCCCAUCACAUUGUCAGUAUCAACAUCAUUACAACCCCCUACCUUUUUAUCCUCACAAUUAGUACAGUCACCCAUUUCUUCAGACGUACCAUCAGUGCAGCACCCUACUUCUUCAGACCCACCAUCAGCCUAACCCCUUACUUCUUCAGACCCACCAUCAGUACAACCCUCUACCUCUUUAGACCUACCUCCAUUACAACCUCCUAUCUCUUCAAACCCACCAUUAGUGCAGAUUGACACAUCUACUCAGCUAGAUUUACCGCCAGCCAUUCCGAGGGGUAGGCGGGGCCUACGUCGACCUAGAUUGCUACCUCCACCACCACCUCUAUUUCCAACUCUAGCCCCAUAACAGACAGAUGUUCUUCAUGUGUCACAUGCAGUACCUGCUACAGUUAGAGAGGAGCGUCCAAAAAAGAAGAGAGUAUCAGUUACACAUAGGUUCUCUCCUUGUGGAGGCAUGUGAGAUUAUAUAUGUUUUUUAUUUUCCACUAUAUUAAUGUUUAGUGGAUAUUUUUUGUGACUUUAAUUAAACUAUUAAAAAUUACAUUUUGUAGUAGACUUUUUGUAAUUAAUUUCAUUAACUAAUUUUGUAAAAAAAUCUAUAUAUGACAACUACGGCUUAAGAGUAUGUUAUUAUUUUGUUAAAGAUAAAUUUGUCAUAAUAGAAAUAAAUUAAUAUCUUAAAAAUUAACAAAUUAAAUAUCUUAAAUUAAUAAAUUAUACAAUUUUAUAUAUUAUUUAUAUGUUAUAUAAAUUUAUUAUUUUAAGAUUAUUAAUUUAUUAAUAAAUAAAACACUCAUUUAUAAUAUCUUCUAUUUAUUAAUUUAUGUUUGUUGAAGUAAUACUAGAUUUUUAAGUUUAAAUAUAAAUAAUUUAUUAUUUAAGUAUAUUUUUUAAAUUUCAAUCAUAAAUUGUGAUUUAAUAGUUUUUAAUUAAAUUUGAAAGUAAAAAAAAAUAUUAUAAUUGAAAUCUCAGUUAUCAACUACUAUACUAUUAUUUCGAUAAAGAUAAAUUUAUCAUAAUAUAAAUAAAUUAAUAUAUUAAAAAUUAACAAAUUAAAUAUCUUAAAUUAAUAAAUUAUACAAUUUUAUAUAAUAUUUAUAUGUUAUAUAAGUUUAUUAUUUUAAGAUUAUUAAUUUAUUAAUAAAUCAAAUAUUAAUUUAUAAUAUCUUCUAUUUAUUAAUUUAUGUUUGUUGAAAUAAUACUAGAUUUUUAAGUUUAAAUAUAAAUAAUUUUUUAUUUAAGUAUAUUUUUCAUGAAUUUUAUUUUAUAUUUAUAAUAUUAAAAAUAAAAUAGAAUUAACAAAAAUAAGUUAAAAUUAUUUUAUUAAUAUAUAUUGACAAAUAAAAGAUAAAAAUUAUAUAUAUAUAUAUAUAUAUAUAUAUUUAGAAAAAUUAAAAUGAAAAAAGAGAGACAAUUGUCACACAAUGGUCUCCCUUUGUCACACAAUGGAGAGACCUUGUCAAUCGGGAAUGAAGUUACACUUUUAAAAAUUACUAGUAGAAAGCACGUGCGAGGCGCAUGAAGAUGUACGUAGGUAUAUGAUUGUGAAUGUGCAGAUAAAUGGAAUGAAAGAUAUAAUGUUUGAAAAGGUAAUUAGUAAGUGAAUUAUCUUUUAAUAUAGAUAUAAUAAUUUAAAUUUCUUUACUUUUAAUAAUCUAUAAAUAAUUUUAAAUUGAUUAACAUAAUAUAUAAAAUGACAUAAUAUACCUAUAAUUUAAUUAAUCCAUAAAUAAUAAUUAUAAAUAGAAAUAUCAAAAUAUUAUCAUAUUUGAUUAUAGUAAUAGAUACUAUAUAGUAAUAUAUUAUUAUAAUAUAAGAUGAUAUUUUACCUUUCUUUAAAUUCUUUAUAUUUUUAUAAUUUAGUAAUUAAGUUAGUUAUUAAACUUAUCUUAAAGAUCAUAUAUAUUUUUUUUUAAAUUUUAGUUUCUUGUUCAUCAAUAUUUCAAAUAAAUUAUUUAAAUUAAAAUUUAUUAUUGUAACUCAAGGAUGUACUUAAAGAAAAAUGGAUAGAACAUAAAAAAAAUAUGUUAUUAUAGUCACGAUUUAGGUAAAAUCACAACCAAACAAAUAUGUGUCAUAAUUUACAAGUUUUGUAAUCCACCAUUGUUGUAAUGUACUCUUUUAACAAAUUUACUUAAUUGGCUUCUUCCAUAAGUUUGAAGCAAUACCUGUUUAUCUUUAUAAUUGCUUGAGUUAAAUUCUUUUCUUUUCUCUCUUGCAAAAAAGUUAUAUAUAUUUUAAAAGGUAUUAGGUGAAAUAGAAAAAUGAUGCUUUAACCAUCGGUCAAACUAAUGAACCAUGAAUUAGUAAUUUUUUUUUAUUCAAUGACUGAUUUUAUUCUAAAAACAUUGAUUUAAAAGAUUUCAAAUUAACACUACCUAAAGGCAUUGAUAUAUAUGUAGAGGCUUUGGGUGUCAAUUAAGCCUAAAUAUUUAAUUACAUCUCUUCUAGUAUUUAGGCAUGCACACAUGAUACAACUUUUUGUUUGAAUUAUAUUACAUGGACAAUUACUUGUUGAAUAUUUAAAUGUUAAAAAUAAUAAUAUUAUUAAAGAAAACUUAGAAAUAAACAUUUAAUGACUCAAAUUUUCUUUAUUUCUGAAAUUAAAUUAUACUUCUCUUCUUUAAACAAUUUUUUCAUAAAUAAAUGUGUUUAGACAUUUUUCAAGAUCUUCGAUAAACAUAACUUUCAAAAUUUUCUUUUAACUUCUCUUCAUUUAUAUUCAUAUUUGUUUUGAAUUAAUUUUGAUUUAUCUAUUGAAAAUUAGUUGUAGUUUACAUUCUUUGUAUAAUAUUUAUUAUCAUCAUCAUUAUAAUAACAAAGAAAUGAUUAAAAAUAUUUGUUCAAAAAUGAGGUUAAAAAAUUUUAUAUAAGAAAAAUAAAAUGUGGUAAACUUGUUUUUAGGCAAACCCUUAAAUAUUUUCAUUAAUUAAUAAUAAUUUUUUUUUUUUUUUACAAAUUUUCCAAAUUCAUGUGAUAUAAUUUGAGUGAAAAUUUAUUAAAAACUCGAAAGAAAAAUAAAUAUUUGAUAUAUUAAUAAUUUAUACUUCUAGGUAAUAAAAUCUUCUUGUCCAACUCACGUAUUCAAUUAAUAAUCCUAAAUAUAUAAGAUAAUAAUUUUUUUAGAAAUUCUUAAGAGUCCAAUAAAAUAUAAAUUAAUAACUAAUGAAAUAUGUAAAGAAAAAAAAAUCAUAAUGCAAACUUUCUCAAAAUAUACAUUGAAAUUUAUUUCUUUUAAUCACUUUCAUCUUGAGUGAAAGGAGCCUUCCUUGAGCAAAUCAAUUGCAUGGAAACGAGAUAAAUGUCUUUCAUGCAAAGUAGGGUAAAAAAAAAUAGAGGUAGACUUAGAAUUUUAAGUGUCUGCUCAGAAAAAAACAAUGAAAUCCCAAAUCCCAAUUUUAGCGAAGAAGAAGAAAUGUGAAUCCCAGGCUUUCAACUUCAAAACGGGAGAAAAGAAUGUACAAUUUAUUCAAAACUUUUAGGCCCCACUUAAAAACAUGGAAAAUUUGACAAUAAUGAAACCGCAUGGAAAACGGAGGUAAGUCAUGUCAAGUGGGCCCAUCUGACCUACUACAUUAAAUUGUUUGGAAAGGGGGAAUUCAAACUGAAAUUGCCUGGAAGUGAUUUCCCAUUUGCCCGGAAAUUGCCUUGAAACUGGGAACUUAGCUGGAUUUAAAAUCAACAAACCUGGUUGUCAGUUGAUCAGCAACAACUGUGAAAACAAGUAAUGGCUGAAAGUAUUGUCACCGUUUUUCUAGAGAAGUUAACUGACCUGCUUUCCCAGGAAGCAUUUCUACUCAGCAGAGUGGAAGAGCAGGUGAAUCUGUUGAGUAUUGACCUCGAAUGGAUGCGCCAGUUUCUCAAAGACGCGGAUGCGAAGCGCAGAUAUGAUCCAAGAAUCAAGCUCUGGGUGAGUCAGAUCAGGGACGUAACCUAUGACGCCGAAGAUGUCAUCGACAGGUUCAUGUUCGAGAUGAAUCACCAACAGCAAGGAAGUCUCAAAUGCCUCAAGUUCCUUAAGUUACGAUUGGUUCACAAGCUCGAGUCUCGAAUCAGAGAGAUCAAUACCAAGAUUGAGAAGAUCAAGGCUGCCAAAUCAACGUUCAUUGUCGAAACCUUACCAGCUGCAAGCUGGCCCAACGAAGUUGUGCCACAUAGAGAGAGGAGGGCUCCGAUUGUGGAAGAAGUCAACGUGGUGGGAAUUCAAGAGGAUGCAAAAAGCGUCAAGCAAAAGCUGCUUAAUGGAGAGAUGCGGAGAGCUGUGGUGUCCAUCGUGGGCAUGGGUGGCUUGGGAAAGACUACCCUGGCUAAGAAAGUCUACAAUGAUAAUGAUGUCCAGCAAUGCUUUGAUUGUCAUGCUUGGAUUUAUGUCUCUCAAGAGUAUACAAUCAGGGAGCUUUUGCUAGGCGUUGCUGUUCGUGUUGGGAUUCUCUCCGAAGAGGAAAGGAGUAAAAUGAACGAGAGCGAUUUGGGGAAUAGUCUUCGUGAUUACCUGACUACCAAGAAGUACUUGAUAGUUAUGGAUGAUAUGUGGAGAAAUGAAGCUUGGGAUAGGUUGGGCUUGUAUUUUCCUGACUCGGUGAAUGGCAGCAGAGUGUUGAUCACCUCACGCAAUAAACAGAUUGGUCUUUAUGCUGAUCCACAAACCAUUCCCCAUGAACUUUCUUUUCUGACUGAAGAAGAGAGCUGGGAGCUCUUUCUCAAGAAAAUUUUUCUGGCUGGGAGUGCAAAUGCUGUUUGCCCCAGAGAAUUGGAAGAGUUGGGAAAGAAAAUUGUAGCAAAUUGUGGGGGUUUGCCCCUUGCAAUUGUGGUCUUGGGAGGCCUUCUAUCAAGAAAAGAAAAGACACCGCUCUCCUGGCAAAAAGUACUGGACAGCCUAACUUGGCACCUAAAUCAAGGUCCAGACUCAUGUUUGGGGGUCCUUGCUUUAAGCUACAAUGAUAUGCCGUAUUACUUGAAGUCCUGUUUCCUUUACUGUGGCCUUUUCCCAGAAGACUCAGAAAUCAGGACAGAUAAGUUGAUCCGCUUGUGGGUUGCAGAAGGGUUUAUACAAAGAAGAGGAGAAGAAAUAGCGGAAGACGUCGCGGAAGAUCACUUACAGGAAUUGGUACAUAGAAGCAUGAUUCAAGUGGCUGCCAGGAGUUUCGAUGGAAGAGUGAUGUCCUGUCGCAUGCACGAUCUGCUUCGAGACCUUGCCAUUUCUGAGGCCAAAGAUACAAAAUUUUUCGAGGGAUAUGAAAGCAUUGAUUCUACAUCCCCUGUUAGUGUUCGUCGACUAACCAUUCAUCAGGGUAAGAAGACUAAUUCUAAACACUUGCAUACUUCACGUAGUCUCCGAUCUUUCAUUUGUUUUUCUGUAUGCUUCCAAGAAAACAUUUUGAGAUCUUUACACAGGCGUGUCAAAUUGCUCACUGUACUGGACCUAGAACGCAUGCCUAUCAAUACCAUCCCAGAAGGCAUAGGAGAACUUAUCCACCUUAAGUACCUGUGCUUAAGGAGAACCCGCAUAAAAAGGCUUCCAUCGUCCAUAGGUCGUCUUACAAAUCUACAAACCCUAGACUUUCAAAGCACUUUCAUUGAAAUAAUUCCUUCUACCAUUUGGAAAUUGCACCAUUUGAGACAUCUAUACGGUCGUGGUGUGGUUUCAAGCCAGUCAGUGAUAGAUAAGUGCAGGAAUGGCCCUUUGAGUGUUGACCACCUAACAAACCUCCAAUCGUUAGGUUUAAGAGCAGGCAGUUGGUGCUGUGGUGAAGGCUUGGGAAAAUUAACUGAGCUUAGAGAACUGAUAAUUGAAUGGACCAAAAUGGCACAAACAAAGAACCAUGGAUUUUCCGAGUCAGUAAAAAAGCUAACUGCUCUUCAAUCCUUGCGUUUGUAUACUUUAGGAGCGGAAAUGUUUACCUUGCCGCACCUCAUGCCUUUCUCAGACCACACCUACCUUUACCAUCUAAGUUUAAGAGGAAGGCUCGAAAGGUUCCCUGAUGAAAUUGAAUUCUACCCUCCAAACCUCAUCUCCUUGGAAUUGGAAUGUUGGAAUAUAGAGCAAGACCCAAUGGUGACCCUAGAGAAGCUGCCAAACUUGAGAUUUCUCAUAUUAUCCCUUUGUUACUCUAUGGUAAAGAAGAUGGUCUGUACUUCUGGAGGAUUCCAGCAACUCGAAACCCUUACGCUCUGGGGUUUGAAAGAAUUAGAAGAAUUGAUUGUGGAGGAAGGGGCAAUGCCUGAUCCGAAGGAUUUAGUAAUUGAGACUUGCCCUAAAAUGAAAAGGCUUUCCCAUGGAUUGCUGCAACGAAAAAAUUUGCAGCACCUAAAGUUGUAUGAUUUGUCUCCUGAGUUAAUGGAUGAGCUUUCUCUGAUAGAAGGAGAAGAUCGGGAGAAGAUCUGCCUCGCCACCUCAAUACACGGGUGGAGGCGUACGGCAUCAUGAAGGCUCAGGAGAAGUUUCAUAAAGCGCUACCAGGAAAUGCUUGGACUGUAUUGAAGAGCAUUUCCAAUGCAACAAAUCUUUCUCUACUUGUCUAAGCUCGUCUUUUUCCUUGUUUUUUCUGCUUUUGUGAAACAUACGUGUUUGUGUAAGAUGCUUCCACGUUUUCAAAUAAAGUGAUCAGUCAGUUUAUAAUUGAACCUCAAUGGAGUUCUAAUAAGAGAAAACCAACAUAAUACAUGCAAGAGUAGAAGCCCGUACACUUCUAAAAGCUUGGGAAGUGUUUUUGAAAUCAGUUUUUAAAAAUAAUUUUUUAAUGUUCUCAUAAACAAAAUUAUGUUUGAAAAUUGAAUUCUAAAAAAUAAUUUUUAUUCUCAAAAACAAAAAAAAACAUGUUUGAUUGAGUUAAUAAAAAUAACUUUUAACAACAAAUAAAACAAAAAAAACUUGUUUGGAAGUUGUUAUUGUUGUAUUUUUUUUUGAAGUUGGAUAUUUUCUUUAAUUAACUUGAUGUUAUAAAUCUAUAAAUAAUUUUUACAUUCACAUUUCAUUAAAAAUAAAAAAUGUUCCAUUUUGAAAUUUUUUUGCAUUAGUUUUAAUUUUUUAAACAAAAUAUUACUUUAUAAUAUGUUUGAUUUCAAUAAUUAGUAAAUUAUCCUAUUAAAAUAUCAUAAAUUGGUAAAUAUCAAUGAUUGGAUUUUAUGAAGAUAAAAUUUAUGAUAUCAAACAAUAAUGCAUUAUACUUGGAAACUUAUGAUCUAUUUUUUCUAUUUUGAAUAUAAUUAAUAAUAUAAAAAUUUAGUUAAUAAUGAUAUAUUUAUGAUAAUUUUUUAAAUAUUAUAAUUUUAUUUAAAAUUAAAUUUUAUAUUUAAUUAUUAUAUAAAAGAUAAAAAUUGUUAAAGUAAAUCAAAUUAAUUUAUUUAUAAAAAUUUAUUAAUCUUUACUAUAUAUAUAUAUAACAUAUUGGGAUGAAAACCAAGAUCAAUACCUUUUCAUUUUUUUCCCUCCUCUGUAUCUCCCUGUUCUCUUUUCAGUUCUUUGUCUCCUCUUGUUCUUCUUCCAAGAUCCAAACUUUUAUUCAGGUGAACUAUUUCUCUCUUCUAAAAUCAAAACAUUAUUCAUUAAGGCCAAAAUUCAGAUAUGUGGUUGUUGCAGAGAUUCCUGGUAAGGUUUCAGGUUUUUUUUUUUUUAAUUAUUCUUUUUUAUUUUUUGCAUUCUUAGUCUUUUUUGUGUUCUUGUUUAUGUUUUGUUUUAGUUUUUGGGAAAUCCUAGAAUUUAUGGAGGUUUUGGCUUUGAAAUAUGAUAAAAUCCUGAAAUAUCAAUAUAUAUAUAUAUAUAUAUUGAAACGGAAAUGACCAAAAAAAAAGAAAACCGGAUAAUGUUGAAUUUUUGUGAGACCGAUUUUCCCAUUUUCAUCCCCAAUUUUUUUUUUUUAAUUUUCCCUCAUAGUGCAAAGAAUUUUGCCUUAGUGCAAAGAAGAGGUGAGAACGCACAAAGAACACACUAGAACACUCAUUGAAAACAUGAAAAGCAUUCUAAUUUUUUUAUUUUUUUUGUUCUUAGAACAGUGGCAAAAACACAGUGAUUACCAUUUUUUUUUUUUUUUUGUUAUCUAAAAACCAAGCUUUAGAAAACAUGAAGAACACUUGAGAACAGAAAACAUUCUCUUAUCAAACUUUUUUUUGUUUUUGUUUUUUUUUUUUUUUGUGAUUUUUUGUUCUCAAAAACAAAAAACAAAUUUUGAAAACACUAACCGCACAUGCCCAAACAUUAAGGUUAUGUUUGGUUCCAGAAAAAUACUAAGGAAAGAAAAUAACUGUAAAGGAAAAUGAUUUUUUUAUGUUUGAUUGUCCUAUAAAAAUAUAAAAGAAAAUCAAAUAUAAUUAAAAUUAAUUAAAAUUUUAUGUAUUUUAAAAUUAUUUAAUAUUUAUAUUGAUAAGUUAAAAUAAAUAAAAUGAGUUUGAAGUAACAAAAAUAAUAAUUUAUCAAUUUUUAAUUUAUUUUUUUAUUUUCCUUUUCUUUUUCUUUUCUUUUACUUUUCCUUUGUAUUUUCUUUCCCCUAAAUUUUCCUUCAAAUUUUCUGGAACCAAACAUAGCAUAAAAGCAUUGCAAGAUAAAUAGUUCAAACUCAAAUCAACUCUGAAAAUUUAAACAAUGACAAUUCGUAGCAUGCAACUUAAAAAUGAAGAACAAAAAUUUAUGUAAGUGAAUGGAUUCAAUCUUGUAAUUUAAUUUAAUUUUUUAAUAUUCAAACAAUAGGAACAAUUUAGAAUAACUUAAUGAUAACUUAUAGAUAAAAGAUUGGAAGGUGAAUGGUUAGAUAAGAUAAACUUGGAAGCAUAAUGAUUUUGAUCUAAUAUUAAUAAUUAUAGUAAAUAAUAAGGGAAGUUAUGGUAUGAAAGAGUUUGCUUAUAGGAUAAUUGUUGGAUUUGUUAAAAAAUGGAAAUUUAAUAUUAUUUUUGCAAGCAAACUGGUUAAUGGAUUUUUACUUAUUUAUAAAUUUAUAAAUAUAAAAAUUGAAGACAGAAUAAUGACCAUUAGGGUGGAAAACAAACAAAUUAAAGAAAUAAAAAAGACAAAUAUAAAUUUAUUAUUAACUUAUUUAUUAUAAUAAUAUGUUAAUAUAAAUUUAUUUAUGAUCAUGAAUAUGAAUUUAUUAUUAAACUUUUAUUAUUCAUUUAUUAAUGUAGAGAAUUACUCUUUUAAUGUAAACUCUUUUAUUUAAAUUUUUUUUCUACUAUUUUUUUAAAAUAUUUCAAAAAAAAUUAUGUUUAAAAUUUUUUCUAUUAUAUUUUUGUAAAAUAUUUGAGGUGGGUUGAAAUAAAUUACAAUUCAUGAGUGAUUAUGAAAAUUUUAAAUGCAUUUAUUUAAAAAAUGGUUGUUUGAUGAUAAAUUAUUUUCUUUAAAUAACCAUUACAUAAUUUCAAAUCAAUUAAAAUAAUAUAUAUAAAAUGACAUCAUACAUAAUUUUAUUAAAAUAUGAUAUUGUGGACCCGUAUUUCGGCUCAUGUGUUUUUCACUCAACGACGAACUCGAUUUUUAUUUAAAAAUAAUUUUAUUUAUAAAAAAAAUGAGUUGGAGUAGCUUGUAGACCCCUUCCAAAGACCAAGGGUUUUUCAUUCGUUCUAGGACCAUCUGGGAGGGAAAUUUUUUUCCCUUUUUUUGGGAGUGGGGACCUCUUUCUGGAGGAAAACCGGUUGCAUAGACGGGUGGCAAAGGGCAUGGCUGGCCAUGGUGGUGGUUGAGGAUGACAUCUUCCCUGGGUGAGGCGCAGUGAAGUGAGGAGGGGCUUACGGGGGAAGAUAGAAAACAGAGGGAAGGAAAAAUUUGAGAUGGGGGGUGGGGGGGGGGGGGGGGGGAAAAAAAAUUUCCCAAAAAAACCAAAAAAAAAAACCUGGAACCCCGCCAACCUUUUUUUUAAAAGAAGCCUUUCCAGGAAGGACCCCCGUUUCCCCCCUUUUUCCGUUCCCUAUCCUCCCCCCCCUAUUUUUGGAAAAUAAUGUUUUUUUUUAGUAAGGAAAACCCGGUCCCUCUUUAACCUUCCCUCAACCCCGGAAAAUCCAUAGGAUUUUUGUCCUUGUUUUCCCCCCCCCUUUAAAACCCCAAAAUUACCCCCCCGUUUUUCUAACAAACUAUAGACCCCCCACCCCCCUGCCCCCCCNNNNNNNNNNNNNNNNNNNNNNNNNNNNNNNNNNNNNNNNNNNNNNNNNNNNNNNNNNNNNNNNNNNNNNNNNNNNNNNNNNNNNNNNNNNNNNNNNNNNAAAAAAAAGGGGGGGGGGGGUGGGUGGUGGUUUUUAAAAAAAAAAGGUUUUUUAUUUUUUUUUUGGGAAUUUUGGGGGGAAAAUUUUUUUUUUUUUUUUGGGGAGGGGGGGUUUUUUUUGGGGGAAAAAAGGGUAAAUUAAAGGGGUGGAAAAGGGAAGGGUGGUAAAGGGUGGGGGUAGGAAAUAAAAUUUUUAUUGGGGAGGGGAGAUAAAAGAGAGGAGGGGUUAUGGGGGAAAAAAAAAAAAAAGGGGAAAGAAAAAAUUUGGGGGGGGGGGGGGGGGGGGGGGGGGGGGAUAGAAGAUUUUCUAGAGAGAGCAGAAAAAGAGAGCUUGGAGUCAGGCGAGCUUUUGUUUGAGAGGAGGCUUUUCAGGUAAGGACCCUGUAUUCACCAUUGUUUCUGUUCAUUAUCUUCUCCAUCUUAUUUUUGGAUAUUAUUGUUUGUUUUGAGUAUGGAUAUCAGGUUACAUGUUUAGCUUUCAUUGAUCUCUGGAAUAUCUAUGGAUUUGUUGUCAUUGUUUUAUCAUCUCUUUGAUAUCUCAAAAUUUACACCCCUGUUUUUGUAUGAACUUAUGGUCCCUCAACCCGCUUGCAAGCCCGUGGAUGGAACAAAUAAAUAGGGCUUUUUUUUUUUCUUUCUCUAUACUCUGUUUUAGUAAAAGUUCCUUUCAUGUUUUCUUCUGUCCUUAAUGGAAUUGUUCUUAAGCGUGGUGCAGUUUGGGUUGGACUGAUGGGUUUGGUUCUUUGAACUGUUCAUGGCAUUAUCCGCAUUUGGACCAAGUUACGACUGUUGAGACACAAUGAAGGGAUCCCUGAAGAAGGCAUUACGGUUGAAAAAGUCGAGAAUCCUCCUCUUAUGGAUAUUCCCACUGAAACUGGUUCAAAAGCAGUUGGAAAUUACGCCCUUGAACACGUCAGUGAGCAUGAGGACCAUACCCACAUUCUCAUUACCCUCCAUCCUCUAUUCCACCAUACCCAUUUUUCACCUCCAUCACGCAUGGCACGAGACUUCUUUUUUGCAAAAAACACCCAACAUACCCAUUACCCUAUGUAUCUUUCCACCUCUCAAUACCCACAAAAACCAUUCCCCCAACCGUGCCCAUCACCACUUCCUUAACUGCACCACCAAUCCCCUUUCUCUCUCUAAGUCUUCAUCUCCCAACACCCACUAAACUCAUUUUCUUACUGAUAAUGGAGACACAUCCCUACACCAGCUUAAGAACCUUUGCAUUCGCUGCACCCAAAACGGAGCAGUAUGGUGUUCGUUUGCUGAAAUUCCACAUUUUGGAAAGACAUCAUUACCGGCAUCGAUGGAAUGUGUAUCAUCAAUGAGCUCAUUGCAACUGCCAUUGCCUGUGGCUUUGAUAAGGAGGCCACCAAUGUUGGUGAGAAGAAUGCCACCAGCCACAUGUUGAUUUAUAUGAGGACUAUGCAAUAGGCUAUAUUUCUAGGUCAACCUACCAUGCAUUUUAUAUAUAUAUUGGUUUUCUAAGUGGUAUUUUCCAAGGAAAGUUGUUUGGCAGCCCAUGCACGGCCACUUUUGCAUGCCCCAUUCCUUUCAUUUUAUUUUAUUAUCCUACAUGUCAGAAUCAAGACUCUCAAAGUUUUAGUUUUCAAUUUUUUUUUACUCUAUUUUUUUUAGUUCUUCAAAACUCCGACUCUUGGACGUAAUUUUAAAAAAAAAUUCAAUCUUUAAAUAAUUUUUUCAAAAAUUGGACUUCUGAAUUUAAUUUUCAAUUUAAAAAAUUCCAAGUUUUACAUUCAUUUCUUUAAUCUUUAUUGUUUACAUCAUUAUUAUUAUCUUAUUUACUUACUUACUUAUUUAUUUAUUUAUUUAUUUCCCAAAUUCCAUCUUAAAAAAAAAAAAAGAAAUCUCAAAAUUAUAACUUCCAAAUUUAAUUUUCGAAUCUAAAAAAUUCCACUAUUCAUGUUCAUUCAUUUAAGUAUUAUUUUCGUUAUUAUUAUUAUUAUUUCAUUUAUUUAUUUAUUUCUUUUAAAAAUUUCAAUCAUUAAAGUUCAAUUCUUAAAAAAUAUGACUUCCAAAUUUAAUUUUCAAUCUAAAAAAUUUCACUAUUCACGUUCAUUUGUUUAAAUAUUAUUGUUAUUAUUAUUAUAAUUAUUAUUAUUAUUAUUCCAUAUUUAUUUAUUUAUUUCUUUUAAAAAUUUCAAUUAUUAAAGUUUAAUUCUUCAAAAAUCUGACUUUCAAAUUUAAUUUUAAAUCUAAAAAAUUUCACUAUUCACAUUCAUUCGUUUAAAUAUUAUUUUUGUUAUUAUUAUUAUUAUUAUUCCAUAUUUAUUUAUUUAUUUCUUUAAAAAAAAUUUCCCAUCAUUAAAGUUCUAUUCUUAAAAAAUCUGACUUCCAAAUUUAAUUUUCAACCUAAAAAAUUCCACUAUUCACGUUCAUUCAUUUAAAUAUUAUUUUCGUUGUUAUUAUCAUUAUUUCAUUUAUUUAUUUGUUUAUUUUCUUUAAAAAUUCCAAUCAUUAAAGUUCAAUUCUUCAUAAAUCUGACUUCCAAAUUUAAUUUUCAAUUUAAAAAAUUCCACUAUUCACGUUCAUUCGUUUAAAUAUUAUUUUUGUUAUUAUUAUUAUUAUUUCAUAUUUAUUUAUUUAUUUAUUUUAAAAUUUUCGUAUUUAAACAAUUCUUAAAAAAUAUGACUUCCAAAUCUAAUUUCCAAUCUCAAAAAAUUCCACUAUUUACAUUAAUUUGUUUAAUGAUUAUUUUCGUUAUUAUUAUUAUUCCAUUCAUUUACUUAUUCACUUAUUCAUAUAUUUAAAAUUCCAUCUCUAAAUGAUUUUUCGAAUUUCCAAUCUCUAAAUUCAAUUUCCAAUUUCCAAAAUUCUAACUUUCGUAAUUAUUUAUUCAAUCAUUAUUAUUUUGUCAUUAUUAUUAUUCCAUUCAUUUAUUUAUUCACUUAUUCAUUUAUUUAAAAUUUCGUCUUUAAAUAAUUAUUCAAAAUUCCGAUUUCCAAAUUUAGUUCUCUAAAAUUCCAAUUUUCCUAUCUCCGAACUUCAUUUUCAGUUUCCAAUAUUCUAAUUCUCGCAUUUAUUCAGUUACUCAUUUAUUAUUAUCAUUAUUACUAUUAUCAUUUUAUUCAUUUAUUUCUAAAAAUUCCACUUUCGAAUGAUUUCCAAGAUUUCCAAUUUUUAUAAUUCAAUUUUCAUAGUUUUUACUUCUCAAAUAAUUUUCAAUUAUGAUUUCUUUCAAAAUUUAUCCAAAGUCCCAAUUUUCGUAAUUUAUUUAUUUAUUUUUAAAUCCUAAACUCUCAAAUAAUUGCCAAAAUUUCAAUUUCUUUCAAAUUUAAUUUCCAAAAUUUUCAUUCUUACAUUUAAUUCCUAAAAAUCCAAUUUUCAAAUAAUCUCUAAGAUUUCAAUUUUCAAAUGAAUUUCAAAAAUCCAGUUUUUCCUCGAACAGUUUUAAUUUUUGUUUGGUGAUGCAUGUGAUAUGUGUUGUGUUCUUUAUUGUACACUAACCCCAUUUUUAUGAUAGCACAUUGCUCGUUCAUGGCCUAGGUAUGCAUCCACUCUCAUUCUAGUCAUUUUCUAUGCAUGUUUUGAUUCUCAUACGUACAUGAUCGAUUUGAGUAUCCAUUGAUUUUCCUAUUGAUUGCCACGUCAGCUUCAUUUUAUUAGUAGAGACUCGACUUUAGGGACUUAGAGGGGUGCUACAGUCUUUACCGUACCUUCCUGAUAAGUAAUCUGGCCCUCGAGCCCAAUCCGAUUUUUCACAGACCACAUUUUCCAAAAUAAGGAGUCACACUUAGAGUUUUCUUUCUUAUUUUGUUUACCCUUUUAAAAAUAAAACAAAAUAAUGAUUGGAUAAAUAAUUGUGAAAGUUAGAAUUUUGGAAAUUGGAAAUUGAACUUAGGGAUUGGAAAUUUAAAGAACUAUUUAGAGAUGAAAUUUUAAAUAAACGAACAAAUGAAUAAAUAAAUAAAUAGAAUAACGAAAAUAAUAACGAUUGGAUAAAUAAUUGCGAAAUUUGGAAUUUUAGAAAUUGGAAAAUGAAUUUAAAGAUUGGAAAUUCGAAGGAUUAUUUAGAGAUGAGAUUUUAAAUAUAUGAAUAAGUGAAUAAGUAAAUGAAUGGAAUAAUGAUAAUAACGAAAAUAAUCAUUAAACAAAUGAAUGUGAAUAGUGGAAUUUUUUAAAUUGGAAAUUAGAUUUGGAAGUCAGAUUUUUUAAGAAUUGUUUAAAGACGGAUUUUUUUUAAAAAGAAAUAAAUAAAUGGAAUAAUAAUAAUAAUAACGAAAAUAAUACUUAAACGAAUGAACGUGAAUAGUAAAAUUUUUGAGAUUGAAAAUUAAAUUUGGAAAACGGAAUUUUGAAAAAUUGAACUUCAAUGAUUGGAAUUUUUAAAGGAAAUAAACAAAUAAAUAAAUGAAAUAAUGGUAAUAAUAACAAAAAUAAUAUUUAAACGAAUGAACGUGAAUAGUGAAAUUUUUUAGAUUGAAAAUUAAAUUUGGAAGUCAGAUUUUUUAAGAAUUGAACUUUAAUGAUUGGAAUUUUAAAAAGAAAUAAAUAAAUAAAUAUGGAAUAAUAAUAACAAUAACAAAAAUAAUAUUUAAAUGAAUGAACAUGAAUAGUGGAAUUUUUUAUAUUGAAAGUUAAAUUUGGAAGUCAAAUUUUUGAAGAAUUAAACUUUAAUGAGUGGAAAAUUUAAAAUAAAUAAAUAAAUAUGGAAUAAUAAUAAUAAUAACGAAAAUAAUAUUUAAACGAAUGAAUGUGAAUAGUGGAAUUUUUUAGAUUGAAAAUUAAAUUUAGAAGUUAGAUUUUUGAAGAAUUGAAUUUUAAUGAUUGAAAUUUUUAAAAGAAAGAAAGAAAUAAAUAAAUAGAAUUAUAAUAAUAAUAAUAAAAAUAAUAUUUAAACGAAUGAACGUGAAUAGUGAAAUUUUUGAGAUUGAAAAUUAAAUUUUGAAGUCAGAUUUUUAAAAAAUUGAACUUUAAUGAUUUGAAUUUUUAAAAGAAAUAAUUAAAUAAAUAAAUGGAAUUAUAAUAAUAAUAACGAAAAUAAUAUUUAAACGAAUGAAUGUGAAUUGUGAAAUUUUUAAAAUUGAAAAUUAAAUUCGGAAAUCGGAAUUUUAAGAAUUACUUAAAGGUAGAAUUUUAAAAGUGAAUAAAUAAAAUAAUAAUAAUAACAAAAAGAAUAAUGAGUAAAUAAAUAAAUAUGGAAAUGGGAAAGCUUUAAAAAUUAUUUGAGAGGUGGAAUCAUGAAAGGAAUUUUGGAAAACUGGAGUUAGGAAAACUGUUAAAAUAAUAAGAAAAUAAAUAAAAAGUCAAAAACUUACUGGGCCAUGUGCCAAAGUGACCACACUUAGAGGUGGCCAAAGUGGAAAAAGGUUUUCAAAUGAUGUUUGAACAUCCUGGCAGCCCAAAGAAAAAUAAAACGAAGUGUUGCAACGUGCACAUCAUGAAUUUACAUCUGUGGCCCCACCAUCAACUACAAGAUAUUUCCAAUUGUAAUGCCUUAGAUACUUUCUAGCAUCAUUUAAUGCAACCUCAUAAGAAGUCAAAAUUAUAGGAAAUUUGGGGCUAAUUUUUCUUGGCAUAUACUUCAUUCGUAUUUGAUCUCUUUCUUUCCUAUUGCCGUGGUAGAUUAUUGCAUUUAUUGAGGGCACAAACCUUGCUAUUUCAUUUGCCCAGUUUGAGAGAGUAGGAAGAGGAGCAAUGACCAAUUAGGGGCCAUCUAACCCCUUUCCUAUUUUCCCCACACCGAUCAAAGAGAUAUUUCUGGGCAUUCAAACUCAAUGCUGCAUAAAUGGGAUGAGAACCACAUAGCUAAAAUGCCGCUCAAUAGAAACAGACCAAUAACAAUUUGCCAUUUCACAAAUUCUUCACUCUUUCUUCUCCACAGGAAGAAAGAAAAAAAUAAAAAUAAAAAUACACAAACACUUAUCCCCCUUUUGAGGUUUUCACUGUAAAAAUGCCUCAAUUAAGGUACCUGACAAUUUAGAGACACAGAUGAGCCACAAAUUUCACUGGCACAAUCAAAUCUUCAGGCAAAAACGCAUACAGUUGAAGGAACAUAUAAAGAAAGCAUCAGAUGGAAUAAAAAUAUAGGAAAUUGAGUGCACAAAAGGGGUUACGAAUGUAAAAUUCACAGGCAAGGCAAUCGAUGCAGCGAAGCGAAAUAAAAUAUCAGGAUGAAUUCCGCUGGAAAAGUCGUCAAAUUCAACAAAAACUGAUCUCACCUAAAAGACCACUUUUCAAAGGAAAGCUCGCCUGACUCUGAGCUCUGUUUUUUGCUCCUUCCCGGAAAUCCUCUAUCCCCAAGCUAUCCACCCUCAAACUAGUUUCUUCUCAAGCUCCUCAAAUUUUCCUCCAGGCAAGAUCGCUCCUCCAACCAAGCCCCCGAAAUUUUUUUUGGAAUCCUCUUAAACGCCAGAAAAACCUCCUAUCCUUUCUUCUUUCUUCUUUCUUCUCUCACAAGUCUUCACCUGCUCCCUACUACCACCAUGCUGUCUUUGCCACAUGUCCCAUGCGGCUUGCCCCCUCCAGAAAGAGGUCCCCCCACUUCCAAAAAUGAAAAAAUUUCAAUUCCCAGGUCGUCUGCAAAAGGGGUCUACAGAUAUUAAUUAAUAAAUAAUAUUUAUAAAUAGAUAUAUUAAAUAUGUUAUCUUAUAAUAUGAUUAUAUUAAUAGAAAAUAUGUUGUAAUAUAUUACAAUAGCAUAUUAUCUGUUAUAAAAUAUGAGAUUUUGUACCAUUAUGGUAACUUGUAGAUGAUCAUCCAUAUAUAUAUAUAUUGUAAUUCCCUGUAAAAUGGAAGGACCCAUAAUGAAAUUCUAUUGAGUUUUCUCGUGCAUUUUCAUUAUUUCUUUAUAUAUAUAUUUAUAUUUAUUGUAACUCCCUGUAAAAUGGAGGGACCCCUAAUGAAAUUCUAUUGAGUUUUCUCGUGCAUUUUAUCAUUUCUUUCUAUCUUCUUUUUUCACUUUUAUAACACGUUAUUAGCACGAUAGUCUCUACAAAAGAAAUAGAAAGAUUUUUCUCUCUUCAGAGAAAUAAAAAGACUGUCAUCUUUUUUAUCCCACAAAAAGGUAUGUCAUAAACUUAUAUAAUAAUUUUCUAUUUUAUUUAUAUAUGUGAUAAAAUUACCUUUUGAUUUUCUAUUUCACUUAUUUUAUUUGAAUACAUAAAUAUGUGCAAUCCCUAUAACCAGAAGUUAUGGGGUAAAUUACAAAAUUACAAAAACAUGGCCAGAAGUUAUGUAUAUGAUCCCUAAUUAUCUAUUUUUAAUUAUACGAUAUAACUGGAAGUUAUACCAAACAAUAUUAUAUAGCCAGAAGCUAUAAAAGUAAAUAGUUCAUAACCUGAAGCUAUAUACAAAUCUACAUAGUGAAAAUUCAUAGCCUGAAGCUAUGAAUGAUAUUAUCUUUUGAUUUCUUUUAAUUAUAUUGUAUAACCGAAUGUUAUAAAAAAAAAAAAAAAAUUAUAGCCAAAGGCUAUACAAUAAAUAUUUCAUGACUUGAAGUUAUGUAUAAAUUUAUACAUUUUUGUUACGAUAAAAUAGAAUGUUUAUUAGAAACUACAUUAAAAAUGUUUUCAUGGUCAAAAGCUAUAUAAGCCAUACUUUUUGUACUUAAGGCAGAAAUUUGAAAAUAUUGAUAUUUUAAUUUUGUAUAGCCGGAAGCUAUAUAGAGAAUUUCUAACUACGGUAUAACUAGAAGUUAUACGAACUAAAUUGUCAAUUAAUAAUUUUAUAAAAUUUUAUAGCUAGAAGCUAUAUAGAGAAUAUUUUAUAGUAAUAAAAUUAUGGCUAGAAGUUUUGACAAAUUUAUUCUUUAGAUAAUAUUGCAUUGUUAGCUAAUUUCUUGAAUUCAUAGUAAUUAUUUUACUUUAUGAUAAUAUGAAAAAUGUUUAUCAUGAUCAAUCUAUGUAGAGAAGGAAAGUAUAUAUUCAUAUACAUUCUUAUAAUUAGAAGUUAUAUAAUAAUUUGUAUUUGAUGGCUUGAAGCAACAUGAAAAAUAAUUUGUAUAUUGUUAUAGCCUAAAACUACAUGAAUAAUUAAUUUGCAUAUUUUUAUAGCCCGAAGUUAUAUGAAAAACUUUUAUAUAUUCUUGUAGGCCAAAACUUGAAGCUAUAUGGAAAUUUUUUUGUGUAUAUUUUAUAUCUUGAAAAAAAAAUGUAAAAUAUUUUCAUAGCCUAAAGUUCUAUGAAAGAAAAUAGGUAUUUCAUAUAAAUGAAAACUAUAGAGAUUAUUAUUUUAUAUGUUAUUACAGCUAAAAGCUAUAAAAAAAAACAAAGUUAAUAUUAUAUAAUUUCUCAUAACUAAGAUCUAUGUUGAAUAAUUAAUUUUAUAAUCUUCCAUGGCUAGAAGCCAUAUAGAAAAUUUAUGAUUUGAAGUCAUAUAUGUAAAACAAAAUAUAUGUUAUACAUAAAUAGAGAUUAUUAUAAGUAUUAUGAUAUAAACAUUGUUGUUUCGCUUAUAGCCUAGAUUUACAAGAAUUUUAUAUAUUUUUAUAACUUGAAGUUAUGAAAUAUGAAUUCUUCUUUUUUUAAGAAUUCAAUUAUUGACAUCCUUAAUUUUCUAUGUUUUGCAUUUGAAUGUAUCAUUAGUAUUCUUUCUAUUAGAUAUGAAGGUUUAAAUAUUUAGAUCUAUAAUUUUCAUACUUCAUUUUUUAGUUAAAUUUUUCACAUUCUUUCUAUUAUGAAACAUGAAUACUCAUCAUGUUUCAUGAAAAGGCAUAGUUAAAAUUUUCACAUUUAUUAAUUUAUUUAAAUAUUUUUAGUUUUCUAUUUAGUUUGUUAUUGUAGGUAAUUUCUAUGUCAUUAAAGUAUGAUAGUCCUUUAGUUCUUUAGAAUAAUAUAGAAGAAAGUAUACCCACUAAAAGACUACGAUCCUCUUUUAAGUUCUCUAUAACUAGAUGUAAUUGAGAAUAGUGAGUUUUUCAUUAAUAACCACCAAUAUUUUCUAAUCGGAUUGGAAUUGUUCCCCAAAGUGAAAUCCAACCGAUUAGGAAUACGAUCAUAGAAUAGGAUAUGAUCUAAAUCUAGUAUACAAUAACUUCUUAAUCCAUGAGGGUCAUUGUUUCCCCAAGAAGAAAUUUAGACCAUACCACCAGAAGUGGUGAAAUGAAAUGAAAAAAAAGGGUUAGGUUUGUAGUAUAAGCCUACCAAAGUUGAACAAAAAAUCAUUGUUGAUGCAUACUAGUCAUACGAUCAAGCAUUUCAUUGACUUUUACCAAAAUUAAAAGAAAAAAAAAAAUAGUAAAUAGAAGGUUAACAUAUCUAGAUUAUUAUAACUUUCUUAAGAAAUCCUAAUGAUAAAAUUUACUAAUUGAUUGGUGAUGGAAAAAAUGUUUAUUCUUAUGUAGGAUCUUUACUUUCUCAUGUUGUGUCUUUUUUAUCUAAUAUAGUACAUAUCAUAUUUGCUAAUAAAUGUUUAUGUUUUAUUUACAUAUAGUAUUGAUUGCUUAAUAAGUAUAUUCUAAGAUGUAUAUCUCAUUAUUUGUACAAUAUGUAAUAAUUGAUGUCAUUACCAUAUCAAUUUAUGGAAACUUGAUUGAAAGCUCUUGAAGAGCUUAUAUUAUGUCACUAGUUGAUUGAUGUCAUUACUACAUAUAUGAAUUUAUAAAAACCCGAUUAAAGGCUCUAGACGAGCUCAUACUAUGUUACUAAUGGCACACGAAUCCAUAUGAAUGGUACUUGACAUUCUAUCAAAUCUAGAAGAAUUUGAGAUGACCAACUUGGUCCCCCCAGGGUGAACAAUGAUGCAUCAACUCCUUGAAAUAUCAAAUGGGGAUUCAUUAAAGAACUAGAAGUUUCUUCAACUAGUGACUAGUAUAUUUGAACCUUUGAAGGAUAUUAUUACAUGUUAUGUAAAUUUAUAGUUUAAAGAGACAAUUUCCCACCAUUGGGGGGNNNNNNNNNNNNNNNNNNNNNNNNNNNNNNNNNNNNNNNNNNNNNNNNNNNNNNNNNNNNNNNNNNNNNNNNNNNNNNNNNNNNNNNNNNNNNNNNNNNNNNNNNNNNNNNNNNNNNNNNNNNNNNNNNNNNNNNNNNNNNNNNNNNNNNNNNNNNNNNNNNNNNNNNNNNNNNNNNNNNNNNNNNNNNNNNNNNNNNNNNNNNNNNNNNNNNNNNNNNNNNNNNNNNNNNNNNNNNNNNNNNNNNNNNNNNNNNNNNNNNNNNNNNNNNNNNNNNNNNNNNNNNNNNNNNNNNGGGGGGGGGGGGGCAAGUCAAUUCUAGAAGAAUGGCGAGACAUUACAUGGUAUGUACCUUCUUUGUCUCAUCUGCAUCCCUGUACAAGGUAGUGUGAACUAGAAGUUCAAAGGAUUAUUCAUUUGUAAGGACUUGCAAAUUAGUUACCUAAUGUUUUCACAAAUAUAAAAAAAAGUAACAAAGUCACACAUGUCGACUAUGAAUACCCUGACACAUAUUGAUGUCUCUAAAGGACAAUUGAAAAAUGCCAUAGCAAGUGAAUUAAUACACACUUAAAGCGUGGUAGACCUGUUGGAUCAAAGGAUUUAGUUCCUAAAAAAAAAAAAAAAAAAGGAACAACAUAAGAAAAGUUUGGUACUCUUGAAGAGCUUACAAAUAUGAAAUGGUCAAAUGAUGAAAACCAACUUGGUAAAUAGUUAGCCCUUGAAGAGACACAAAUUGAUCAAAUACCGGCUAAACUCGUUAGCAAAACAAGAGGAAUUUGGACUUGUAGUUCAAACACCUAGAAACAUAAAGCCUAUUGCAUAUAAAUGGAUCUUUGUGAGAAAGUGAAAUGAGAAUAAUAAAAUAGUAAGAUAUAAAGCACAACUUGUUGCUUAAGGUUUCUCUCAAAGACUUGGUAUAAACUAUAAGGAAACUUAUUCCCCUAUAAUGGAUGUAAUCACAUUUUGAUACUUGAUAAGUUUAAUGGUCUUUGAAGGGCUAGAUAUGUGUCUCAUGGAUGUUGCUACAGCUUAUUUAUAUAGGUUUAUAUAUAUAUAUAUAUAUAUAUAUAUAUAUGAAAGUCCUUAAAUGAUUUAAAUUACCUAAAGAAACUAAUCCAAAGCCUCAAAACAUGUACUCAAUCAAACUAAUCUCUAUACAGAUUAAAGCAAUCUAGACGCAUGUGGUAUAAUGGUUUGAGUGAGUAUUUGUUAAAAGAAGGAUAUGUGAAUAAUCCAAUUUGACCAUGUGUUUUUAUCAAGAAAUUGAAAAUUGGGCUUACAAUAAUUGCAGUAUAUGUGGAUGAUUUGAACCUUAUAGGGACUCCUAAAGAGCUCACAAAAACAUCCAAUCAUUUAAAGAAGGGAUUUGAAAUUAAAGAUUUAGGAAAACAAAACAUUGUCUCGGCUUGCAGAUCAAACAUUGUUCAAAUAACAUAUAAGUCCAUCAAUUGACAUAUAUAGAGAAAGUAUUAAAAUGAUUUUAUAUGGAAAAAUCACGUCCACUUGAUUCUCCCAUGGUUGGUCAUUCACUUGAAGUGAAUAAAGACCUGUUUCGUCAUAGAGAAGAAAAUGAAGAAUUGUUUGGUCCAAAAGUACCAUAUCUCAGCGCAAUCGGUGCAAAAUGUAUCUUGCAAAUUGUACUAGACUAGACAUAGCAUUUUCUGUUAACUUGCUUGCAAGAUACAUUUUUGCCCCAACUAGAAGGCAUUGGAACGGGAUUAAACAUAUAUUGCGAUACCUUUGUGGAACAAGUGAUCAUGGCUUAUGUUAUUCAAAAGAAUUAAAAUCGCAAUUGAUUGAGUAUGCUAAUGUAGGAUAUCUUUCAGAUCCCCAUAAAGCUCAAUCCCAAAUGGGAUAUGUCUUUACUUAUGGUGGUACAACAAUAUCUUGAAGAUCAAUCAAGCAAACGAUGGUAGUCAUCUUUUCAAAUCAUUCAGAAAUUCUUGCAAUUCAUGAAGCAAGUCAUGAAUGUAUAUGACUAAGGUCAAUGAUUCAACAUAUUCAAGAAACAUGUGGACUACCUUCCAUAAGAGGCAAUACAACUAAAUUACAUGAAGAUAUUGUUGCUUGUAUUGUAAAAAUUAAAGGAGGAUUCUGAUUACUACUCAAAAAGUGCUAUUUGAUAGCCUUUAAUUAAUCCUUUUUAACACUUUUGAGUAGUAGUUUAGGCCUUUUAACUCAAUUGGCAUGUUAAGGAUCCUUUAAAGCAAUUUUGAUCACUUUGUGUAAGUUUUGGUGCUUUUGAUAGUAUAUUGAUCACCAAAGCAAGUCAAGACUGAGGAGAGCUAUGAGGAAUCUUGGGCAAAGUUUAGAAUUCAUUUGCCAAGAGUGAAUCCGGAUUGCAAGGAGAAAAAGCAAAGAGGAUCAGUCAUGGAGCAUAUUAUUGAUGAUAGUCGUAGCAGCCACUUUUGAAGCACUUUCUGAAGUCCAAAUGAUGCAUGCUAUAUACCAUUUCAAAGCUCAGGAAGUCAACAAUCCAAUACUUCAAACGGUGCGUGAUUCGGAGUUGAAACGAAGAAGUUGCAGCCAUUACAAGUCAAUCACUCUAAAGUGUUGCGGAAUCAGCCUUUUGUUGCGAGAAUUUCGCAGCACUUUUGUACAGUAAGGUGUUUCUCCUUCUGACGAUUCACGAACCAUGCCGCGAGAAGGGAGCUGGGAACCUCAAGGUGGAAGCCAACUUCGCAGCCUGGUGAAGAUAGCUCGGUGUUGCGAAAUAAUUUCGCAGCCCUCUUGGGUGUCUGCGAAAUUUCGCAGACACCAUUUUUCUCCUGCGAAAUGGUUCCUGAAGCCUCCCGACGCUUGCUACCGACAUUGGGAGAUAUUUUCCAUUAGAUUUUUGUUGUCUAAAUCCCAAAAUACUCCUUGUAAACCACCAAUUACAUGAUUCCUUAGUUUUUAAGUUAGUAAAAAGACCAAAUAUCUUUGUAACAAUUAGUUUUAUAUUGGUUUGAUAUAUAUACCUCUCGAGAGCCUGUACUCGGGGAGGAGUUCCUUCUGUAAGAGUUUAGGAAGCAAGUAAAAGGUCUUUUCUUUCUACUGCCUUACCUUCUCACUUUGUAUUUUCAUUUUAUUUCUAAGUUAUGAAUUCUCUGAGGAGUUUUCCCCAGAGAAUGAGUAACUAAACCUCCAAUUCCUUGGAGCUAAGGUUGUCGGGGAAGGUUCCAAGUGCAAGAAUGCAAAGCUCUGUGGUUUUAGCUAGUAAUGAAGAGGAAGUGAAAUCCUUUAGUGAUUUCAAUGUUUUUAGUUAACUUAAAACACCUUGGAGUCACCUGGGCCAACACUUGGUAAGGCAAGUGAUUUCCAACCAUGGAAAUGCACUAGUUUACCCCUUGCGAGCCUCUGGUAGGUGUCUUCAAGGUAGGAUUCUGGAAUUACCAACACUUGGUAAGCUUUUGGACUCCUAGGAGACAUCCAUUAGUUAUCUCUUGCGAGUUUGUGAAGGGAAGUCCAAGGUUAAAGAUCACCUUGAAUGGUAAGUGCUCGUGAGAGGCAUGAACCAUUGCAAGUUGUAUCAGUGAGAGAAUUAAAGUGAAAUCUAAUUGAAGGAGUCUCUGUACAUCACCGGUUAGAGAAUUGACUAUAAGUUGAAUCUCUAAUGCGAGGAAAUGAACCAACUGACCGGAGCUAUGUCUUUUGCAUGAGGAACCACCCCAGUGAACCUAAAUCUCCAAGGAAUGUUUUUUUUCCUAAAUUAUUCCAAACUUCUGUUAAGUUAGUUAGUUUAAGUCUCAACCUUUACCAAUCAAAGUUUGUGUUUUAUUUCUUAAGUUAACCGUGAAAUGAAGCAAGACCAAUUCACUUGGAAUUGGUAUCCUUGAUUGCUUGUUCAUCAUUCCCAGUGAACGAUCCUAGAGCCACUAUACUAUAGUAGCUUUUUAUUUGCUACCCUAGUGUAUGGUGUUAUAGGUAUAAAUUUUGUUGAUCACUUCCUCAAUCAAGGAGCACCAGCUGAACACAAAUCAGCUGAGACACCAAUUGGACAUGAGUCAAAUGGCGCCGUUGCCGGGGAAUGAGUGUCAAGUUCAUUGUGAUACCAUUUUUGAGCACUUGUGAUUUUCAUCACAAGUUGGUAAAGUUUCUUUCACUUUACUAAUUUUCAUUCUUUCUUUGUUUAUUCAUAAUCUAAGUUUAUCUUUUUAAAAUUUAGUCUAGUUUAAUUUUGCUAUUGUAGCCCUGUUUCUCUUGUUGUCCUUUGUUCUUGUUGUCCUCUGUUUUCAUUUUUAGUUGCAGGUAGAUACUAGUUGUGUAUGCCAAAGUGGAUACGAGACAUUGGAGGUAGGCUUAUUAAGUGUGAUACACCUCAGAGAGGAGAAUUUGAAGUAAUCUUGAAUAUCAUGGAGGCUGCACCUGAAGAUCAGCAUAGUCACCAAGGUCGUCAAGACAAUCUCAAUGAAUUCCGAUCAAUGAGGGACCAUAUGCAUCCACCUCGUAUGAGUGCACCAUCAUGUAUAGUGCCCCCUACAGAGCAGCUAGUGAUCAGACCGUAUCUUGUUCCACUUCUACCAACUUUCCAUGGGAUGGAAAGUGAGAAUCCGUAUGCACACAUCAAGGAAUUUGAAGAUGUUUGUAAUACAUUCCAAGAGGGAGGAGCUUCAAUUGAUUUGAUGAGGCUUAAGUUAUUUCCUUUCACUUUAAAGGAUAAGGCCAAAAUUUGGCUUAAUUCUUUAAGGCCAAGGAGUAUCCGCUCUUGGACUGAUUUACAAGCUGAAUUCCUCAAGAAAUUUUUUCCUACUCAUAGAACAAAUGGCUUGAAAAGGCAAAUUUCAAACUUCUCAGCUAAAGAGAAUGAGAAAUUCUAUGAGUGUUGGGAAAGAUACAUGGAAGCUAUAAAUGCUUGUCCUCACCAUGGCUUUGAUACUUGGCUAUUGGUGAGCUAUUUUUAUGAUGGUAUGUCAUCCUCAAUGAAGCAACUCCUCGAGACAAUGUGUGGAGGAGAUUUCAUGAGCAAAAAUCCAGAGGAAGCUAUGGAUUUCUUGAGCUAUGUAGCUGAUGUUUCAAGGGGAUGGGAUGAACCAACUAAAGGAGAAGUGGGAAAGAUGAAGUCUCAGUUGAAUGCUUACAAUGCAAAAGCUGGGAUGUAUAAUUUAAAAGAAGAUGAUGACAUGAAAGCAAAGUUGGCAGCUAUGACAAGAAGAUUGGAGGAGCUGGAGCUGAAAAAAAUACAUGAAGUGCAAGCUGUUGCUGAAGCACCAGUGCAAGUGAAGCUGUGUCCCAAUUGUCAAUCAUUUGAACAUUUGGUUGAGGAGUGCCCUGCAAUUUCAGCUGAAAGGGAAAUGUAUAGAGAUCAAGCAAAUGUUGUUGGACAAUUUAGGCCCAAUAACAAUGCUCCUUAUGGAAAUACCUACAAUUCAAGUUGGAGGAAUCAUCCAAAUUUCUCAUGGAAGGCCAGAGCAACUCAAUACCAACAGCCGGAUCCACCAUCUCAGCAAUCUUCAAGUAUUGAACAAGCAAUAGCCAAUCUCAGCAAGGUAAUGGGAGAUUUUAUUGAAAAGCAAGAAGCCACUAAUGCUCAACUCGAUCAAAGGAUUGACAGGGUGGAGAGUAUGUUGAAUAAAAGAAUGGAUGGAAUGCAAAAUGAUAUGAACCAAAAGUUUGAUAACAUCCAAUAUUCAAUUUCAAGGCUUACAAAUUUGAAUACACUGCAAGAAAAAGGAAGAUUUCCUUCUCAACCUCACCAAAAUCCCAAAGGUGUCCAUGAAGUGGAAAGCCAUGAGGGAGAAUCAUCACAGGUGAAAGAUGUGAAAGCUUUGAUCACUCUAAGGAGUGGUAAAAAGAUUGAGCAGCCAACACCCAAGCCACAUGUUGAAAAAGAAGAAGAGAUAAAGAAAGGGAAGGAAAUGGAAGAUAAAGAGAGUGAGAUCAGUGAAGAAAAGAAGGACUCUGAUUCAACAAUCAAAGCAAUUCCAGAGAAAGAGCUUCUGAAGGAAGAAAUGCUGAAGAAAUCAACUUCUCCACCUUUUCCUCAAGCAUUACAGGGGAAAAAGGGGGUUAGAAAUGCAGCUGAAAUCCUUGAAGUCUUGAGGCAAGUGAAAGUUAAUAUUCCACUGCUGGAUAUGAUCAAACAAGUUCCAACGUAUGCAAAAUUCCUUAAGGACUUGUGUACUAUCAAAAGAGGGUUGACUGUAAAUAAGAAAGCCUUCUUGACUGAGCAAGUAAGUGCAAUCUUACAGUGUAAGUCUCCUUUGAAGUACAAAGACCCUGGAAGUCCCACCAUUUCAGUCAUGAUUGGAGGAAAGGUAGUGGAGAAAGCCUUGCUAGACUUGGGAGCAAGUGUGAAUUUGCUUCCAUACUCUGUCUACAAGCAACUGGGACUUGGAGAGUUGAAGCCAACAGCAAUCACUUUAUCUCUGGCAGAUAGAUCAGUGAAAAUUCCAAGAGGGGUAAUUGAGGAUGUAUUGGUUCAAGUAGAUAAUUUCUACUAUCCAGUCGAUUUUAUUGUUCUUGAUACAGAUCCUACUGUAAAGGAAGCUAAUUUAGUUCCUAUCAUCCUUGGAAGGCCAUUUCUUGCAACUUCAAAUGCAAUCAUUAAUUGUAGAAAUGGGCUUAUGCAACUCACUUUUGGUAAUAUGACACUGGAUCUAAAUAUUUUCUAUAUGUCUAAAAAGCAUAUCACUCCGGAAGAAGAAGAAGGUCCAGAAGAGCUAUGUAUUAUUGACACUUUGGUGGAGGAGCACUGCAAUCAACAUAUGCAAGACAAGUUGAAUGAAAGUCUUGAGGAUAUUGAGGAAGGAUUUUCUGAAUCUCCUAUUGGGCUUGCUACUCUACAAAGUUGGAAAAAGGUAGAAGAGAUUCUACCUUUGUUCAAUAAGGAAGAGGAGGCAGCUGUUGAAAAAGAAAUUCCAAAACUCAAUCUGAAGCCUUUACCUGUGGAGCUGAAAUAUACAUAUCUUGAAGAAAAUAAUCAAUGUCCUGUUGUGAUAUCUUCAUCUCUGACCAGUCAUCAAGAGAAUUGUUUAAUGGAAGUUCUCAAGAGGUGUAAGAAAGCAAUAGGAUGGCAAAUAUCUGACUUGAAAGGCAUUAGUCCUUUAGUUUGUACUCAUCAUAUAUAUAUGGAGGAGGAAGCAAAGCCAAUUCGUCAAUUUCAAAGAAGGUUGAAUCCUCAUCUACAAGAGGUGGUGCGAGCUGAGGUGCUGAAGCUACUUCAAGCAGGAAUCAUUUACCCUAUUUCUGAUAGCCCUUGGGUGAGUCCUACUCAAGUGGUACCAAAGAAGUCAGGGAUCACAGUGGUUCAGAAUGAAAAAGGAGAAGAAAUUACUACACGCCUCACUUCAGGUUGGAGGGUGUGUAUUGAUUAUAGGAAGCUGAAUGCUGUCACCAGGAAGGAUCAUUUUCCAUUGCCAUUUAUUGAUCAAGUGCUGGAGAGAGUCUCUGGACAUCCAUUCUAUUGUUUCUUGGAUGGGUAUUCAGGGUAUUUUCAGAUUGAAAUUGAUUUGGCAGAUCAGGAAAAGACCACCUUUACAUGUCCAUUUGGAACAUAUGCUUACAGAAGAAUGCCUUUUGGUUUAUGCAAUGCACCUGCUACAUUUCAAAGAUGCAUGUUGAGUAUUUUCAGUGAUAUGGUGGAGCGAAUUAUGGAGGUUUUCAUGGAUGACAUCACCGUAUAUGGAGGUACAUUUGAGGAAUGCUUGGUUAAUUUGGAAGCAGUUCUUCAUAGAUGCAUUGAAAAAGAUCUGGUGCUCAACUGGGAAAAAUGCCAUUUUAUGGUACGUCAAGGAAUUGUCCUUGGUCAUAUCAUCUCUGAAAGAGGCAUUGAAGUUGAUAAAGCAAAGGUGGAGCUUAUUGCCAAAUUACCAUCUCCAACAAUUGUGAAAGGAGUAAGACAGUUCCUUGGCCAUGCAGGCUUCUAUAGGAGGUUUAUAAAAGGUUUUUCAAGUCUUUCAAAACCUCUUUGUGAGCUGUUAGCUAAGGAUGCUAAGUUUAUAUGGGAUGAAAGGUGUCAGCAUAGCUUUGAUCAACUGAAGAAGUUUUUAACAACAACUCCAAUAGUGAGAGCCCCUAACUGGCAAUUACCUUUUGAAUUGAUGUGUGAUGCCAGUGACUUUGCUAUAGGAGCUGUGCUUGGCCAAAGAGAAGAUGGGAAGCCUUAUGUGAUUUACUAUGCAAGUAAAACACUAAACGAAGCUCAGAGGAACUACACAACUACAGAGAAAGAAUUGUUAGCUGUGGUAUUUGCUUUGGACAAAUUUCGAGCUUAUUUAGUGGGGUCUUUCAUCAUAGUGUUCACUGACCAUUCAGCCUUGAAGUAUUUAUUGACAAAGCAAGAUGCAAAAACAAGGUUGAUUAGAUGGAUUCUUUUGUUACAAGAAUUCGAUCUUCAAAUCAAAGAUAAGAAAGGAGUGGAGAAUGUAGUAGCUGACCACUUGUCAAGGUUAGUUAUAGCACAUAAUUCCCAUCCCUUGCCUAUCAAUGAUGAUUUUCCUGAAGAAUCACUCAUGUUCCUAGUGAAAACUCCUUGGUAUGCUCAUAUUGCUAAUUAUUUAGUAACUGGAGAAAUUCCAAGUGAGUGGAAUGCACAGGACAGGAAGCACUUCUUUGCCAAAAUUCAUUCUUAUUAUUGGGAAAAGCCCUUUCUCUUUAAGUAUUGUGCAGAUCAGAUUAUUAGGAAGUGUGUCCCUGAAGAUGAGCAGCAAGGGAUUCUAUCUCAUUGUCAUGAGAAUGCAUGUGGAGGCCACUUUGCCUCUCAGAAAACAGCCAUGAAGGUAUUGCAAUCAGGGUUUACUUGGCCAUCUCUUUUUAAAGAUGCCCACAUCAUGUGUAGGAAUUGUGAUAGAUGCCAAAGGCUUGGAAAGCUAACAAAAAGAAAUCAAAUGCCUAUGAACCCCAUUCUGAUAGUUGAAUUAUUUGAUGUAUGGGGCAUUGACUUCAUGGGACCUUUCCCAAUGUUUUUUGGUAAUUCUUACAUCUUGGUGGGGGUGGAUUAUGUUUCUAAAUGGGUUGAGGCAAUCCCCUGUAAGCAAAAUGAUCACAGGGUGGUUCUCAAGUUUCUUAAAGAGAACAUUUUCUCUAGAUUUGGGGUGCCCAAAGCCAUAAUCAGUGAUGGAGGUGCUCAUUUUUGCACCAAACCUUUUGAAGCUCUCUUAUCCAAGUAUGGAGUGAAGCAUAAGGUAGCCACACCUUAUCAUCCUCAGACUUCCGGGCAAGUUGAGCUAGCUAACAGGGAAAUAAAGAACAUCUUGAUGAAAGUGGUGAAUUCCAACAGAAAAGAUUGGUCUAUUAGGCUUCAUGAUUCAUUGUGGGCAUAUAGAACAGCUUAUAAGACUAUUCUUGGGAUGUCUCCCUAUCGUCUUGUCUAUGGCAAAGCAUGCCAUCUCCCUGUGGAAGUUGAAUACAAGGCUUGGUGGGCAAUAAAGAAGCUGAACAUGGAUUUGAUCAAGGCAGGAGAAAAGAGAUUUCUAGACCUUAAUGAGAUGGAGGAAUUAAGAAAUAAUGCUUAUAUCAACUCCAAAGUUGCAAAACAAAGGAUGAAGAAGUGGCAUGAUCAACUCAUCUCCAACAAGGAAUUUCAGGAAGGGCAAAGAGUUUUGAUGUAUGACACCAGACUCCAUAUCUUUCCUGGGAAGCUCAAGUCAAGGUGGAUUGGUCCAUUUGUUAUUCACCGAGUGUGGUCCAAUGGAGUGGUGGAAUUAUUGAAUUCCAAUGGCAAGGACAACUUUAGAGUCAAUGGAUAUCGUCUCAAGCCAUUCAUGGAGCCAUUCAAAUUAGAAAAGGAGGCAAUCAACCUCCUUGAACCUCAAAAAGCCUAAGUGAAAUGGGUUUGCUGGACGUGGUUUACCACAUUCCAAAAUUUUUGUAAAUUUUGUAAAUUUUCAAGUUAUUUCCAUACUUUUGAUCUUAGUUUUUGAUCUUAAAUCAUGUUUUUAGGUGUGUUUUAAUCGUUUUGAAUGAUCCCAGGUGGAAGAAAUUUCAAGGAGAUUGAAAGAAAAAAAAAAUCGGGUCGAAAUCAGAGCUAAAACAGAGCAAAAACAGGGGAAAAACAGAGCUCUGCGAAAUUUCGCAGAGUGAAGGAAACUUCUGCGAAAUUGGCAUUUUGUUGCCAAACCAUUCCGCAACACUGUAGAAGUCUCUGCGAGGGUAUUUCGCAGCUGCGAAAGUGAAUUUGGCACACGAGUGCCACUUCGCAGUACAGUAGCAUCCAUUUGGCAGCUGCGAAACCCAUUGCGAAGUGGAAAAGCAUGAUUUCGCACCAAAAGUCCCAUUCCGCAGGGCAUUUCGCAAUUGCGAAAGUGGUUUUGGCACACGAGUGCCACUUCGCAGCACAGUGACAUCAAUUUCGCAGCUGCGAAACUCACUGCGAAGUUGCUGCGAAAAUGGCAAGUUGCUGCGAAAUUGGCGUUUUGUUGCGAAACUUAAACUGACCCUUAGACUUCCGUUUUUCCUAUUUAUACCGGUCAUUUGUGCUGCGAAAAGGGUUUCAAAAAUCAGAGUACCAUUCUCGCAGCCUCUUCGUCUCCUUCACCAAGCCACGCCGUCUGUGCCUCCGGCCAUCUUCUCCGUUCAGCAACGCCGGCCAACGAUCGAUAUCCCAAAAUGGCGCGAACACGAGGGGCAAAGUCUUCAUCCCCUUCGAAUCGCAAAAAGAUGCUGCGAAAGGAGCCACCUUCAGAUUCUGCUCCAAAGCCUUCGCCGUCGAGACCAAUUCCACCUCCAGUGAAGCCGGCGCCACCAAAGCCGCCGGCAAAACGAUAUUUAACCAGGUCCGGAGGUCGGCCAUUGAAGAAGAAACCCAGGGUAGAGAGCUCAGAACCCAUUGAUUUGACUGAGCAAUCCCCUGAGCAAUCCCCAAAUCCAUCACCGGUUCAAUCUCCGGUAUCUUCACCAAAUCCUUCACCGGUUCAAACUCCAGUGCCGUCGCCGGUUCCCUCGCCGAGUCCCCUGCCAGUUCCAUCGCCGGUACCAUCUCCGGCACCCCAAGAAAAAGCUCAGGAGCCUCAAGCGCCAAUUCCAGAGCCUCAAAUUGCAGCUGAAGCACCUCUGGAAGAAGUAAUCCGAAGGCCAAUGCUGCCCCAGCCCCCAAUCGAAGGAAACUUGGAUUGUCGAACUCGGGCAUUCCAUUCUGAGCUUUGCUUCGACUUAGCAGCAUUCAGAGUGAGGCCAGAGCUAGCCCAAUCAUUCCAGCUGCUGAGGAGGUACCAUAUGGAGCAUCUGCUAGCUCCAAGGGACUUUUUCUAUCCUCGGAUAGCCACGGAUUUCUACCAGUCCAUGACAACCAAAGAGGUAAGAAAUCCAACUCUGAUCCAUUUCACAAUUGAUGGGAGACAUGGUAUUUUGGGAGCAAGACAUAUUGCUGAAGCCCUGCAAAUUCCUUUUGAGCCAACCCAAUUCGACAAUUUUAAAGCUUGGGCAAAUCCUACUGAGCUAGAGAUGGUUCGCACCCUUUCCAGAGGAGCUGCAAAUCGAUCACAUCUGCUGAGGGGGGAGCUACCUCCAGUUAUGUUUUUGAUUGAUGCCUUUUUGAGGCAUAAUAUCUAUCCCCUGCAGCAUUGGACCCAAAGAAGGGGAGUUCUCCUGGAAGCCCUGUACAAGAUGUCAGAAGGAUUCUUCUUUGGGCCUCAUCAUCUGAUCAUGGCAGUCCUUCUCUACUUUGAGGAGAAGGUUCACAAGAAGAAGCUUCAAAGAGCAGAUUGCAUUCCCCUCCUCUUCCCACGGCUGCUAUGCCAAAUUUUGGAACAUCUCGGAUACCCCUCUGAGCCUCAGCAGGAGAAAAAGAGAAUUUGCCGUGAGCCAUUCACUCUUGAUAAAUGGAAUAAUAUGACGGCCUACAAAAUUGAUCAGCCUGGGCAGCCUCAGCCAGCAGCAAGGAGAGCCUCCCCAAGACAUAUACCUGAAGGUAUAACACUUGCUACUCCUGCCAUUCCUAGAGCUCCACCAGCUACACCUGCUCCAUCACAGCCAUCCACAUCAGCUGAGCCGAGGAUGGCCAUCCCUAUAUCUGAAUAUCGAGAGCUGUGUCGUGCAUUGGAGACUCUUACAGCUUCCCAGAGCAAUCUUGCUCAGGAAUUGGCAGCCAUCAAAGCAUGCCAGGAGCAGAUGUUAGCCUCGCAGGCUCAACAAGCUGCCAUCCUAAGGCAGCUUCAAGUCCAUUUCGAUCUGCCACAAGCUGUAGAGCCCUCCAUUCCUACUCCACCAGAGCCACACUCUCAGCCUUCAGAGUCUCAUCCUCCAGAGCCAGAAGCCCCAGCUGAUCCACCUACUGAGGAGGCAGAUCCUUCUGCCUAGCACCAUCACCCCACUCAUCAGACAUUAUAUAUAUUUGCUAUUUAUGUUUUUAUGCAUGUUUGUUUUGUUUUAGUUGAAAUGAAGUCCCAGUAUUUUGGUACUAUAUAUGGGAUUCCUUGUGAUUACUUGUCUUUUGCAUUGUAAUCAAAUGAACUCAAAGUAAUACAAGUUGAAUUUUUCUUGUUAAAAGUUAGCAUUAAGUUCUCCUUAUUCCCUUUUCUCACAUAUUCUAUUCUUUUUGAAACAUGUGGUUUUCCCCAAUCAAUAUUCGAAUUUGAUAUCAGCAAGGAGGUACCACUUCCUCCCUUUUAUUACAGUCACUCAUAUCACAUUGAGGACAAUGCUCAGUUCGGUUGGGGGGUAUGAGGAAGGAAGUAUGCUAAAUCUUUUUGGUAUUGCAAUUAUAUUGGUUAAUUAGUUGUAGAUUUUACUUUUUACUCUUGUUACUCUAUUCUCCAUGAAUUUUGAAGAAAAUUUUCAAAAUUAAAUCAAGAGAAAUUGAACUGUUUUUUUUCACUUGACUUAGAGUAUGGAUUAUGCUUACUAAAGUGGUUCAAUUGUUGAAACUUCUACUGUAAUUGAAUUGAAUUCUUCCACUUUAAGCUAUCCACACACUGUGCACAUUAGUUUCCGAUUAUAACAUGAAAAGCUAUUUCCCUCUUGACUUAGGAUAAUUUUGGGACUUGGUAUAUUUGACCUCAUUUGAUAAAAAUUGAAACACCCUGCAAAAGGCCAAUGAGCCUUUGAAAUAAAGAAAGUUGUUUGCUUGCCUUGAAACCCGAGCAAGGUCUGAGGGGUAUAUGGUGAAAGCCUUUAAAGCCUGGUGCCCUAAACCUUAAUUGGUUGGGAGUCACCGACCUCAAUGCUCGUUACAAGGGUGAAUAGGUAGAGUUAGCAUAUGGUAGAUGCUUGGGUAUUAGAAAUUCAUUCUUAAAAGUCCGGGGAGAAAUCCGAGGAGUUAGUGGUUGAAAGAUCCUUAAAACUUGGUGCCCUAAACCUUAAUUGGUUGGGAGUCAUCGAUGGACCCCCAUUACAUGGACAAGUCAGAAAGAGUACCCCAUAAAGCUACCUUGAAAAAAAAAAAAAAAAAAAAAAAAAAAAAAAAAGAAAGAUGAAAGUGUGUUCUUUUCUUAUUGAUUUUGGUCAGUUUGCUAAAGUGUUGAAAAGAGAUAGGUUGGGGGGUGAGACUAGUUUAGCAUAUUAUUCUCGGAAUCUAUGGAACCAAUACACAUAGAUUUUUGUGGAAGAUUGAAGUUUAGUUCUUAGAAAGUGAAAUGAUUUUAAAACUUCAGUUUACAUAAUGCACUCCCUUGAUUGACAGUGUUUAGCAUAGUUGUUAUGACUCUUGUUGAGAUUUGGGUUUGUAUUUCUUCAAUGCUUCAUGUGAGAAUUAGAUCAUCAUGCCACUUGAGAAUUAUUUCCUUUCAGCAUGAUGUUGUAAAUUUUAGAUUAGUUUGUUAUUUAUUUUUAUUUUUCUCUCCUAUAUUGCUAAGGGACUAGCAAUAUGUCGGUUGGGGGGAGUGAUUACUACUCAAAAAGUGCUAUUUGAUAGCCUUUAAUUAAUCCUUUUUAACACUUUUGAGUAGUAGUUUAGGCCUUUUAACUCAAUUGGCAUGUUAAGGAUCCUUUAAAGCAAUUUUGAUCACUUUGUGUAAGUUUUGGUGCUUUUGAUAGUAUAUUGAUCACCAAAGCAAGUCAAGACUGAGGAGAGCUAUGAGGAAUCUUGGGCAAAGUUUAGAAUUCAUUUGCCAAGAGUGAAUCCGGAUUGCAAGGAGAAAAAGCAAAGAGGAUCGGUCAUGGAGCAUAUUAUUGAUGACAGUCGUAGCAGCCACUUUUGGAGCACUUUCUGAAGUCCAAAUGAUGCAUGCUAUAUACCUUUUCAAAGCUCAGGAAGUCAACAAUCCAAUGCUUCAAACGGUGCGCGAUUCGGAGUUGAAACGAAGAAGUUGCAGCCAUUACAAGUCAAUCACUCUAAAGUGUUGCGGAAUCAACCUUUUGUUGCGAGAAUUUCACAGCACUUUUGUACAGUAAGGUGUUUCUCCUUCUGACGAUUCACGAACCAUGCCGCGAGAAGGGAGCUGGGAACCUCAAGGUGGAAGCCAAAUUCGCAGCCUGGUGAAGAUAGCUCGGUGUUGCGAAAUAAUUUCGCAGCCCUCUUGGGUGUCUGCGAAAUUUCGCAGACACCAUUUUUCUCCUGCGAAAUGGUUCCUGAAGCCUCCCGACGCUUGCUACCGACAUUGGGAGAUAUUUUCCAUUAGAUUUUUGUUGUCUAAAUCCCAAAAUACUCCUUGUAAACCACCAAAUUACAUGAUUCCUUAGUUUUUAAGUUAGUAAAAGAGACCAAAUAUCUUUGUAACAAAUAAUUUUAUAUUGGGUUUGAUAUAUAAAACCUCUGGAAAGCCUGUUUCUCGGGGGAUGAAUUUCUUUCUGUUUGAAGUUUAGGAAACCAGGUAAAGGUCUUUUCAUGUACCUUCUUACUUUGUAUUUUCAUUUUAUUUCUAAGUUAUGAAUUCUCUGAGGAGUUUUCCCCAGAGAAUGAGUAACUAAACCUCCAAUUCCUUGGAGCUAAGGUUGCCGGGGAAGGUUCCAAGUGCAAGAAUGCAAAGCUCUGUGGUUUUAGCUAGUAAUGAAGAGGAAGUGAAAUCCUUUAGUGAUUUCAAUGUUUUUAGUUAACUUAAAACACCUUGGAGUCACCUGGGCCAACACUUGGUAAGGCAAGUGAUUUCCAACCAUGGAAAUGCACUAGUUUACCCCUUGCGAGCCUCUGGUAGGUGUCUUCAAGGUAGGAUUUUCUGGAAUUACCAACACUUGGUAAGCUUUUGGACUCCUAGGAGACAUCCAUUAGUUAUCUCUUGCGAGUUUGUGAAGGGAAGUCCAAGGUUAAAGAUCACCUUGAAUGGUAAGUGCUCGUGAGAGGCAUGAACCAUUGCAAGUUGUAUCAGUGAGAGAAUUAAAGUGAAAUCUAAUUGAAGGAGUCUCUGUACAUCACCGGUUAGAGAAUUGACUAUAAGNNNNNNNNNNNNNNNNNNNNNNNNNNNNNNNNNNNNNNNNNNNNNNNNNNNNNNNNNNNNNNNNNNNNNNNNNNNNNNNNNNNNNNNNNNNNNNNNNNNNNNNNNNNNNNNNNNNNNNNNNNNNNNNNNNNNNNNNNNNNNNNNNNNNNNNNNNNNNNNNNNNNNNNNNNNNNNNNNNNNNNNNNNNNNNNNNNNNNNNNNNNNNNNNNNNNNNNNNNNNNNNNNNNNNNNNNNNNNNNNNNNNNNNNNNNNNNNNNNNNNNNNNNNNNNNNNNNNNNNNNNNNNNNNNNNNNNNNNNNNNNNNNNNNNNNNNNNNNNNNNNNNNNNNNNNNNNNNNNNNNNNNNNNNNNNNNNNNNNNNNNNNNNNNNNNNNNNNNNNNNNNNNNNNNNNNNNNNNNNNNNNNNNNNNNNNNNNNNNNNNNNNNNNNNNNNNNNNNNNNNNNNNNNNNNNNNNNNNNNNNNNNNNNNNNNNNNNNNNNNNNNNNNNNNNNNNNNNNNNNNNNNNNNNNNNNNNNNNNNNNNNNNNNNNNNNNNNNNNNNNNNNNNNNNNNNNNNNNNNNNNNNNNNNNNNNNNNNNNNNNNNNNNNNNNNNNNNNNNNNNNNNNNNNNNNNNNNNNNNNNNNNNNNNNNNNNNNNNNNNNNNNNNNNNNNNNNNNNNNNNNNNNNNNNNNNNNNNNNNNNNNNNNNNNNNNNNNNNNNNNNNNNNNNNNNNNNNNNNNNNNNNNNNNNNNNNNNNNNNNNNNNNNNNNNNNNNNNNNNNNNNNNNNNNNNNNNNNNNNNNNNNNNNNNNNNNNNNNNNNNNNNNNNNNNNNNNNNNNNNNNNNNNNNNNNNNNNNNNNNNNNNNNNNNNNNNNNNNNNNNNNNNNNNNNNNNNNNNNNNNNNNNNNNNNNNNNNNNNNNNNNNNNNNNNNNNNNNNNNNNNNNNNNNNNNNNNNNNNNNNNNNNNNNNNNNNNNNNNNNNNNNNNNNNNNNNNNNNNNNNNNNNNNNNNNNNNNNNNNNNNNNNNNNNNNNNNNNNNNNNNNNNNNNNNNNNNNNNNNNNNNNNNNNNNNNNNNNNNNNNNNNNNNNNNNNNNNNNNNNNNNNNNNNNNNNNNNNNNNNNNNNNNNNNNNNNNNNNNNNNNNNNNNNNNNNNNNNNNNNNNNNNNNNNNNNNNNNNNNNNNNNNNAUUUUCUGGAAUUACCAACACUUGGUAAGCUUUUGGACUCCUAGGAGACAUCCAUUAGUUAUCUCUUGCGAGUUUGUGAAGGGAAGUCCAAGGUUAAAGAUCACCUUGAAUGGUAAGUGCUCGUGAGAGGCAUGAACCAUUGCAAGUUGUAUCAGUGAGAGAAUUAAAGUGAAAUCUAAUUGAAGGAGUCUCUGUACAUCACCGGUUAGAGAAUUGACUAUAAGUUGAAUCUCUAAUGCGAGGAAAUGAACCAACUGACCGGAGCUAUGUCUUUUGCAUGAGGAACCACCCCAGUGAACCUAAAUCUCCAAGGAAUGUUUUUCUUCCUAAAUUAUUCCAAACUUCUGUUAAGUUAGUUAGUUUAAGUCUCAACCUUUACCAAUCAAAGUUUGUGUUUUAUUUCUUAAGUUAACCGUGAAAUGAAGCAAGACCAAUUCACUUGGAAUUGGUAUCCUUGAUUGCUUGUUCAUUAUUCCCAGUGAACGAUCCUAGAGCCACUAUACUAUAGUAGCUUUUUAUUUGCUACCCUAGUGUAUGGUGUUAUAGGUAUAAAUUUUGUUGAUCACUUCCUCAAUCAAGGAGCACCAGCUGAACACAAAUCAGCUGAGACACCAAUUGGGCAUGAGUCAGAUUCAUAAAAGGUGACAAAACUAAGCAUAUCUCCCCUAAAUUCUUCUACACCCAAGAGCUUCAGGAGAAAGGUGAGAUUGAUGGUUAGGAGAUUCGGUCAUGUAAUAAUCUAGCAGAUCUAUUCACAAAGGCAUUACCUUCGACCACUAUGAAAAGGUUAAGGUAUGAUAUUGAAAUGAAAAGAUUAAGAGAUCUACCAAUUGAAGAAUUGAAGAAAUCAUAAUCAUAUGUACAAAAGGGGUAGAAAGUUAAGAUGUAUAUACUGCACUCUUUUUUCCUUUGUCCACGUUUUGUCCCAUAGGGUUUUACUGGCAAGGUUUUUGAUGAGGCAGUUACCAUAUCCUUAUGAUCAUCCAAGGAGGAGUGUUUUAAAAUAUGAAAUUUUAUACCACUAUGGUAACUUGUGGAUGAUCAUCCAUAAAUAUUUUUUGUAACUCCCUAUAAAAUGGAGGGACCCUUAAUGAAAUUCUAUUGAGUUUUCCUGUGCAUUUUAUCCUCUUUUUCUGUUUUCUUCUUCCUCCACUUUUACAACAUUAUCUUAUACAUUUAUUUUAAUUAUUUUAUAUUUUUUUAUACAUUUUCUUAUAAAUGAGAUUUAUUUUAUAAUUCAUAUAUUUGUUUUUUUUUUAAAAAAUUUAGGACUUUUAUUUAUUACUUCAAAUAAAUUUAUAAAAAUUAUGGUAAUUUUAAUCAUAAUAAUUUAAUGUUUGAAAAUUAAUAUCAAGAAUUCUCAAAAAUUAUUUUUAGUUUUAAUAAUUAAUAAUGAUUAUGGAGAUUUAUGAAUUAUUUUUAUCGUAUUUGAUGAGACAUUUAAAUGAAAAUUCAAGAUUUAUAUAUAUAUAUAUAUGUUUCUUUCAUAAUAAAUUUUAGAUAUUUUUAAAAUUAAUUAAAAUAAUAUAUAAAGAUGUCAUAUGCAAUUUAUCUUUCCAAUUUCUUCUUCUUUCAUAUUGUUGUUUUUGAAAUCACUCUUUUAAUCUAAAAUAAAAAAUAUUAAAAUAUUAAAAUAAAUCAUCCAAAAAAUUAUGACAUUAAUUUGAUUUUUAAUUUAUUCUUACUCUUUUCAAUAAUAAGAAAUUAAAUAAGAAUAAAAAUAACUACUAAUAAAUAUUUUAAAAUAAAUUUAAAAUUUAUUUAUUUACAAAAUAAUAUGAAUUACAGCCAAAUUAAUAUAAUGGAUAUACUACAAUUCUGAAUCCCUCAAAAAAAUCAAUCCUACAAAAUAAUGUUCAUUUGUUUAAUCGAAAUUGAAUGCUUCAUAAGAAUGAUGAAAUAAACAAGAGACACAAUGCUGGAGAAUGUUGAAGAGGGACAUGAAACACAAAUAUGUUAGAGUGAGGCACAACACUGAUGAAUGUUAAAGAAAGACACGAAACACAAAUGAUAAUGGAGCAAGUGUCAAGAUUACUCUUAGGGUUGUAGUAUCUACAAAAAUAAAAUAGCACCAAACAUCAAACUCUUUACUAACUUAUGUCAUUUUGUGAGCAAAUAGUAUCGUAGAAAGACAAAGAGAGACAAAAAAUAAAAAUAAAAACUCAUAAUGGAAUCCAAUAAUAAGAAAGCAAGAGAAAAAAAGAGAAAUUUCACACCCUAUAGGUUGAGAACAUGGGUUCCAUGACCUUCGGGUUGAAAACAUGAGUCUUGUAAAUAAGAGAUAAAAUUAAAAGACAUUAAACAUGAAGUUGAAAGGAAAUUGAAUUCUUAGGGUUGACAUUGAAAAUACAUCAAAUAUAAAGGGGAAUAUGAAUUGAAAAGAUACCCACAUUUAUUUUCUUUUAACAUUUAUUGAUUUAGUGAGAGAAAAGACUGAUUUUUUAAAUCUCAUACUUUCAUGGAGGUGUUUUUUUUUUUUUCCAUAACUAGUUGUAUUUUUUAAUAAAAUUUUAUAAAAGAAAUAGUUAUUUAUUUAAAGAAAUAAAAUAAUAUUCAAAAUCAUAAUUUAAAAAUACAAUUUUAUUAUAAAUUUAUAAAUUAUAGUGUACACCCUCCAUUUUGUCCCUAACACAUAUUUUCUCAUUUUAUUUUCUUUCACACCAUGCUUAUUUUUAGUAUGUGUUUAAGAUCCUUAUUACUUGAUCAUUCAUUGUCCCUUAUUGGUUUACAUUUAUUUGAUUCAUUGUUUAUUUUUUAGACACAUUUUGGAGGCCAUUUAGGGGGUAAUUUCGGGUCCUUCCAACUUGAGUUUUAGAGACCCCCUAAGCUUAGAAUUUUUUUUUUGUUUGUUUAAUCUCAGUCUUAGGAGAGUUUCUAAGGUUUUUUUAAUUUUUAGAGAGGCCUAGUAGCUGGCUUAGGAUGAGGACAUGUGUUCUCAUCUUGACUGCUUCACUUUUAAAACACCCAUUUUUUUUCCUUCUUUUUUUGCCAUAUUUGGGGGAGACCGUCUAGAAACCUCUCAGGAGAGGAGCUUUUCAACAUGUUUUUUUUUUCUUUUUUUCUUUUAUUUUAGGUGAGUUGUCAAGAUGAAGGAGGAGAGUGAGUUGUUAGUGGUGCUUUUCUGUAGGGGGGAAUAUUCUCUGCAUAAGGGUGGUUAUAAGAGAGAGAAAAAGACACUUUUUUUUUUUUGUGAGCUUCAAGAGACGUUUUGAGCAUCAGAGGAUAUUGGGAUUAUCAUGAGGAUUUAGGGAGGUGGGAGUGAGAGUUUGAGGAGAAAGAAAACAAGAGGAUGGUUUUACCAUUAACUAAAAUGCUAGGGUGAUGGUCCUUGUGUUAGACAAGAUAUUUUAGAAGAACAAAAUUAGUUUUAGGUUAGUUUUAGAGUUAGCUGAAAAAUAGAAUUAAUUAGUCUUCAAAAAUUGCUUUGUAAACUCUCUUACAUCUCCUUUGUUCUACUCUGUUUUUGCUUUCACCACGUUUUAUCUCUCAUCCAAACUCCUUAACAUGGUAUCAAAGCCAUAAUAUCCAACUCAGUCACCCAUUAACAACUGAUGAAUCCUUCUUCACCAUUCUCCAACUUUUUAAACUAUACUUUGUCAAUAAAACUAGAUCAAGAAAAGUACUUGAUCUAGAAAUCUCAAAUUACACCAACAAUUCAAGUACAUGAUAUGCUUGGUUCAUUGAUGGAAUGAGUAAAUGUCCUCUAGAAUUCAUUAACGAAGAUCCAAGAGCCUCUGAUUCUUGCAUAGUCACUAACCAAGAUUAUGUGUUAUGUCAUUGACAAGAUCAAAUUUUGUUAAGUUGGUUAUUAUCAUCUAUUUCUGAAGAGGUGGUGGCCCAGGGGAUUAGUUGUUCCAUGUCUUUUGAAUUAUGGUUUAUGCUGGAAAAAUUUUUUGCUUCUUAGUUGAAGGCAAAAGUAUUACAAUUGUGUAUCCAACUCCAAUCAAUCAAGAAAAAUUCAUUGACAAUGGUUGAAUAGUUUGCAAAGAUAAAAAGAGUUACUAAGAAUCUUGCAGUUGUUGGGCAACCAGUCUCCAAUGAUGAUAUGAUAAUGUACCUUCUUCCUGGGCUUGGAUCUAACUAUGAUCCAAUUUUAGUAAGUGUUACCUCCAAACUUGAUUCAUUUUCUCUUCAAAGAAUAUAGGCUAUACUACUCAAUCAAAAAGCACGCUUAGAACAACUACAUUUAGAAAACUCACUUGAGUUUCAACAAACUGUUGUCAACAUUGCUUCACAUACUUCUUUCAAAGGUAAUGAUCCAAAAGUUACAGUAGGUGGUCAUACCACCAUUCCUCAAAAUAUGAGAGGGUUUCAAAGCUAGUCAAAUCAAGGAGAUCGAGGCAAUAGAUACAACUUCUCACAACUAAUUUGUCAAGUUUGUGGCAAACUAAGUUGUAUCGCCCUCACAUGCUACUAUUGAUUUGAUCACAAUUAUCAAUCUCAAAACUCUCAGAUUGUUAUCUUAAUUACUUCACUAGAAAUACUGGUUGAUCUUGCCUGGUACAUUGAUAAUGAGGCAAAAAAUCAUGUAACAGAUGAGCUAGGAUGUGUGCAGGCUUCUACUAAAUAUCUUGGAAAUAAGAAGUUGACUAUAGACAAUGGCCAAGGUUUGCCCAUUUAACAUAUUGGUCAUUUCUUUUUAUCUACUUCAGAUAAAACUAUUCUUCUUAAAAAUAUAUUUCAUGUUCCAAGCAUUAUUAAAAAUCUUUUAAGCAUCUCAAAAAUUGUUUGUAAUAAUGAUGUUGUUGGGAUUGAGCCCCUAAAAACAAAAAUAAUGUUAGAAACCUACACCUAACUAUCCCCUUGCUAUCAUUUUGGUGUAUUGACAUUAAUUUGAGCAUUCAACCCAUGUCUCUUACAUUGUACAUGACUUGGGUGCACUAGGAGUUGCAUAGAAGAUACAAGUCAUGGGUUCCUUAUAAGUAGAUAAGUUGUCCACAGUUAGUUCAUGGAUUUGGGCAAUCCAGUAGAAACUGUAGUGCACCACCUCCUGAUUGGAGGGAUGACUUUCCCAUGGUGAGUGCAUAGGACCUAAGAUGAAUCAUGAUGCAAGGUUAUCAAUUGUCAUGAUUCACAUAACUAUUAUAAUGAAUGAACUUUCAACUUUGAGAGGAUAUUGAGUCUAUGUCAAAAUCAACAGGAGGCUUUGACCUAUGGGUGAGACCCUAAAAUGGUCAUAUAUCUCUAUGGAUUGGGUCACUAUUAAUGGAGGCUGGUGGCAACAAGUAUUCUUAAUAUAGGCACCAUCACAUCUCUUGGGAUUGAGACCGUGUAUCCCCUUGGGUGAUCCAAAGGACAUGUGAUCAUGAAAUUUGUGGUCAUAGUAAUUCCUUUAACAGAAUUUGACAUAUGGUCCUUAGAGUUAGAGUUUGUUAGUUGAUUACUUAAUAAGUGAGAUUCGUAACUCAAGGAUUUGAGAGGUAAUCUUGAUAGGUGAUAUCACUACCUUGUUAGAUUAUGAACACCAGUUCAUGGGGAGUCUGGAUGUAUUAGAUAGUAAGUGACAAACCUGAGCACUUAGUGUCUUAUUGUUAUUUACCUAAGAUACUAGAGUUUAGUUAAUUCUUUAUAGUGGGAUGUUGAAUCAACUUCAGAAUUGGAUUCCGAGGGAUCCAAUACUCUUAUGGGUCCCAUUGGUCCUUGCUCUAAGCUCAUAUAUCUUGUUGUCAUAGAUUAUGAGGGUCGGAUUGACUUUACGUACACUUUUGUGCACAAGGGCGUUUUGAUAAUUAUAUAAGGUUGCACAGAGGUAAGUGAACAAGAUCUUGAGAUUGGGCUAAUUGAUUAAUUAGUAGGCCCGAUUGGGUUAAUUAAUCAAUUAUGACCCAUUUUAGGCUAGAUUAAGUGACCUAAGCCUAUAUAAGCUCAAGUCACUUAAGCCCAAUUAGGAUCCCUAUAAUUACCUCUUAGGGAUUAGGGUUUUUAUAACUUUGGUCCUCCACUAUCUAAAGAGAAAGAGAGUCAUAGCCUCCACCCUCCUUUCCUCCUCCACCGGAAGUGUGCCAAGAACAAGGUUGAGUCAUCAAACAGAAGAUCAUGGGUUUACGAGACUUCCAACAACUUUAAGGUUGUCUUCAAUACUUUAAAUUUAAGGCUUGGGAACAUCCAAACCUAAAGGUUAGUACUUUAAACCUAAAAGAUCAUUUUUUUAAAAGAUUGGUAUUGCUUUGAUUCCUUACAUCUAAGAUGCCAAUGGAUGUGUUUUUUGAAUUUCAUGCCAUUCGGUGCUUAGUCAAUGACAAAAUCAUGAGGAAAAUUCUACUUCAAGGGAGAAUCAAGAAUGGACUAUAUCAACUUCAAGGACCUAACUUUAUUACUGCAAAAGAAGUUGAAAAAAAAAUUCAUAUGGAAUAAAUAGUACUACUCAAAUAAGGAGGAAAACAAACUCCCCUCUAGAUCAAUUGAAUUCAUCUUUCAACAAUCUAUUACAUAAUGACCCAAAUUGGUUUUCAAAUGUCAAUGUUCCUUAUAUAACUAUAUUGCAUUGAAUGUUCAAUAUGAAGACUUAAGUACUUGGCAUAAUAGAUUUGGGCAUCCUUCUCAUUGUGUUCUUCAUCAAAUACUCAAGAGAUGUAAUAAAUCACAUAUUAGUGAGAAAGCCGCUAGUAAAUUUUGCUUUGCUUGCCAAUAUAGAAAAUGUCAUGACUUGAAUUUUCAUUCAUCACCUACAAAGACUAGUGAACCUUUAGAACUUAUUCACUCAAAUGUUUAGGGACCAUCACCUCUUCUCUUUACCGAAGGAUAUAAAUAUUAUGUUAGUUUCAUUGAUGAUUUCACGUAAUAUACGUGGAUUUUCCUCCUUAAAAACAAAUCUGCAAUACCUACUACAUUUCUACAGUCCAAGAAGUUUGUUAAGAAUCUACUUGAAGAAAAUAUCAAAGCUUGUAAAUAGAUAUGGGUGGUGAAUACAAACCAUUGACACAUUUCUCAAUGACAAUGAUAUAAUGUUGCAACAAUUGUGUCCUUCUAUGCAUCAACAAAAUGGUUGUGCGGAAUGAACACACAGGAAUAUUAUUGAACUCGACUUAACAUUGUUGUCCCAAGCCUUCAUGCCACUUAGUUUUUGGUGGGAUGCUUUCAACAUUGUAGUUUACUUAAUCAAUAGGUUACCUACAUUGAUAUUGAAUAAUCAAUCUCCCAUGAGAAAAUUAUUCCAUCAAGAACCUAGCUACUUUUUUCUCUACUACUUUAGAUGUGCCUGUUUUCCACACAUCAGACCAUAUAAUAAAAACAAGUUUGAUUUUCAUAUACUCAAAUGCUUGUUUGUGGGUUAUAGUAAUCUACACAAAGGAUACAAGUGCUAAGUCCCUCCAAGAAAAUUUAUAUAGCACACAAUGUGGUAUUUGAUGAACAAACAUUUCAUUUUUUCAUGGGAUUUUCAAUUAUCCCGACUUUUGGAUCUUAUAAAAAAUCUAUGAGUACAACCCAAACUCCAAAUCUUACUGUGAUAUUACCUCAACUCAACAAACCAAGACCGUCUAUUGUUAAAAAAAGCAGCCUAAAUAUUGAAAAAAAUUCUUCAACUACUACUUGCAAAAAUCAGUUUACAUCUUGCACUACCAAUGGAAACUCAAGUGAACCAACUCAGACUCUUACAAUUGAUGCUUCAAAAAAUUAGUCUACAUUUCAUCCAAUUCCUCAUUGUGACUUGUAUACAGAUUUGUCUAUUCCUACCUUGAAUACACAUCCAGUGACUACAAGGUCAAAGGUAGGAAUAUUCAAACCAAAGUUAUUCACAGUUGAAAGCACAACAAAACAACUUGAAAGUGAACCCAAUAGUGUUACAAAAGCAUUGCAAUCUAACAAGUGGAAAAAAGUUAUGGAACCAAAGAUUCAGGCAUUAAAUCAAAAUCAAACAUGCUACCUAAUAUCUUGUCUUCCACACUAUAAUGUCUUUGGCUACAAAUGGGUGUAUAAAUUAAAAUAUAACCCAAAUAGAUCAAUUCAACAUCUCAAGGCAUGACUUGUGCCAAAGGGAUUUCAUCAAACACUAGGAGUUGAUUUUUCAAAAACAUUCAGCCUUGUCAUAAAGCCAAUUACUGUAUGCAUCAUCUUAGCUAUAGUAGUUACAAUGGAUUGGAAGAUUCAACUUUAUGUUAAUAAUGUGUUUUUAAACAGAAGCUGCAAGAAAUUGUUUUCAUGUCUCAACUUGAAGGAUUUAUAAUUCCUAAGAAGCCCGAAUAUGUAUGCAAACUACAUAAAGCAUUGUACGAACUUAAACAAGCACCACAUGCUUGGUUUGAAAAAUUACGACGUGCUCUCUUCAAUUGGGGUUUUAAAGAGUUAGAGGUUGACACAUCAUUGUUUAUAUAUCGUGAAGUUUGCAACUCUAUUUUUUUUUUACUUGUGUAUGUGGAUGAUAUUCUCAUUAUUGGGAAUAACUCCCAACUUAGUCGUAAGACUUAUUCAUGACCUCAACUUCUAAUUUUCACUCGAGGACUUAGGGGAUUUUACAUGGGAUUCUAUAGGACCUUAUCUAACUCAAUCCAAAUAUAUCCUUGACUUGUUAAAAUGAACUAACAUGAAAUAAGUUAAAAGUUGCCCUACACCAACAAGUAUGGGACUACAACUAUCCAAUUCGAAAGAACAUAAAUUGAAUAAUGAGAAGUUGUAUCGCAACACUAUUGAAGCAUCACAAUAUCUCACUAUCACUAAGUGAUAAAUAUCUUACAUUGUAAACAAUUUGAGUAAGAUUUUACAUUGUCCUAUUGGUAUGCAUUGGAAAGCUUGUAAACAGGUUUAGAGAUACUUGCGUGGGAGUAUUGAUCAUGAUUUGCAUAUUCAAACUAUUGAGAUUGAGUACCUAAAAGCAAGACAUGAUGUAAAAAAGUUAAGCUUGACUAUCCCCUUGCUAUCCUUAUGGUGUAUUGACAUUGAUUUGAACAUUUAGUCUAUAACUCUUACAUUGUACAUGACUUGGGUGCAGAAGGAGUUGCAUAAAAGAUACAAGUCAUGGGUUCCUUAUAAGUAAAUAAUUUGUUUAUAAUUGGUUCAUGGAUUUGGGUAAUCCAGUAGAGACUCUAGUGCACCACAUCCUAAGUAGCUGGUGGCUUUGAAAAGCCACUACUUUUAAGUUAUUAUGAUGGUGCUUGUAGACUUGCAGAUUUAGGCCUUGUGUUAUUGGAGGAUGCCCAUUGCAAGAAAGGCAAGUCACAUUGUUUUGGGACUUUAGUGGCCCAAUGAAGAUGGUUAAAGACUCCAACCCCUUGAUCCAUGACUUUUAUGGAUUGGGCUAGACUCAUUUCACUAAUCCAAGGGGUUUAAAUUGUAGAUUAAGGGAUGUGGGUGAGCCUUAACUGGUAGUGAGGGCUUUCAUAGCCUUGUACCCUUGGAGAGAGAUCAAUCUGAAGGUUGUGAGAAGGGAUUUUGGUUAAACAUUCUGGCAUCCCAAGAGAGGAGAGUCUGUCACAACAUUGCAUAGGUAGGAACCUCUAGAUGCUAUGGAUCAAGAGCUAGCUGUCUUUAGUUGAUCUUGAUGGCCUGAGGAUGGUUUGUGACGAAUUAGCUCUCUCUUUGCUUGUUCGCUCCUCUUAGAGCCUAGAGGAGGGAGCACCAUUUGUAGAUGCCACCCUCUUGUUUGGAGUAGAAGGUUUUGCAGGUAAGUUAUCAUCUCCAGUUUGUUGGAUGGGGGAUGGGUCUUCUUCUGCAUCUUCUAUUUCCAAAGAUGAGGGUCCAACCAAACGCUUGGUUUUGUGGAGGGAGCAGGACAAGGGGCGGCUUGUAGUAGAAUGCAAGGGUGAUGGUUAUGGGAUGUUAUGUAUGACUUCCAGCAAGGGUUUGGUUGUGGACUUUCCAAAGAAUCACCUUAGAGAUGCUUAGAGUGUGAACCUAGAUGUGGGGAGUGAGGAGGUGGUGGCUUUGGAGAAUGGGGGCUCUAGGAGGGACUCGAUGGGAGAUGAGAGCCUCUACGAUUUGUCUUUUGGGAAAUUCGUCUCCUUUAGCAAGUUUUUGGAUUUGCUAGUGGAAGGUUAUGAGAAGGAAAUUGUGUCCUUAUUGAGAAAGUCGGAAGCUAAAAAGGGUUAUAGAGUAGUGGCUUUGAGUAUAAAAAGGAGGCCUUCCUCUAUGUUCGACUUUGAUAGGGAGCUUUGCAAAUUGGAGUGCUUGGUCAAUUACAACAAAUCAAGUGGAAAAAGGGGGAGCCAGAAGUGGGGGUGGGAUAUGGUUUGUGAGUGAUCAUGAAGUUCGAGAUUUUUCUUAAUUCCUAAUUCAAUAUAUUACAUUGUUGUUUCUCAAAAAAAGUACAAAAGAAAAAAAGAAAAAAAAAAGAAAAUAAAAAUAAAGAAGUUUUGAGAUUUUUUUAUCGUCAUUAGUAGGUUUAGAGGCUGGGUGUUUGGCUCUCCUUAGAAAUUGGAAGGACUUGAGAAAAGGAGAGGGGCCAGAAUUGUAUCACUCAAUCUCAAGGUAAGGGAUUUAGAAAAGUGGGCUGGAAUUGUAAUUUAUAAGGGAGCAGAGGGUAGUCAUUUCAGGCAGUGGCAAGGGAGAGUGGAAUUAUUAACAAUGGGUAGAUGAAGUUUGAAUUUAUCCAAGGAUUCAGUAAGAUUGCAGAAAGUGGAUUUGGUUUGCAAGCAUGAAAGGUCGUAUAGGUCUUUAUGUCUUUCUAGGCCUUUAGGGUGAUGUUUUUGUAUCAGGUUACGGUUUGUUGUUUUUUUUUUCCUUUUGCUUGCCUUCUGGCACUGUUUGUAUUCUCUAUGUAGUUUGUGCAACUUUACAAAGUGUUUUUAAUAUCUUAUCAGUUUACCUAAAAAAGAAAAGAAAAAGAGAGAGAGAGAGAAAGAGAUAUAUGGAUGGGAGGAAAUAAAAUAUAUCAAUCAGGAAGGCCAAAUUAUACUACUAUGCACCUCUUAUGACUGAUUGAUGGGUUUGUGCAAAUUAUAGGAACAAUACCAACAGUAUUGUCCUUUUGACUUGAGCCUCCAAAUUGCUUGGUUAUCUGAAGAUAGUUUUCAUUGAUGAAUACCUCUUGACCUUAUGAUCCAGAUUUUGGCAUAUGAAGUUAAGCAAGUUAUAACUAAAUAGACUUAUACUGUGAAUUUCUUGGAUUUUGAUAAAAGAGUGAAACCUAAAAUUGUUAAUUCAGAUCAGUUUUGAAUGAACAUAAAAUGGUGCCUCUACUGUAAUGCCUGAAAUAUUUGAUAUCCAUUCAAUAGCUUCCCAAUGCUCUUCUUUUCGUAAAGCUAUUGAUGGCUCCCAUUGCUUGAGCUUUUUACCCAAUCUUGUAUGCACCAUGUGAUGAGCCAAGAAGAUCGCAACGUGUUCCUAAGAAAAACCCAAGGUUCAUAACAUGAUAAACAUGCAGAGCAAGUAGGAUGAUCGUGCAAGGAGCUGUUAGAGAUUAAUUGCUGGCAUAGUUCUGUUAGAAGACUUGGUCUGAUGUCUGUUAGCUAUUAUUAUGCUAUUUGAAUAAGUAUUAGCUAUUUAUUUGCUAAUAAUGGUUGAGUCCUUAUUUUCAGUAGUUAUGGUCGUGAGAGUAAGAGAAUGUGGGUUUUUCCUUGUAUAUUUAAACUAUUUCAGUAUGCAGCAAUAAAGGGGAGUUCAUUCAAAAUCCAAAUAUUGUGGCUCGUUCUUGCCCUAAGAAGAAUUUUGUUUACUGAUUAUAUUAGCUUUGAUUGGGACCUAUCAUUGGUAUCAGAGCCAGGUUACACUGAUGGCAACUAACAAGGAAAAAAUAGAACAAUUAGAGGCUGGGCUAGGAGGACUUCAAGACGAAAUGAGUCGAAUGGAACUUGGUCUGACUGACAAGUUGCAUCAAAUGGAGGAAACCAUCCACAGGCUAUCAGAAGCUUUGCUUUCCAACAAAGAAGGAUCCAGUAGCAACACCAACGAUCGUAAUGGUCAUGUCCGCAAUAAUAGAGACAACUCUAAGGGAUAAAUGGAAGGGGGACAACAAAUGUUCUUAUCCAAGUUGGCAAAGCUUGAAUUUCCAAGGUACUCUGGCAACGAUCCAACUGAAUGGUUCAACAAAGUGGACCAAUUCUUUGAAUAUCAAGGCAUCCCAGUAGCGCAAAAGGUGUCAUUAGCGUCAUUUCAUCUUGAGGGUGAAGCUAAUCAGUGGUGGCAGUGGUUACGCCGCUCCUACAGUGAAGAAGGGAAAGAAGUGGUGUGGGCAGAUUUUGAAGAGGAACUCUGGGCUCGUUUUGGACCUACAGAGUGUGAAGAUUUUGAUGAGGCUUUGUCAAGGGUGAAACAGAUGGGCUCACUACGAGACUAUCAAAGGGAGUUUGAAAAGCUAGGAAAUCGGGUGCAAGGAUGGACACAAAAGGCAUUGGUUGGAACGUUUAUGGGUGGUCUUAAGUCGGAAAUUGCCGACGACAUUCGGAUGUUCAAACCCAAAUCAUUGAAAGAAGCAAUCAGCCUGGCACGAAUGAGAGACGACCAGCUAACUCGCCAAUGAAGAUUCACACGACCUUUGCAACCCAACUGGCCGCAGCCUAACUUUUCUACUCAAAUGAAAUCCAAGCCAACACCAACCAUGAAACGUCUCACUUGGGAAGAAAUGCAGAAAAGGCGAGCAUAAGGCCUCUAUUUCAAUUGUGAUGACAAAUUCACCGUGGGUCAUAAGUGCCGAGGACCGCAACUCUUGUUGUUGGAAGGGAACUCCAGUCCAAAUAAGGAAGAUGAUAUAGAUGAGGAGAUCGAAGAACCCGCUAUCAAUGAACAAACUGAACCCGAAAUUUCCUUCCAUGCUCUAACUGGAUGGUCAACCCCCAAAACCAUGCGGAUUACAGCUAAGAUUGGGCAGCAUGAGGUGGUUGUCCUCAUUGAUAGUGGUUCCACACACAACUUUAUUAGUGAGAAAGUAGCCGACAUGUUGCACUUAUCUGUGGUUCCAACCAAGCCAUUCACUGUCAAGGUGGCAAACGGAACACCAUUGAAGUGCCAAGGGAGGUUUGAGCACGUGCAUGUGAUACUUCAGGGUAUUCCUUUCUCUCUUACUCUCUACUCUUUACCACUAACCGGGUUGGACUUGGUGCUAGGCGUACAAUGGUUAGAACAAUUGGGAACAGUUGUAUGCAAUUGGAAGAAACUGACAAUGGAGUUUCAAUGGGAAAAUCAAACACAUAAGCUACAAGGGACAAAUACACAAACCAUUCAAGUUGCAUCAUUGAAAGCUGUUUCAAAAGAAUUACGACAAGGAAGUUCUAUGUUCACAAUUUGCCUGCAAUCAACAUCAAAUGAAGUACAACAAGCUAUCCAUCUAGACAUGCAACAAUUGAUUAAAGCAUUCGAGGACAUUUUUCAAAAGCCAAAUCAACUACCUCCAGCAAGAGAGAUUGACCACCGAAUUACUUUGAAAGAAGGAACCGAGCCCGUCAACGUGAGACCCUACAGGUAUGCCUAUUUUCAAAAAGCUGAAAUUGAAAAACAAGUUUGUGACAUGUUAAAAUUGGGGCUUAUAAAAGCAAGCACUAGUCUUUUUUCAUCUCCUGUUUUAUUGGUUAAAAAGAAAGAUGGAACGUGGCGUUUUUGUACUGACUAUAGAGCACUUAAUGCCGUAACCAUCAAAGACCGAUUUCCAAUUCCUACAGUUGAUGAUAUGCUAGAUGAGCUCCAUGGGGCAACUUACUUUACUAAACUCGAUCUCAGAGCUGGCUACCAUUAUGUACGGGUACAUCCUCCAGAUAUUCCUAAAACUGCUUUCCGUACUCACAAUGGUCAUUACGAAUAUUUGGUCAUGCCUUUUGGUCUUUCUAAUGCACCAUCUACCUUUCAAGCAAUUAUGAAUUCUAUAUUCCGCCCAUAUCUCGGCAAAUUUGUGUUAGUAUUUUUUGAUGACAUUUUGAUUUAUAGCCCCAAUUGGAACAUGCAUCUUGAACAUGUUAAACAAGCUUUUGAAAUAUUAAGGCAACACCAAUUCUUUGUUAAAAUCAGCAAGUGUGCAUUCGGCCAGCUAGAGUUGGAGUAUUUAGGUCAUAUUGUGACUCUGUAAGGCGUACAAGUAGAUUAAGGAAAAAUUAAAGCAAUGCUAAAUUGGCCAAGGCCUACUAAUAUUUCUGAAUUGCGUGGGUUCUUAGGCCUAACAGGUUACUAUAGGAAGUUUGUUAGUAACUAUGACAUCAUUGCUCGGGCCUUUACCAAUUUGUUGAAGAAAGGAAAAUUCGCGUGGACAAAGGAUGCCGAAACAGCCUUCCAAGAACUCAAACAGGCUAUGACUUCAACCCCUACACUUGCUAUGCCUAAUUUUAAUGAACCUUUUGUCAUUGAAUUUGAUGCUUCAGGAGAUGGGAUUGGUGUCGUUCUAACCCAGCAAGGAAAACCAAUAGCCUUCAUGAGCCGCGCCUUAGGAGUGUCCAAACGAUCAUGGUCCAUCUAUGCUCGCGAAAUGUUGGCCAUUGUUCACGCCAUCCAAACUUGGCGACCAUAUUUGUUAGGACGAAAGUUCUAUAUCCAAACAGAUCAAAGAAGCCUCAAAUACUUGCUAGAGCAACGAAUAACAACACCGUAGCAGCAAGAAUGGGUGGCAAAAUUGCUGGGAUAUGACUAUGAAAUCACUUAUAAACCAGGACGGGAGAACUCAGCAGCAGAUGCACUAUCAAGAGUGGUAAGCAGUCCUAGUCUUAAUGCUUUAUUUGUUCCACAAGCUCCUUUAUGGGAUGAAAUCAAAGCAGAGGCUAUCAAACAUCCAUACAUGGACAAAAUUGACAAAUUGGCAAAUUGGCAACGGACAGUCCAGGUGCUCCUUACACAUGGCGAAAUGGGCUAGUGUGCUAUAAAAAUCGAGUGGUGAUACCCCCAAACUCUCCGAUAAUCAAGCAAUUAUUGCGAGAAUUCCAUGAUUCUCCAAUCGGGGGCCAUUCAGGGGUGUUACGGACAUAUAAAAGGCUUGCACAACAAUUCUAUUGGCCAUCAAUGUUUCAAAUAGUGCAGGACUAUGUCUCUUCUUAUGAUGUAUGCCAACGAAUUAAAUCUGAAACUCUUGCGCGAGCGGGACUCUUACAACCAUUGCCCAUUCCAUGUCUAGUAUGGGAUGACAUUACAAUGGAUUUUAUAGAGGGGCUGCCAACUUCCAACGGCAAGAAUACAAUCCUUGUGGUGGUAGAUCGCUUGAGUAAAUCAGCACAUUUUUUGGCCUUAGCCCAUCCUUUCACCGCAAAAAUGGUAGUUGAAAAAUUCGUUGAGGGAGUAGUCAAACUUCACGGCAUGCCCAAAUCCAUCAUUAGUGAUCGGGAUCCAGUGUUUAUGAGCCAAUUUUGGCAAGAGUUCUUCAAGUUAUCAGGCACACAAUUGAAAAUGAGUUCUUCCUACCACCCGCAAACGGAUGGGCAGUCCGAAGUCGUCAACCGAUGUGUCGAACAAUAUCUUCGCUGCUAUGCCCAUCACCACCCACGGAAAUGGAGCUUCUUUCUUCCAUGGGCAGAAUUUUGGUACAACACAACUUACCACGCAUCAACAGGAAUGACACCAUUUCAAGCUUUGUAUGGGCGUCUACCCCCAACCAUUCCACACUAUCUGAUGGGCACAACUCCAGUUCAUGCAGUCGACCAAAAUCUCACCUCCAGAGAUGCAAUAUUACGCCAACUCAAGACCAAUUUACAUGCUGCUACCAAUCGCAUGAAACAGGUGGCUGACUCCAAACGGCGAAAUAUUGAGUAUCAAGUAGGCGACAUGGUCUUCCUUAAGCUACAACCGUAUCGGCAGCAAUCGGUAUUUUGUAGAGCUUCUCAGAAAUUGGCAAGUCGAUUCUAUGGUCCUUAUCAAAUAGAACAAUGAAUUGGCAAGGUAGCAUAUAAAUUAAACCUCCCAGAAGGAUCCAAAAUUCAUCCCAUUUUCCAUGUUUCACUGCUUAAAAAGAAAUUGGGUGAGCCUAACAAUACUACGGUUGAAUUGCCUCUUACUGAUGAUGAAGGAGAAAUUGUCCUAGAACCUGAAGGAAUCUUAGAUACACACUGGGUUAAGAAAGGAUCACGCAUUUUUGAAGAAAGUCUGGUUAAAUGGAAACGACUACCACUAGACGAUGCUACGUGGGAGGAUACUAAAAUGUUGCGGGAUCGAUUCAUUAAUGUGAACCUUGAGGACAAGGUUCCAGUGCAAGACAGGGGUAUUGAUGAGCCAAGAAGAUCGCAACGUGUUCCUAAGAAAAACCCAAGGUUCAUAACAUGAUAAACAUGUAGAGCAAGUAGGAUGAUCGUGCAAGGAGCUGUUAGAGAUUAAUUGUUGGCAUAGUUCUGUUAGAAGACUUGGUCUGAUGUCUGUUAGCUAUUAUUAUGCUAUUUGAAUAAGUAUUAGCUAUUUAUUUGCUAAUAAUGGUUGAGUCCUUAUUUUCAGUAGUUAUGGUCAUGAGAGUAGGAGAAGGUGGGUUUUUCCUUGUAUAUUUAAACUAUUUCAGUAUGCAGCAAUAAAGGGGAGUUCAUUCAAAAUCCAAAUAUUAUGGCUCGUUCUUGCCCUAAGAAGAAUUUUGUUUGCUGAUUAUAUUAGCUUUGAUUGGGACCUAUCACCAUGACAUACAUGAAAUUAGAAUUGCAAUUUGAGCAAGUUGAACCCAAUCCAACCUGAAAAUGCAAUUUCUGAUUAAGAAAUCUCAAUCAGACUUGAACCCUAUCCGUAUUUAACUAAUUCUAAGUUGAACAUUUGUCUAAUAAGGUGCCUGUGUCGAAACAAUUUUGUAGGAGAAAAUGGGUGAUCGCUUACCAUGAAUGCUUGAGUGCAUUGUUUGAGGACAAUUAUUGUUACUGAGUUGUGUGCAGGCUGCCAUUAUAUUGUAGUCAGCAAUUGUUAUAAGAUGAAUGAUCAUGUUUUGUUUAUGCAUGUGAUGGUCUUCAAAAUGCAGGAUAAGCAUUCCCGGAAGGGUCUUCAAGCGAUGGUCCAGAGGAGAAAGAAGUUAUUGAAGUAUCUCCGUAGAACUGACUGGGAUUCCUACUGCCUUGUUCUUUCUAAGCUUGGUCUCCGAGACAAUCCGAAUUACAAAAACUAGAUGAAAUGUAUUCAUCUCUGUUUUGACAUGCUAAUGAUGCUUUAUUUAGUGAUAUAUCAGGUUUUUUGUUUUGUAUCUGGUACUCACAAUUUUUCAACUAGAUGUCACUUCUGAUUCUCCUUUAAUUUAAAGUCAUAAUAAUAACAGCUCCUUGGUACUAUUUGCUAGAAGGAAAGACAAUCUGUCUGUUUCUUAGUUGAAUGGGGCACAACACAGGACCUUUGUUACAUAGUCCUGAUAACUGAUGGAUCCGAUUUAACUUUUUUGUGGAGUUACGACCCUGACAGCCCAAGAGGAGGGAGGAGGGAGGAGGGAGGAGGGAGGAGACAGAGGGGAAGUGUGAACUGUGCUGUUGCACCUUAUUUGUGUUCCUUCUACUUCCAGGUGUUGUCAUGAAAUGGAAUCAGAAGUUGGAAUUCAAGAAGACUUGGUUAAAUGGUAAAAAAAACAGGCUGCUGUUGAGCAUCGUGCUUGAAGCUUGGAGAAUAGAGGAACCUUCUCUUGCUCUUCCAUCUCCUACUUCACACAUUUAUUCCAAGAAUAUAUCAUCUGCUGCUUGCCAAUCCUAACCAGGAAAAAACGAAAGAUUUUUAUCCUUAUGUUUUAAUAUUGAUGUCACUACAUUAUUCUUCUUCAUAUCUUUGUUGAACAACUUUUGAAACCAAUUGAGCAUACCCUUGAUCGGUUGAAACUUUUUUUGCUCAAAAGCCCUUCUUCUUUAAAUUCAAACCUUUUUAAUACUUACGCAACAACGUUAAAUUCUUUUAUAAAACAAGUUUGAGAGGUUUUUGCCUAAGUGUUGGAUUAGAACUUGAAUUAAGAAAACAUAAUCUUUAGAGUUCAAAAUAAGUAUAUGAUUAAAUGAUGCAUGAAUAGAUUUAAAGACCUAAGUGCACCCAAGUAUUUACCUUACAUAAUGUUCCUAAGCUUAAAAGGUCUUCAUGCUCACUUGAUCUUACACACCUUUGAUCCUUUGAUGAACAACUUGAUUUUCCAAUUGAAUUUUGCAAAUACUACUUGAAAAUCAUCUUAAUUUUAAACUCAAUAGUGAAAAACAUGAUUUGUUAUCAUCAAAACUCAUUUAGGAGAUCCCUUUGACUAACAGAAGUUAAUAGUGAAAUAAAUUUAUCGAGUCAUAAAGAUGAGAAAUGAAUAUAAUUAAUUCAUACUUGAAUAGAAACCGUGAGUGAACUCAUGUUAAGAAUGAGUCAAAAUAAGUAUGACCAAAUAUGAGAGAGAUUAUUUUUACAAAUUUAAGGUUAUUUCAUCCAUUUUAAUCAAAUCAUCCUUUAAUAAAUAUGACUCCAAGACUAAAAAACAAAGGAACCUGGCAAACCCCAAAUUAUUGGAAAGACAAUUGCACCCAAUUGGGCAUAAAAGAUAAAUAAUUUAACUCAAGAAAAAGUGAAAGUGAAAAUGAGGGACAUGAAGGCAAAAAAGAAUCAUUGAUUAAUAAUAUAUUUUAUUUAAUUUUAUAACCUUUUACAACUUGUUUUUAUGACGUAUAAUUAAUAUUUUAUAGCAUGCUCUUGUUUGUAUGUCUUAAACUCAACCUACUCAAAUCUUAAGCCUUCACCCCCAAACCAAAAAUUAAUUAAAAAUGAUGAGAUUUUUUACUAAAAAUUAUCCAUUAUAUAGUAACAUGAGGAUCACAUGUUUACUAAAACUAUAACUCUAAAGCUAGAUAUAAACUUCCUUAAUUUGACUAAUUAAAUAGUAUAAUAUAACAUAAUUAUAUAGUUUAGUUAUAAAUAAGUUAUUAUUUAAUUAAAUCUCAAAUUCAAUGUGAUUAUAACACAUAUUAAAAAAAAUGUUUAAUAAAAUUUUAAAUAAAAAAUUGAAAAUUGAAAAAAAUUUAAUUUGAUUAGAAAAAUUAUAGUGAAAUGAAAAUUUUUACAUACACAAAAAGAAUGAAAAAUAAAUUAAGAUAAUAUAGGUAUGAAGAAAAAAAAAUGAUGAAGCUAAAAUAAAAAAGGAAAAAAAAAAGUAGGAGUUUCAAGUAGGCUUUAUAAAAUAUUAUAUAUUUUUAAAAUUUAUUUAAAAUUUUAAAAAAAUAAAUCCUUGAGAGUUAGUAUUAACUUUUUUUUUCAAUAACAUUCAAAUGAAAUUAUUUUUUAUUUUUGAAAUUAAAAAUUAAAUUCAUAUUUUUUUCACUGCUACCUCCGGGUUAUGUACGCCGCUUUAGUCAAGAUCUCAUUGCAACCUAUAACAAGCUAAGCACUGAGUCAAGUCAAUUGGGUCCCCCAUCGCAAUUACCCAAAUGAGAUUGUAUGGAAUCACACUUUCAUCUUGAGUGAAAGAAGAAGCCUUCCUUGACCGAUUCACUCCUUCAGCAAAUGAAUUGCAUGGAAACGGGAUAAAUGUCUGAUGCAAAGUAAGGUAAAAUAUAGAGCUAGACUUAGAAUUUUAGGUGUCUGCUCAGAAAAAAACCAAUGAAAUCCCAGGUUUUGAACUUCAAAACUGAAGAAAAGAAAGUACAAUUUAUUCAAAACUUUUAGGCUCCACUCAUAACAUGGAAAAUUUGACAAAAAGAAAUAGGAUAGACGGUCAGCAAGCGGCUAAGUUGAGGCCGCCCACCAUAAUUGACAAAAUGAAACCAUAUGGAAAACGGAGGUAAGUCAGCAGGUCAAGUGGGCCCACCUAGUCUACUACAUUCAAUUGUAUGGUAAGUGGAAAUUCAAACUGAAAUUUCCCGGAAAGUGAUUUCCCAUUUGCCCGGAAAUUGCCUUGAAACUGGGAACUUAGCUGGAUUUAAAAGCAACAAACCUGGUUGUCAGUUGAUCAGCAACAACUGUGAAAACAAUUAAUGGCUGAAAGUAUUGUCACGUUUUUUCUAGAGAAGUUAACUGACCUGCUUUCCCAGGAAGCAUUUCUACUCAGCAGAGUAGAAGAGCAGGUGAAGCUGUUGAGUAACGAGCUCGAAUGGAUGCGCCUUUUUCUCAAAGACGCGGAUGCGAAGCGCAGAUAUGAUCCAAGAAUCAAGCUCUGGGUGAGUCAGAUCAGGGACGUAACCUAUGACGCCGAAGAUGUCAUCGACAGGUUCAUGUUCGAGAUGAAUCACCAACAGCAAGGAAGUCUCAAAUGCCUCAAGUUCCUUAAGUUACGAUUUGUUCACAAGCUCGAGUCUCGAAUCAGAGAGAUCAAUAUCAAGAUUGAGAAGAUCAUGGCUAACAAAUCAAGGUACGGUGUCGAAACCUUACCAGCUGCAAGCUCGUCCAACGAAGUUGUGCCACAUAAAGAGAGGAGGGCUCCGAUUGUGGAAGAAGUAAACGUGGUGGGAAUUCAAGAGGAUGCAAAAAGCGUUAAGCAAAAUCUGCUUAAUGGAGAGAUGCGGAGAGCUGUGGUGUCCAUCGUGGGCAUGGGUGGCUUGGGAAAGACUACCCUGGCUAAGAAAGUCUAUAAUGAUAAUGAUGUCCGGCAAUGCUUUGAUUGUCAUGCUUGGAUUUAUGUCUCUCAAGAGUAUACAAUCAGGGAGCUUUUGCUAGGCGUUGCUGUUUGUGUUAGGAUUCUCUCCGAAGAGGAAAGGAGUAAAAUGAACGAGAGCGAUUUGGGGAAUAGUCUUCGUGAUUACCUGACUACCAGGAAGUACUUGAUAGUUAUGGAUGAUAUGUGGAGAAAUGAAGCUUGGGAUAGGUUGGGCUUGUAUUUUCCUGACUCGGUGAAUGGCAGCAGAGUGUUGAUCACCUCACGCAAUAAAGAGAUUGGUCUUUAUGCUGAUCCACAAACCAUUCCCCAUGAACUUUCUUUUCUGACUGAAGAAGAGAGUUGGGAGCUCUUUCUCAAGAAAAUUUUUCUGGCUGGGAGUGCAAAUGCUGUUUGCCCAGAGAAUUGGAAGAGUUGGGAAAGAAAAUUGUAGCAAAUUGUGGGGGUUUGCCCCUUGCAAUUGUGGUCUUGGGAGGCCUUCUAUCAAGAAAAGAAAAGACACCGCUCUCCUGGCAAAAAGUACUGGACAGCCUAACUUGGCACCUAAAUCAAGGUCCAGACUCAUGUUUGGGGGUCCUUGCUUUAAGCUACAAUGAUAUGCCGUAUUACUUGAAGUCCUGUUUCCUUUACUGUGGUCUUUUCCCAGAAGACUCAGAAAUCAGGACAGAUAAGUUGAUCCGCUUGUGGGUUGCAGAAGGGUUUAUACAAAGAAGAGGAGAAGAAAUAGCGGAAGACGUCACGGAAGAUCACUUACAGGAAUUGGUACAUAGAAGCAUGAUUCAAGUGGCUGCCAGGAGUUUCGAUGGAAGAGUGAUGUCCUGUCGCAUGCACGAUCUGCUUCGAGACCUUGCCAUUUCUGAGGCCAAAGAUACAAAUUUUUUUGAGGGAUAUGAAAGCAUUGAUUCUACAUCCCCUGUUAGUGUUCGUCGACUAACCAUUCAUCAAGGUAAGAAGACUAAUUCUAAACACUUGCAUACUUCACGUAGUCUCCGAUCUUUCAUUUGUUUUUCUGUAUGCUUCCAAGAAAACAUUUUGAGAUCUUUACACAGGCGUGUCAAAUUGCUCACUGUACUGGACCUAGAACGCAUGCCUAUCAGUACCUUCCCAGAAGCCAUAGGAGAACUUAUCCACCUUAAGUACUUGUGCUUAAGGGGAACCUGCAUAAAAAGUCUUCCAUCGUCCAUAGGUCGUCUUACUAAUCUACAAACCCUAGACUUUCGAGGCACUUUAAUUGAAAUAAUUCCCUCUACCAUUUGGAAAUUGCACCAUUUGAGACAUCUAUACGGUCAUGGUGUGGUUUCAAGCCAGUCAGUGAUAGAUAAGUGCAGGAAUGGUCCUUUGAGUGUUGGCCACCUAACAAACCUCCAAUCGUUAGGUUUAAGAGCAGGCAGUUGGUGCUGUGGUGAAGGCUUGGGAAAAUUAAUUGAGCUUAGAGAACUGACAAUUGCAUGGACCGAAAUCGCACAAACAAAGAACCAGGGAUUUUCCGAGUCAGUAAAAAAGCUAACUGCUCUUCAAUCCUUGUGUUUGUAUCCUCGUAUAGGAGAGAAUUUUAACCAUGCCGCACCUCAUGCCUUUCUCAGACCACACUUACCUUUACCAUCUAAGUUUAAGAGGAAGGCUCGAAAGGUUCCCUGAUGAAAUUGAAUUCUACCCUCCAAACCUCGUCUCCUUGGAAUUGGAAUGUUGGAAUAUAGAGCAAGACCCAAUGGUGACCCUAGAGAAGCUGCCAAACUUGAGAUUUCUCAGAUUAUUCCAUUGUUCCUCUAUGUUAAAGAAGAUGG
rnacentral:lncRNA from 1 species